UGUAAGCAAAAACACUUGUUGCCUUGAAAAAUUGUGGAUAAAGAAUUGUUCCUCUCUCAAGUUCUUUCCAACAGGAGAAUUACCCUCCACCCUUGAGCUCCUUUGUAUUUGGGGAUGCGCAAACUUGGAGUCAAUAUCAGAGAAAAUGUCACCCAAUGGCACAGCUCUUGAAUAUUUAGACAUAAGGGGCUAUCCAAAUCUGAAAUUCCUACCAGAAUGCCUUACAAGCCUCAAGGAGCUCCACAUAGAAGAUUGUGGAGGUCUGGAGUGUUUUCCAAAAAGAGGGUUGUCAACCCCCAACCUCAUGCACCUUCGUAUUUGGAGAUGUGUGAAUCUCAGGUCCCUUCCACAGCAAAUGAAAAACCUCACAUCUGUUCACACUCUCAGCAUACGGGGUUGUCCAGGAGUGGAAUCCUUUCUAGAAGGGGGUUUGCCCCCCAAUCUAACAUCACUUUACGUUGGAUUGUGUCAGAAUCUGAAAACACCCAUAUCUGAAUGGGGACUCCUUACCCUCACCUCUCUUUCUGAAUUGUCCAUUUGUGGAGUGUUUCCCAAUAUGGCUUCUUUUUCGGAUGAAGAGUGUCUGCUUCCUCCAUCUCUGACCUAUCUUUCCAUCAGUGAACUAGAAUCUUUAACCUCCCUGGCUCUCCAAAAUCUGGUGUCUCUUACUGAACUAGGUAUUGAUUGUUGCUGCAAGCUCAGUUCCUUGGAGUUGCCUGCAACACUUGGAAGACUUGAAAUCACUGGUUGUCCUAUUAUAAAAGAAAGCUGCUUAAAGGAGAAGGGAGGAUACUGGCCCAACUUCUCCCACAUCCCCUGCAUUCAAAUAGAUGGCUCAUACAUCCAUUGAAAGAUAGCAGACUCAGAUUGAAAUACAUUUUUCUCUUGUCAAGAAGGAUAGAUCCAUUCAUCUUUAUGCUUACUUUAGUCAAUCAGGUACAACCCACUUCUGCUUUUCUAGCCUUUUUUUACUUUCCAAUAUUUAAACCAAUUGUCUUGGAUUUAGUCCAAAUUUUUUACACAAAUAAAAGUUCUGUAGAGAAGAUGAAAGUAAGUAAACCUAUAAUUCAGAUGAUGAAACCUAUGAUAGCAUUUAAGUUUAGUAUUACUUUUCGAAAUGGUUCUUACUUUGUAAAUAUUUACUUUGUCAUUUUAUUUUGUCCUUGAAACUAUUUCAAGAGAUCCAAUCAUUCUGAAAUUUUAUGUAAUUAUUUCUCUUCAUAAUGCUGGUGAAGUUGUAACCAAUUUCUGUUCUUGCCUUGUAGAUUCAGAGGGAUAAUGCUUGGUAGAGAUGUGGCAGGAAGCACAGGGUGAAGAUGACAGAAGAUCUUUGACAGAAGUUACUCACUGGGGUGGGUUCUUCUCUCACUUAUUGUCUCUUCAACUGUGUCCUUUUUAUUUUUAUAAUUGUUGGUAGACUUGUAUAGUGAUUUGAAAAAUGCUUUGCAAUGAUCAUUUAUAAAUAUUUACAUUGUCAUGUCACUAAGUCUUUGAUGGUAUUUCAAGAAAUUGUUCAUUGUUGCUCACUUAAAAUUUCUAUCCAAACAUCACUCAUUCAACCACAGAGUGCCAUUAUGAACUGAAGCUAUGUAUAAACUAUCUUGAAAGAGCUCAUUUUGAUUGGUAAUGUUUGUAUAGUUCUUGCUAAUUCUUUUCCUGCUAAUGUGACUGCCAAUUUUCAUUCUAAAUUCAUGGGGUUCUGGCUUGACAAGGAUGUUGCAGAGGUAAACAGUUAUGUCUCCCUGUUCAGAAUAUGUGGAUUCCCAUUUCAUUGGCCCCAUAUUGGUUUGGCAUUCAGAAAAUAAAUGAAAUUUCUUCUCAACAUGUAGGAUGAAAAAAAGAUGGUGAAUUUCUAUGACUGGUGCAAUUGAUUUUAAAUUUCUCACAAGAUUUUUCAUCGAUGUUUCAUUUAGAGGUGGACAUCGACUGUAGUUAUGGCUUGGCAUUCUCUCUUUGCUUUUCAUGCUGCUGUUAAUCCUCUGUUUCACACAAACAGAGUCAUUUUUCUAGAUGAAGUAACGUUGGCAUUCUGUUGUUUUUGCAGUGUGAUUAACCUUAAUUUUACACAUAUACAGUUCCAUCCACAGAUCCAUGAAUUGUCCUGCAGGUUUAUUUGUGCAAGGUUAUACUACUUUUGUUUUGAGUUCAAUCCAGUCUUAAGAAGAUUGGAGAGGGCAUUAAACAAACCUUCUGGCUGACUCUGGAUGUAUACUAUAGUAUCUUAAGAAAGGUGCCUACAUAUUUAUUGAUCACCUAAUCUCUGGUCCUUGGGCAGCCUGCAAUACUUAGAAGGCUUAGCACAGGUUGUCCUAUUCUAAAAGAAAUGUGCUUAUAAGAGAGCCACAUUGCCCACAUCCCCUUUAUUGACAUAGAUAUUAGAUAUAUCCAUUUACUGUGCCAGCCAUAUCCUCUCCUUGCUUUCAAUCAGGCACGGGCUUUCAUAUAUCAUAAAUAUUAGCAAUUUUCUUUGAACUCUACUUUCCCUACUCAUAAUAACAAAAGCAGAGACCACUCUUCCUUAUUUUAAACUGGGUAUGUCUGCUCAUUCAUAAUUUAAAUUGGGUAUGUUUUUGCCAUGAUGUAGGUUUUGACAAAGGAAAGGGCUGCCUGCAACACUCCCAAUGCUUGAAAUCAGGAAAUUUCAUAUUCGAAAAACUGAUGGUAAGAGGAUGUGGGGAGAUUGCAUCUUUUGUUGGAGAGCAGGUUUGGAUUAGAAUGCCUCAGUGGUCUUGAAAGUCUGGAGAUCUGGUAGUGGCAUGGACUUGUACCCUUUGGACUUUGGAGCAGCAGGGCUGCUUGGCAAUCUUAAAUAUUUGAAAUUGGAAGACUGGGCUAACCAGAAGAAGCAGAAGACUGCAGUUUAGCCUCCAACCUUACAUCACUUUAUAUGGGAGAUCAUCUAAAUCUGAAGCUGCCAUUAUCUGAGUAGGGCCUCCACAGGCUCACUUCUCUUUCAUCAUUUGUACAUUUCUGGUGUAUGUCCAGCUCUGGCUUCUCUAUCAGAUGAUGACUAUCUUUUUCCCACAACUGAGCAAUUUUUUUAUUCGUAAACUGGAUUCCAUCGCAUCAGUGGCUUUCAAAAACCUGCGUUCUCUUGAAACUAUAUCCAUCUAUAGGUGUCCUAAGCUCUGGUCCAAAGGGUUGACUGAAAAACUUUCGAGGCAUGACCUCAAUACUACAUGAUUAUCUGCUUUCUUCAAGACCAUUUUGAGUAAGCAUGAUAAGUUAGUGCUUCAUUUUUUCUUUUAAUUUCUUCUUUCAGGUAAGAAGAGAAGAAUGAUGAAGUAAUUCAAUGCCAACAUUGAAGUAUCAAGCAUGAAUAUGUUACUUUUCAGUUAUAUAUUGAUUUUUAUUUUUUUUUUCUUAUCUCAAGUAAAUUUUCUUUCUACACCAAAUCCUAAGGCAAUACAAUCUUGAGCUUACUUUUUAAGAUUGAUAUUUGACUUGCUCUUUGAACCAUAAUUUGCCAAAGAGUGUUGUGAUAACGUUAAAUCUUGAGUCAUCUUAACGUUAAAAUAAGGAAUGGAAAUGAAUAUUUUGUUUUCUAUUCCUGUUUCUUAGUAGAUAAAAAUGAAUUUGAUGAUUCUAUUUCUAGCAUUUGGACGAAUUUAGGAAUGCCAGAUUGAAAUGAUUAUUUGUUUCAAUUCCAAUGUUUGAUAAUAAUAGGAAUGGAAAUGAAAAAGAAAUAAAUUUACAAUAAUAUCAUUACAUAUAAUUUAAAAUAAUUUUUUUUAUUUUAAAAAAAUAAAUUUUGAGAGUUUUUUGUUGUUAAAUAAUAAGACUAAAAAAUAUAUAUAUAUACUCAAUAAAUAAAAAAUUAACCAUAAAAAAUUAUAUAACCCUAAUGUACAAAUAUUCAAUUAUUAUUUUUAUUAAAAAUUUGAAUAAUUUGAUAUGCUUAAGUAGUUAUAAAAUUAUAUUUUACCAAAUAUAUAUAUAUAUAUUUAUUAUAAUAUUUAAACGAACAUCCAAAACCCUAGAAAUUAGAAAUUGAAAUUUCUUUUCUAAAUGUUGUGAAAGAUUUGAUUGAUUCAGUUUGGGAGAAUCACUUGUUGCGGAGAAGUGGAUGAUGAAUGGGUCUCUAACUUUGCAAAGAAGAUAAGCAUUGGACUUAAAAAAUGAGAAAAUAGUGCAAAAUAGUAAAUUUAGGUUAUUUUAUAUUAUCAAAUGGGUUCAAUGAAUCAAAAUACCACCUACUUUUGAUAAAUUCAAAUUCGACUUAUAAGUUGGAUUUGAUUUCUACAUAAAUAAUUUUUUAUUUCAUUCAUGUUUUCUUAACAUUUAUCCAAACAUAAGAAUAAGGAAGAAAAUGAAUGAGAUGUCUAUUCUCACUUUCUAUUCUCAUGUACCAAACACUACCGAAUAGUAGAAAAAUAAUUGUGCAUACUUCUCAGGGUCAAUAGUUCUAGCUUGGGUCAUUAUAUCUUAAGGAGUGACAAUGUUGCAAAUUUGACACAAUCACAAAGCUAAUACCAAACUUUGAGCAUAUGAAAUUCCUAGGGCAAUUCCAAGUCAACACAAUCUUGGGUUUGCUCCUUGAGCCAUUAUUUCCAAAAUGUGCUAUAGUUACAAAUCUACAUAAUAAUAGGGCUCACCCCCCAAAUCUCAAGCCAAAAAAUCCCUAGCCAACUUCUUGAACCAUCAUUUCUUGAGGCUCAUCUAAUUCAUUUUCUCUUUUUUCGACUUGUUCUUCAACUUGUUUGGAAAAGAAAUGAAAGAUUCUUAGCCAUUGUGAUUUGAUCAUAUUGUCAUAUUAUGAAAGUGGGGUGAUCAAAUGACCACAUUGGUAAUGAUCAAUAAAGCCAUGGGAAUGGUUACGAUUAACAUUUACAUUGUUGUUUGUCAUGAUCUCAAUUGUCCCACUUUGAUUAUGAAGUUUUGUCUUAUUGUGAAAGAGGUUUUCAAAUUGAUUACAUACUCCUAUACCAUUUGUUAUGCUCAAACUCAAAGUAGCCAUUUUAUCUAACAAUCAAUUAAUUGCUUAAGAGAUCAAGGUAAACCUAUUUAUGUGAUUCAAGGAAUAUUAAAUCAGUCAUAAGCUAAUACAAUCUUAGGGUUAACUACAAAAUGUUGAGUGAAUAAAAUCUUGAGAUCAUUACUUCUUAAACCAAAACCAAAUCUUAAGUCAACACAGUUUUAGGCUAAUUACUUUCAAAUUCAAUACUAAACCUGAAGCAUACCAAAUCCCUAUAACCAAGAUACUUCUUCGAUCAUAAAAAAUCCCAAGGACUAUCCUUGAUUCAUCAUUUCCAAGGAACAAUAUGAUUUCAAACCUUACAAGUAAAUAAUCAUGGAUGACAUAUCUUUCUUUUCUUUUUUUUCAUUAUCUAGCAUCAUUAUCUAGCAAUGAACAUGAAUUAAUAACUUGUUACAUGAGUUGUGUUGAUUAGGGAUCCCUUGUUUGCAUAACCGUGAAUGAAAGUAUAACCUAGGAGAUAAAAAUCAUGAAGCUAAAAAAUUUGUGCACCCUAAAGGAGAAGUACCAAAGUUUUGGAUUGGAAUUUCUUUGACCCUUAUUUUUAUGCUAGUAAAUUACAAAAUAAUCAAUCAAAUGAGUGGUGUGAUUUUUUUUUCCUAAAUAACAAGUUAUUUAGGUUUUCUAUGUAUAAAUUAUUACAUGUUGUCUUCUAUUAGAUACUAAAUUUUCUAUAUUAUAAACUAAAAUUAGUAAUGGUAAUAAAAAACUAAAAAUUCUUUAUAUACAUCGGGUUAGAGUUCUCUCAUGUUUUUAAAUAUACAAGUCUAUGGUCCCUCAACUUUUGCUAUUUUUAUUUCAUACCAUAGCUCCACAAAAAAAGUCUACAAAUUCAUAUGUAGACAAAACAAAGUUAAAGUAAAAGUGGACCAAUCUUAUCUCCUUUUCCCCAAACCAUCCACAAUUGUCAUUUGAUCACUAGGCCAAUACAAAAUAUUUGAUUGACCUUUUUUUCACACAUUAUAUUAUGAGUAUGUUUGAAAUGUUGAAUUAUUGCAUUUCAAUUAUUUGUCAAAAAUAAAAAUCAAAAUCAAAAUUUUAUUCUCAUAAAACUAAUUUUAUUAAAAUUUUUAUUUAUUUUUUACAUAGUAUUUUAAUUCAUCUUUAUUUGCAUUUCAAUUAUGAUUAAUUCAUCUUUAUUUGCAUUUCAAUUAUGAUUCUUAUUCUUCAAUAUUACUAUUUCAAAUAUAGGUAAAAAUCUUCCUUUACUAAAAGAUGCAUUUCAAAUAUGUCACAUCAUAAAAAAAUUUGUAGUUAAGAUUGAGAAAACAAAGGCUAUGCUUAGUUAAGAAAAACACCCAAAAGGGGGGGUGAAUUGGGUUUUUAAAAUCUUUUCAAUCACAACAAAUUCAAACACAAUAUAAGCAAAGUAAAGAGAUAGAGUUUAGAGAAUUCAAACUCGGGUUUAUAGUGGUUCGGUACUUCCUUGCCUACGUCCACUCUCCUCAACCUCCUAACCGAGUGAGGGUUACACUAACUUGAAGCUUCAACCAUGCUUCCAAUCUUUUUACACUUGGAUUCCGUCUCCAAUGGGCUCUUACAUAACCUCUUCAAGAUUCAACCCUCUUAAAGGCUUUAACACUCAGAUUUUUACAAGAUAUAAUCGUUCAACCUAGCUUAAGGAUAGCUCAAAUACAAGACAAAGCUAGGAUAACACAAGAGUGCACUAAAGGAUAUGCAAGUGGUGAUUUAAUGCACUAUGAAAGAAAUGAAAGCUUUUUUAUCAAGAACAUGUAGGUAGGCUAUUGAAUGCAAGUGUUCUCUUAUCAAUAAAUGAAGUGGAGCUCUCAAUUUAUAGGUUUCCAAGCUCGGGAGUAAAAAACAGCAAAAGGUAACCUCGUCCGGUCGAGCUAGGGGUCGACCGGUUCACUAGCCGUUAGAGCAUUUAAUGCAUGACAGGUUACCGUUGCCUCGACCGGACCUCGACCGAUAAGAGAAACACCUCGACCGGGAAGAGAAGGCUACUGGGAGAGAGAGAAGGUUUUUGACCUCCCUCGACCGAUCCUCGACCGGACAAGCACAACCGGUCAAUCGGUUCCUCAACCGGUUGAGCCAGUUGGUCAUAGCCUUGAUCGGUUGAGCCUUUUUUGCCUCAAAAACCUGUUUUUUUAAUUCCUUUCUUUUCUAACACUUAGGCAAGGUCUUUAGGUAAAUUAUUAAGCCAAUUUUGAAACUUUUUGUCUAAGGUACAUUAGUUAAAAACUCGGGUUUUAAUGAAAUCGACGUUUUAAAUAAUAAACCGAGUUUUCAAAAAUGUAUGAAACGUGUGAAAAUCCUAAGUGCACUCAUGCAUUCAUCUUAUAUUAGUUUCCUAUGAUCACAAGUCUUCUAAGCGUCUCGAUCUUGUAUCCAUUUGGUCAUUUGAUGAAUUUUCGAGUUUAUACCUGAGAUUCUUAAUCAUUAAACCAAUUAGUCACUUAACCAUGGUUUGUUAUCAUCAAAACCCGAUUAGGAGAACCCUUGGGCUAACAAAUAUGAUAGUACUACUAAUGGAUUGUUAUAGAUUUAUAUUAAAGUACUAGAGCUGUUGCAUAAUUCUAUUAAACUUCAAAUUAUUAGAGCACAAAAUAAUUUUUGUGUACAUAGCUUCUUACAAAAAAGGAACCAUGAAAAUAUUGGGAUGGGGGGUGGGGUGUGGGUCACAGCAUUUACUUUAUGUUAUAUGAAAUUGCCUAAAAGUUAGCUAUGCUUCAAAUACUAUUUGCAUAAACAUAAAUACAUAAUUAUUAUUAUUAUUUUAUAUAUUUAUUAAAAUCCCUUCAAAAUUGUAUUAAAAAGUUGUCGAACAUUUGCAUCCCCUUCCCCUUAUCUUCCUAUGGCUUUUCGGUGGUGUAUGUUAAUUCGUCUUUCACCUCAAUCAACAAUUAAUACUUGAUAUUAACAUGGCAGAUAAACCCUUAAUCAAUAAGAUGGGUUGGGGUGUUUUUAAACCCGUAAUCAAUCUCAAAAUGAUGGUGUAUAUAUGUCUAAUAAAGAUCAGAGACUUAGGAUUUAACUAUAAAAAGCUCUAUUUAUAUUCACUCUAUCCAUCACUAGAGUCAGUGUCAUAAUUCAUAGUUAUUAAUAAUAAUCAAUAGUAAAAAAUUAAAUCAACGAAAAUCCAAAAUUGAUGAAAGAUUACAUAUAGUACCAAUGGAUUAUUAUUUAUUUAUAUUAAAAAAAAAGUAGAAUUAUCGCAUAAUUAUAUAAAAAUUCAAAUUAUUAGAGCAUAAAAUAAUUUUCUAAACACUUAGGAAGAAAAAUAGGUAUAUAAAUAACAUGAUUAGCAUAAUUAGGUGGAGUUGAUUUUUGUGCACAUAUCCUACAAAGAAGGAACCCUAAAAAUAAAUGGGUGUACAUCAUUUACUUUAUGUUAUAGGAAAUUGCCUAGAAUGUAGCACUUCUUCAAAUAUUAUUUGUAUAAAUAAAAAUAUAUAAAUAUUAGAAUUUUAUAUAUUUAUUAAAAUCCCUUCAAAAUUGUAUACAAAAGUUGUUGACAUUUGUGUCCCCUUCCCCUUUUCUUCCUAUGACUUUUCAGUGGUACACUCAAUGAGCAAUUAAUGCUUGAUAUUAUUUAACAUGUUAUGUAUAGAAACCGUGUGGAGCUCAUGGAAUCCAACUUGUUUCCUUUUUCUUUUUUUUCUUUGAUAAAAAUAUUUCCAAAUAUUCACAGCGAGGCUGAUUAUUGAACUCCAAAGUAUAUCUGUAAUAUAGAUGAUGUAACAUCGUAGAUAUACAAUUUUAUAUAUUAUAAAAAUUAAAAUUAAUUAUAUGAAGUGGAAAUUAUAUGUAAAUAAUUAAAAACCUUAAAAUAUUUUAUAUUAUGGGAAAAGUGGGUUUUUAUUUACUAAUUUGAAAAAAAUAUAAAAAAAAUCAAAUAUUUUAUAAAUCAUAUUUAUCUUUACCUAUUUAAAAAUAUUUUAAAAUACAUACAUUUUUUUAUAACUCAAAUAAUUAUUUCCUAAAAUGAUCAUUUUAUAUGUUAUUAUUAUCCAUUAACAAUUAUUUUAAUAUGAGAACUUAUAAGAGAUUAAUAAAAUAAGAAAUUUUAAGAAUUAAAAAUACAAUAAAAACUAUAAAAAAAUUUAAAGUUAAAAAUAUAAAAAUAAAAUGUUAACUUUCACUUAAUUAAAGCACUAUGGUAGAAAAUAUAAAUAUCAAGAAAGAGUUAAAAAUACAAUAGAAGUAAAUAUUUUAUUUUUAAAUUUUUAAUUUUUUUAAUUGUAUUUAAUUUUUAUGUAUGUAAUUUUUAAUUGUAUUUUUAAUUUUUCUUAUUUUAUUUUUUAUGUCAACUAAUAAAUUUUUUAUUCAAUUUUAUUAAAUAAUAUGAGAAGAUGAGGGGACUUACAUAAUACAUGAAAUAAAAUCAUUAUUAAAUAGGAAAUUCGAAAGAUUUUAUUUAUCACUUGAAAAUCUAUUUAUUUUUUAAAAAAUUAUAAUAUAUUUAUUUUUAAAACACUUUUAUCAAAUUAAAAUUAUAAAUUAAUUUUGAAUAAUUUUAUAUAAUAUCAUGACUAUUUUAGAAAAUAAUUAUUUGAAUUAUGAAAAUGUGCAUAUAUUUUAAAAUAUUUUAAAUUGAGUGAACGUAAAACUGAUGUAUAGAAGUUAAGGUUUUUUUUCUAUAUUUUUUUUUAAAAUUAAUGAAUUAAAACCCAAUUUUCCCUUUUAUUAUUGCAUUAAAAAAAAGUCUACAAAUUCAGACAUAGGUUAAAGCAAAAGUGGACUAAACUUAUCUCUUUUUUCCCAAACCAUGACUGUCAUUUGUUCUCAAAGCCAAUAUAAAAUAUUUGAUAGGUCCUUUUUUCCACACAUUAUACUAUGAGUAUAUUUGAAAUGUUGAAUUACUUGUUAAAAAUAAAGUUCAAAUCAAAAUUUUAUCCUCGUGAAAAUCAAAUGUAAUUAAUUAAAAUCAAAAUUGCCUAGAAUGUAGCACUUCUCCAAAUAUUAUUAUUAUUUUUUUUAAAAAAAAAAAAGCUGUCAACAUUUGUGUGCCCUUCCCCUUAUCUUCCAUGACUUUUCAAUGAUGCCUAUUAAUUCUAUCUUUCACCUCAAUGAGCAGUGCUUGAUAUUAACAUGGUAGGUAUAGAAACCGUGUGGACCUCCUGUUGAAUCAAUGCCCGUUCAAAGCCAAGAAUGGUCUAAAAUGGGAAUCAAAUUGGUGGAUGGUUCAACUUGUCUUUUUGAUUAUUUUCAAAUAUUUUUUAAAAAUAAUUUUUAUUUAUAAUAUUCGUUAUAUUUUUUUCAUCAUUAAUCACAGUUAUAUAAUUAUUUUUAAAAAUAACUUCAAUAAACAACUAAUAAUAAUUUUAAAUUAUUUAAAUAUACUAUCUGAAAAGCCACUAUUUUCAAAAUUAAUUCUAAAAAAAAUAAUUUGUCUAAAAGAUAUUCAAAUCAUGUUUUCCCAUCUUAAAAUAGUUUUUUAUUUUUAAUAACAAAAAACUACUUUUAAAAAACAAUUCACCAACACACUCUUAGUUUUUUUUCAUCCCUUGAAAUAAAAUGAUAAAUAAAAAGCUGUCAACGCUUGUGUCUUGGUGUCCUUCCUUCUUUCAUCAUGACUUUCAGUGAUGCAUGACAUAAUUAUAUCCACCACCUUUCAACCUUUUUUUUUUUCAUAAGAAUAUAUACACCACUCAACUUAUUAAUCAAUGGCCAUUAUUAAUGUCAAGUGGAAUUUUCUAUUAUGAUAAUACAUUUUAUUCAUGACAAUAAAAUUUUUAUAUUUAUAUUUAUUUUAUUAAAUAAUUUAAAUAUAAUAAUAAAUAAGAAAUGGAAUCAAUUUUCAUUAAUUUUAACUUUUAAUUUCAAUAUUUGCAACAUGCUCACCUUAUCUUAUUCAUUUCCUAGGGCUUGCCUUCAAUUUAUUCAAAAAUUUCCAAGGGAAAUUUCUUUUAUCUUUAGAGGAGCUCCCUUCCGACAACCCAUGUGAUGCAUCCUUACUUUAUACUUUGGUGUGGCACCUCACCAUUAUCAAGCACAAAAGUCGCCAUGGUGACAAAACCUAUGUCGCAGUCAUUACCCACUAAGGUUUAGUCUACUUUGGAUCUUCCAUUGGACAGGUAGGAAGCUGCAUGGAAAUUUAUCAUUGAUGUAUUAUCCUUGAAGAAAAAAUGCUAUCCAUUAAACAAAAAGAAUUUUAAAAUCUUAAACUACAUUAGUAUUAAGAUAUAGCCUUUAAACCAUAUGGUUAUUUUUUUAACACAAACAUAAUUUGAAUUUAGUGAAAGUAUUUUAUGUAAAAAUAGUUUUAGAAAAAUCAUAUAUUAAGUGUUUAUUUAAGAUACAUUAUAAGUGAUUUUUAAAAAAAAAAAAUUUAAAAUAUUUUUAAAUCUAUUAAAUAAUUAAUUUUUCUUCAAAAAUAUUUUUAAAUUUUAGAAAUGCUUUCUUAAAGUAGUGUAAAACUGAAUCUUAUAAUAUUAAGAUAAAAAAAAAAAAAAGAGAAAAAUGGAGAAAUUGUAGGAGAAACUAAAUUAAAUUAAUUAUAUACAGAGUAACAAUUGUGGAAUGCGGGUAUGAAUGGAGAAAGGAUUUGAAUGGAUUUGAAUGUGUUGUACAUUCCACGAUACACCCUUGUGGACCCUCACCACUACCACCAUUCACAUCCAUGGAAUCCAAUGAACCUAAGAAGUAACAAUUCACAAAUAUUUUUCUUCCUCAAGUUCAACGGUAUCUGUUCUUCAGAGUUGCAGAGAGUCCCCUUCAUCCCUUGUUACCUACAAACUUUUCUUCAGAGUUGCAGAGUUUCCCCUUCAUCCCUUGUUACCUACAAACACAAACAUGGCUGGUAUUGUCGGAGAAGCUGUUUUGUCUUGUUUCAUCCAGAAGUUGGUUGACAUGGUCACCUCCCCGGAGCUGUGGAAGUAUGCACGUAAAGAGCAAGUUGAUUCUGAGCUGAAAAGGUGCAAGAAUAUAUUGACAAAGAUCUGUUUAGUGCUCAAUGACGCAGAGGAGAAGCAGAUGACAAACCCUCUGGUCAAAAUAUGGCUGGACGAGCUUAGAGACUUGGCUUACGAUGUGGAGGACAUCUUGGACGACUUCGCCAUCGAAGCUUUGCGAAGCAGCUUGAUCAUGGCUCAACCCCAACAAGGCAUUAGUAAGUUACGAGACAUGCUCUCUUCUCUCAUUCCGAGUGCUUCUACGUCUAAUUCUAGUAUGCGUUCCAAGAUUAAGGAGAUCACUGAAAGAUUACAAGAGAUUUCAGCCCAAAAGAAUGACCUGGAUUUACGAGAGAUUGCUGGAGGGUGGUGGUCUGAUAGAAAGAGAAAGCGAGAGCAAACCACUUCUCUGGUGGUUGAAUCCGAUGUUUAUGGUAGGGAAAAAAAUAAAGCGGAUAUAGUUGACAUGUUACUCAAGCACGAUCCAAGUAGUGAUGAUGAAGUCUCCGUAAUUCCAAUUGUCGGUAUGGGAGGUAUCGGCAAAACUACUCUGGCUCAGCUUGCCUUCAAUGAUGAUGAAGUGAAGGGCCGUUUUGAUUUGAGAGCAUGGGUCUGUGUUUCUGAUGACUUUGACGUUUCGAAAAUAACCAAGACCAUUCUACAAUCUGUUGAUCCGGGAACUCAUGAUGUCAAUGAUCUCAAUUUGCUUCAGGUCAAAUUGAAGGAGAAAUUUUCUGGGAAGAAGUUUCUUCUUGUGCUAGACGAUGUUUGGAAUGAGAAUUGUCAUGAAUGGGAUACUUUGUGCAUGCCAAUGAGAGCUGGGGCACCCGGUAGUAAACUCAUCGUGACAACCCGUAAUGAAGGUGUCGCAGCAGUUACCAGAACUUGUCCAGCUUAUCCCCUACGGGAAUUAUCAAACAACGAUUGUUUGUCUUUAUUCACUCAGCAAGCAUUGAGGACAAGAAACUUUGAUGCCCAUCCACACUUGAAAGAAGUCGGUGAGGAAAUAGUGAGAAGGUGCAAAGGCUUGCCUUUGGCUGCGAAGGCACUCGGUGGCAUGUUGCGCAACCAACUAAGUCGCGAUGCAUGGGCAAAUAUAUUAACAAGCAGGAUAUGGGAUUUACCGGAAGAUAAAAGCCACAUUCUUCCCGCUCUCAUGUUAAGCUACCAUCAUCUCCCUUCUCAUUUGAAGCAGUGUUUUGCAUAUUGCUCCAUGUUUCCAAAGGACUAUGAAUUCAACAAGGAUGACUUAGUCCUCUUAUGGAUGGCAGAAGGCUUUUUGCAGAAAACGAAGGAGGCAGCUAGGCCAGAAGACUUAGGUUCUAAAUACUUCAAUGAUUUGUUCUCCAGGUCAUUUUUUCAACAUUCAAGUCGAAAUUCAUCCCGAUAUGUGAUGCAUGAUCUCAUCAAUGAUCUAGCUCAGUCAGUUGCAGGAGAAAUAUACUUUCAUUUGGAUGGUGCAUGGGAGAAUAACAAACAAUCCACCAUUUCUGAGAAGACUCGUCAUUCAUCAUUCAAUCGUCAACACUCUGAGACACAGAGAAAAUUUGAACCCUUUCACAAGGUGAAGUGUUUGAGAACAUUGGUUGCACUUCCCAUGGACCAACCAGUUUUUUCCAGUGGCUACAUAUCAAGUAAGGUGUUAGAUGACCUUUUAAAGGAAGUGAAAUAUUUACGGGUAUUAUCUUUAAGUGGCUACAAGAUAUAUGGGUUACCAGAUUCAAUUGGCAAUCUUAAAUAUUUGCGGUAUCUCAAUUUGUCCGGGUCUUCCAUAAGAAGGUUACCUGAUUCAGUAUGCCAUCUUUACAACUUACAAGCACUGAUAUUAUCUGAUUGCAAAGACCUUACGACGUUGCCUGUGGGAAUUGGAAACCUAAUCAACCUUCGACACCUUCAUAUCUUUGACACAUGGAAAUUACAAGAAAUGCCUUCUCAAACUGGAAAUCUAACAAAGUUGCAAACGUUAUCUAAGUUUAUUGUGGGCGAAGGUAACAACUUGGGAUUAAGAGAAUUGAAGAAUUUAUUUGAUCUUCGAGGACAACUUUCAAUUUUGGGGUUGCACAAUGUGAUGAAUAUUCGAGAUGGAAGGGAUGCCAAUUUAGAGAGUAAGCAUGGAAUUGAGGAGUUAACAAUGGAAUGGAGUGAUGACUUUGGUGCUUCACGAAAUGAAAUGCAUGAGAGGAAUGUUUUGGAGCAGCUACGACCUCAUAGAAAUCUGAAAAAGCUCACAAUUGCAUCUUAUGGUGGAUCAGGAUUCCCAAAUUGGAUGAAGGACCCAUCAUUCCCAAUAAUGACACACUUAAUUCUCAAGGACUGCAAGAGAUGCACAUCAUUACCCGCGCUUGGCCAAAUAUCCUCACUCAAAGUCUUGCAUAUUAAAGGUAUGAGUGAAGUUAGAACCAUAAAUGAGGAGUUUUAUGGAGGGAUUGUGAAGCCUUUUCCAUCCUUGGAGUCUCUAACGUUUGAGGUAAUGGCAGAAUGGGAAUACUGGUUUUGUCCUGAUGCAGUUAACGAAGGUGAAUUAUUUCCAUGUCUUCGAUUGCUUACAAUAAGAGAUUGUAGGAAGUUACAACAAUUGCCUAAUUGCCUACCUUCCCAAGUGAAACUUGACAUCUCUUGUUGUCCAAAUUUGGGAUUUGCUUCUUCAAGAUUUGCAUCUCUUGGUGAAGUAAGUUAGAAGCAUAUAAUGAGAGUGUGCGGAUAAGUGAGGUGAUAAGUGGGGUUGUCGGAGGUCUUCAUGCAGUAAUGAGAUGAAGUGAUUGGCUUGUUUUGUUGGAGGAGCAAAGGCUGCCUUGCAAUCUUAAAAUGUUGAGAAUACACGACGAUGCUAAUCUGGAGAAGCUGCCUAAUGGAUUGCAAACACUCACGUGUCUUGAACAGUUGGACAUUACUGGCUGUCCAUCUCUCAGAUGCUUUCCAAAUUGUGAGCUACCAACCACACUCAAGAGUUUAUGUAUUAAAGAUUGUAAAAAUCUAGAGGCUUUACCAGAGGGAAUGAUGCACCACGAUUCCACUUGUUGUCUUGAAGAGCUGAAAAUAGAGGGAUGCCCCAGACUGGAGUCAUUUCCCGAUACGGGUUUGCCACCAUUGCUAAGACGACUUGAGGUGAGUGAAUGCAAGGGUCUGAAAUCGCUGCCUCAUAACUACAGCUCAUGUGCCCUUGAAUCCUUGGAGAUUAGCGAUUGUCCAUCUCUCCGAUGCUUUCCAAAUGGUGAGCUACCAACCACACUUAAAAGUAUAUGGAUUCAAGAUUGUGAAAAUCUAGAGUCUUUACCCGAGGGAAUGAUGCACCACGAUUCCACUUGUUGUCUUGAAGAGGUGAUAAUAAUGGGAUGCCCCAGACUGGAGUCAUUUCCAGAUACGGGGUUGCCACCAUUGCUAAGACGACUUGCAGUGAAUGAAUGCGAGGGUCUGAAAUCGCUGCCUCAUAACUACAGCUCAUGUGCCCUUGAAUCCUUGUAGAUUAGAUAUUGUUCAUCUCUCAAGUCCUUUUCAACAAGGGAGUUACCCUCCACCCUUAAGAAACUUGAGAUUUGCGGGUGCCCCGACUUGGAGUCCAUGUCGGAGAACAUGUGCCCCAACAAUUCAGCUCUUGACAAUUUAGUCCUUGAGGGUUAUCCAAAUCUGAAAAUCCUACCAGAAUGCCUUCACAGCCUCAAGAGUCUCCAAAUAAUUAACUGUGAAGGUCUGGAGUGCUUUCCAGCAAGAGGCUUGUCCACCCCCACCCUCACAAGCCUUCGAAUUGAGGGAUGUGAGAAUCUGAAAUCCCUGCCACAUCAAAUGAGAGACCUCAAAUCUCUUAGAGAUCUUACCAUAUUGUUUUGUCCGGGAGUGGAAUCCUUUCCAGAAGAUGGUAUGCCCCCCAAUCUGAUAUCACUUGAGAUUUCUUACUGUGAGAAUCUGAAAAAGCCCAUAUCGGCGUUCCACACCCUCACCUCUCUUUUUUCAUUGACUAUUGAGAAUGUGUUUCCAGAUAUGGUUUCCUUUCGGGAUGAAGAGUGUCUUCUUCCCAUAUCUCUCACCUCCCUCAGAAUCACUGCAAUGGAAUCCCUAGCCUACCUGUCUCUCCAAAAUCUCAUCUCUCUUCAAUACCUAGAGGUGGCAACUUGCCCUAACCUCGGAUCCUUAGGGUCGAUGCCAGCAACACUUGAAAAACUUGAAAUCUGGUGUUGUCCUAUACUAGAAGAAAGGUACUCAAAGGAGAAAGGAGAAUAUUGGCCCAAGAUCGCUCACAUUCCAUGCAUUGCAAUGCGUGGUCAAUUUAUCCAUUGAAGCAUAGAUGUUGAAAGUGAAAUGCAGUUUGUGGGUUGUGGAAAAGAAACAGAAGCGGAAACACAUUCAACCCCCAGUCCUUACAGGUACAAAAUCACUUCCAUUUUCGUAUCCUUUCUUUACUUUACUUCUGUUUAGGGAUAGGUUUAAUUGUGUAUAAGAUCCUGGGAACCAUAAAAACCGCUAUUCAGCUUCCAACUCCAUCUUCACAUUGACUUACCAAAUUCCCCUUCACAUUCUUUUCUUUUUCUUUUCUUUCUCCUUCAAAUUUUUUUGUUUUGAUUUUCUAGGACUAUUGUUUUGGAUUUACUUGAAACAUAGUAAAUUAGUUUUUUUUUUUUUUUUUCCUGCAAGCGUUUAUAUUUAAUGGACUUAGAUAUGGAUACCUAGAUGCAAUUUUCUAUUCAAAUAUUAGACGUGCUAUGGAAAAGAUGAAUGAAGGAAACCUAUACAUGAUGAAGCUUAAGCUAGCCAUGGUCGUAGAGGAUUCAAAUUAGUGCUGAAUUAAAGAAUGAAGCGUCAUGCAUUGCUUUCCAAAUCGAUGCAGGGUGUAAAUAUUCCUAAAUUCUAAUGUUCACUAGUCAUUCCAUUUAAUGGUUGGAAGAAGUAUUUCAACAGAUCCCUUCAUUGUUGCUCUCCCUGUAUUUGCAUCUAAAUAUCACUCAUUCAACCUCUUCCAUUGUAAUCAUAAAGUGAAACUGUGUAAAAACUAUCUUGAAAUAUUACAUUUUCACUAAUAAUGUUUCCAAAGUUCUCACAAGUUCUCAUUUUUCUUUUCUGCUAAUUUGACCUCCAAUUUCCAUUGUACAUUCAGAUGGGUCCUGCUUGACAGAAAUGUUCCAUUCCCUCGAUGAAUAGGUGAUUGCAGUCACUAGCCAAGCAGUAAAAGCCAACAAAUAGGUACAUCUGCCCAUUCACGACACCUGACUUUCAAUUUCAGUGGCCCAAUACCAUUUUCACUUUCAGAUACUAAUAGAAAAUUUCUCUGAAGAUGUUGGAAGGGGGUAAAUGAUGAAGAUCAAAUAAAAAUUUUCCUUAUCAUAGCUGCAGCCUAUUCUCAUGCUGGUAUGUUCUUGAUUGCUCCAAUAGAUGAAUUUUUCUUUUUUUCCUUUUAUCUUUUUGUGCAAGUUGAUCAGCUUCAAUUCAUCAAUUCAGUUGCUUUUUAAGUUGUUUCACCAAGAGGUGGAUUCUGACUGCAGUUAUGUCUUGGCAUCUUCUCUUAAAUUUUGUUAGUCAGGCUGUUUUUAUCCUCUGUUUUGACACAGACACAACUAUUCUUGUGGCUUAGCAUGAUUGACCCGACUUCACAUAUAUACUUACGAAUUGUUUUAAAGCAAGACAAUGCAUUCACUCUUUUUAAUUACACAAUUACACAAUUACACACAAAGCCUCAAAUAUUUUGCUUUUUUCAGGAAUUAUAUGUUACUUCUUUAGAUCUUUGAAACUAGCACAGUAUAUCAAAAUUAAUAGAAGUUCAUUGUUGGUUUAUGUAUGCUAACUUUAAGGUAUUUUACAUUAAGGCUAUAACAGUUUUGUUUUGGUUUCAGUUUGAUCUUAAGAAGAUAGGAGUUGGCAAUAAAACCUUCUGGUUGACUUUGUAUAUGAAUUACGGUAUCUCAAGAAAGGUGUCCAUAUAUUGGUUGGUCCCUUAACCUCCAGUUAUUAGGGCUGCCAGCAGUAUUUAGAAGGCUUAUCACAGGCUGUCUUGUUCUAAAACAAAGGUGCAUAAAGGAGAAAGGGGAGUGUUGGCCCAACAUUGUCCAUCUCCCCUGCAUGGAGAUUAACUGUGAUAACUUGAGAUUGAAGGUCAUUUCUCUAUGCUCAAACUUAGAAGGAAAAUUCAUUCAACCGUAUCCCAUCCUUACUUUUAAUCAGGUAUGACCAUUCAUAUUAUCAAUGCAGUUUUAUUUGAAUUCUAUUUUUCCCACUCAGAAAGAGAGAAGAAAAAGCAAACAGAAAGAAAGAAAUCAAAGACCGCAGUCCCCUCCUUAUAUCAAUUAUUAGAUUUGCCUGUCCAUACACAAUGCAUAAUUCCCAAUACCAUUUACUGUUAGAUAAUUUUAGAAAUUUCUUGGUUACAUGUAGGGAGUCAAAAGCAAUGCAGAUGAAAUCUGAGGUUUCUUAAUCAUAAUUUUGUCCUUUUUGGUAUGUUCUCGAAUCUUGAUCCCAAUAGCCAGAUGAUUGGUUUUUAAUUUUUAUUUUUUUUGGAUAUGCUUAAUUUUUGUUUCAAGUAUUCUUCUACCAGCACUGCAAUCCCUUCUUAAUUUAUGAUGGGAUUUUUCACUAAUGGUUCGGUGGCCAUGAAGUAGGUUUUUAUUACAGUUGUGGCUAGAUAUUUCUUUUCAUAUAUAUAUAUAUAUAUAUAUAUAUUGCUCUUAUCUUCCUUUCCACACAUGCACAUAAUUUUUCAAGAGUAAAGAGCCUUGGCAGAUCUAUCAUUUUUUGCAGUGCUUUGGACCCUUUCUUUGGCCAAGAAAUGUAGUUUCAUAUCUCACUCUGGUCAGACACUUUUUGUUCUUAUAGUUUCUUUAUAGAAUUUACCCUUUUCAAGUACAUGGUAACACACAAAGCCUUAAAUAUGUUUCUUAGUUAUUCACUGAAUGCAUAUGCUAUUUUGAGAAAAUGACAAUCAUUGAAUGCUUAAGCUUAGGUGCCUUUUGCCGAAGGAAGGGCUGUUAGUAGCCACACUUCUUGAUCUAUAAAUUCAGGGCUUUGCCCUUUGAUGGUCGAAGUUGAGAGGAUUAACCCAAAAUAGUGCACAUCCCAACUUAGGGAUAGCUUUUCUUCUAUGAACACUUUUUUUUUUUUAAUUUUAUUUUUAUAUCACAAAACUGGAAGCAGAUGACAUCUCAUUCACAAAAGACAACUCCUAUGGACUUGAUACAAGUUUCUACCUUGAUACUUGAAAAGGUGAAACAUAAAUUUUUACCUUUGAUACCAUUCUCUUGCAUUGCCUUCUAGCUCAGUGAGGCUUCCAUUGGGUCGUGGUGUUGGUGGUCAAUUUCCAUAUUCAUUGCCUUUUCAGAUGACGAAUUUCUGUUUCUAUAAUUUAUAGUCCCUAGCUUCCCUGGUUACCACUUACCAGAACCUCACUUCUCUUGCAGUGCUGUUCAUCUCAAAUGUCCCAAGCUCAGGUCAUUUUUUCAAAGGAAAUUUCCUAUUGUUAACAAGGCGUCCAAAGGAGAAAGAAGAAGAUUGAUUCAAAACUGCACGGAUCCCCUGUUCAGCUACUUCAUUGGAUAUAUGAGUUGGAACUAAAUUCUGUUUUCUGUGCACAAAAAGAGAAGAAGAUACAUUUCUUCCUUCCAUUUUUUCAUGCAGGUCUGCCUGCCUACUCACAAAUACACAACGUCUAAUAUCAUUGGUUCAAAAACAAUUUCAGUUAUAUAUUGAUGGAAAUUUCCUCUCUCUCUGCAUGUAGGAGGAAAAGAACAACAAAGGAAAUGAAUUUAAAAAUUUUCCAACCAAAGCUCAGCCUAUUCAAAGGGUGGUAGGUUAAUGAUGUGAACUGUAGAUGAUGUUUUUUUCUGUCUUUUCAAGUAAAUCUAAUAGUUCUCUGCUCUGGAGGUUGAUAUGCUUCAUGUUUUAUUUCAUUGUGUUUGUAUGGCCCAAGAAAUUGCAUUUUAAAUGAUCGCUAGAAUUUCAUUGAUGAUUUGAGUAGAGGUGGAUUUGGAAUGCAGUUACUGUGGAAAGUAUAAAGCAAAAUCAAAUAUAAUCAAAUUUAUUUAAAAUUUUAUAUAAAUUCUUCAUUCUUUAUAUAGAGGAUGAAAAUAUGUUUUAAGAUGAUUGGAAAUUUUAUUAACUUUAAUAUCAAGUUUUUUUCGUCAUUUUUAGUUUCCUUCAAUUUUCCCUCUAUUCUUUUCCCUUGUACUUUCUCUCAAACAUUCCAUGAUCCAAAUAGAGUCUCAUUGUUUUUAAUUUUAGAACUAUCACAAAAUUGCUCUGAAGGGACUAGAAGGAUGUGCUUGGAAGUUUUUAGAACAGAACGUAUAUCACACUUAUUAAACAUGAAGCAAUUUAUUCAUUGAGCUGUAAACUGCCCCUUUUUUUACCAUAUUAUGGUUGGUGCAUGCAUGAUGUGCUUAACAAAUAUCCUAGCAUAGUAAGAAUUGCAUGACAAUCUUUAAAGUUGUCAAUGUAAUUGUGUUACAAUGUUUAAAGUUUUUAAUUUUGAUUUUUUGUUUAGUAGCCAUUUUGGUAUCUGUAUUUAGUCCUGUGUAUGACAAUUUCCUCUAUGCUACAGAGUUCCCCUUUGGUCAGAUAGUGAGAGGCUUCAUCUUAAAUCAAUUCAACCUUAACUUUUUCAUUGGGCUUGGAUAUGAUCAAGAAUAAUUGCAGAGUGGUUAAGGAGGGAUUUCCCAUGGCAAAGAAUGGGGAAUAAGUUAAGAAUCGGGAUGAUUUUCUCACCAUAUAAGAUAAUGGGUUUGGGUACGACAAGGUUGGGGCCAUUCAACAAGGCUUAUUAGGCAACUGUCUUCAGAGAUCUGCAAUGGGGGCCAGAUUGUUGAGGAAAGAUGAGAGGAAAAUGAGGUGAAGGUUAUUUGGUGAUUUUGUGGAAAGCCAUUGAAAAUGGUUUUCAAAAACUUUAAUAAACCUACAACACAUAGGAUUGGGGUGAUAAGAGCAAGCUUAGAUUUUGGCUGGAUUUUUUGCACAGUGAUAGCAUCCUAAAUUGAAGCCUAUUCAGACUCAUUCAAAUUUGUCAUGAGAUGCAGACAGAAGCCAGAAGCAAAUUUUCUUUGAAGGAGGUAUCGGACAUUAGGGUGCAAGGAAGUUAUCACUUUCCAUGGGGAAAGCCCAUAUAAAUAGAGUUUUUUUUACUGAUAAUCAGGUGAACAGAUGAAAAAUCCUCCCAAAUUGCUUUUGUUAUAUGACCAAAUUUGCUGCAAAACAGCAUAUGAGUUGGUAGUGCAUUUUUUGGUGACUGCAGGGUUAAUGGACCUUUUUGGGUGUUGUGGGUGACCUCAAACCAUACAGAAGUUGUUAUCAGGUUGUCACAGAAGAGUUGUGGCUUAGCACCAAAGGACAAUGUGGAUGACAGGUUUUCUAAGCAUUUAGUCUAGAAUGGAUGGAGAAAAAAGAGAGAAGAAAUUCUCAAGGGAAUGAGGUUUCUUUAACAUGUAAGAACAAAUGGCUUUUAUCACGAGUUUCCUUGAUGAUAUGUGUUUUUCAAUGCAUUCUCUUCCCUUGAUAAUUAUCUUUUUUGUUUUUUUCCUUUUUUGUUUCCUUUUGGGAUCCACAUAUAUACUUUGAAUCCUUUGUCUGCUUCAGACCCUUCUAUAGUCAUGCUUUUGAGCAGUUAAGAAGAUACUAGAUUAUUUAUUGGAUGCUCAUGAACUUUUUUUUUUUCAAAUUUUUAGGGUAUUCAAGUUUAGACGCAUUCUGCAGGGGAGCUACAACAUGGUCUUACACCUCUGGGAAGCCCCAUAAGUACUCUUGUUGUAUUUUGGAGUUCCAUUGCUAAGAUGGGGAAAUACUAAAAAAAGUUGCUUACACACCUUUAUAUGUAUGUAUAAAUUCAAUUGAGUAGGCCUCAAUACUGGUGGUCAAUUUCCAUAUUGGUUUCCUUUUCAGAUGAUUAAUUUCUAUUUCUACAACCUUUCUUCCCUAGGUCUCCAAAACAUCACUUCUCUUACAGUGCCAUUCAUCUCAAAUUGCCCUAAGCUCUGGUCCUUCUGCCAAAAGCAGGGCUGCCUGCAAGAUCCUCAAUGCUUGAAAUUCUUAAACAAGGUGCCUAAAGGAAAAACAAGAAUAUAGAUCCAAGACUGUGCACAUACCCUAUAUUCAGCUACAUCACUUGUUGGACUAUAUGAGUUGGAAUUGGAUUCUACUUUCCCUGCUCAACCAUAGAAGCAGAGACCAAUAUUCCCUUCUUUUUUCAGCCAGGUAUGCCUACCUAAUCACAAAUACACAGCUCUCCUUAAGUAUAUCUGAAAGUUAAUAUGUGCCAUCCCUUCUAACACAAUAUUUGUAUGGCCAACUUAAUUAAUUAUUUUUUAGUUUCUCCCUAGAUUUUUCAUUGAUGAUCUCAUUGGAGGUGAAUUUUGAUCGCAAUUAUGUAUUGGUGUUCUCUUGAGCUUUGUUCCUUAUAUUGCUCUUUUUUCCUCUGUUCCAUGAUCCUGUCCUACUUUCCAAAUCAUAUCUACAAUAUGCAUAUAUUUUAUGUACAAUUUUCUGGGAUGAAAGAUAUUUGGGUGACAUCACCUUUAUAUAGUUCAAGCACAAUUUAUGAAUUCAUUUGCCCCAAAACAAAUGUUGGUGUGCAUCGCAAAGUCUAGUGAGAUAUCUUUUUUAUUGAGUUUCUCUAGAGCAGUUACUCUUUUUAUUUACACAAUAAUAAGCAGUGCCUAGUUACAUAUUUUAAUUGCAUAAAAGCCGCCUUUACUGUUUUCAUAAUCUCUAAACAUGCUUAAAAUUUUAAUAACAUGUAUCUAAUGGGAAAUAAAGGAAAAUCGAAACAUACCUCCAACCAUUGAUGGUUUGAGAAUCCGAAAAUCAAAUUUGAUAUUUAAAUAGGUUAUGUCUAAAUAAAGAUUGGAGGCUUAGGAACCUAACCACAAAGACUCUAUUUAUAUGCACUUUGCUUGAGUAAUGUCAUAAUUAUAGUUGUUAAUGACAAUCAAAAAAGAAAACUAUAUGAAUGAAAUCCAUAACAUUAUGAGCCAGAUUUUUGGACCCAUUUAGGAAAGCCUAGCAUUAUUCCAAUGGAAGAUUAUGACCCAGAUUUUUGUACCCUUUAGGAAAAUCUAACAUAUUUUUCAAUCACAACAUGGAAGCAAAAACCCCAACAAUCCCAUUAAUACAUUAAGAUUAAGAGAAUAAUUAAUUUAAUAUAUUAUUAGUGAAGUUUUUAUUUUUUCUACCUUAGCAUUUUCAAUGGAUAAACAUAACUUAUUUAUGAAAAGACAACAUUUGAAAAGAUUUAUUUUAUUUAUUUAAUAUUUUAAUUGGACUAAUAUUAAUAUUUGUAAAAUUUUUAAUAUUAGAAAUUUUAACUUAUUUAAGAGUAUUGUUUAUUUCUUAAAAAAAUAACAUAUUUAAGAAAUUAAUCUAUGUUCAAAUUAUUACACUAUCUUUAAAAUUAAUAGAAGUUUUUAUUUCAAUAAUAUUGAUUGAUAUACUUCUCUUAACAAUAGGAUAAAGUAUGAUUCAAUUAUAUUCAAAUAUGGCACUAUGCAUUAUAAAUACUUUGAGAAAAUAUAAUGAUAAUUCAUGAGUCAUUCUUUCAGCCUAAUUUAUGCAUUUUUAAUGUGUUUGAAUUUAAUAAAGUCUUUGUUGAAGGAGUUUUCAAUAAUUUUGAUUCCUCUUAAAUUAAUUUUAUAAUUAGAUAAUUUUUUAUUUCAAUUAAAUCAAAAUAUGACAUAAUCUAUUAAAUAAGAAAUUAUAAUAAUAAUAAUGGAAAAUUAAUGAAUCAUUGAAGUUUUUAAUGUGAAAAAGUUAGAAUUCACAUUUAAUUUUUUUAAUUUGUUAAAUCUAAAAUUAUAUAUAAACUAAUAUAUUAUUAUAUUUUUAAUGUUAUAAAUCUAAAUUAUAUAUUAAAUAAUGUAUUUAAUAAUCAAGGUGAGGAAUGGGGUUCCAUCCCUGAUUCGGACUCUUCACUCCGAUCCCAACUCCAACAAGCCUACCCUACAUGUUGAUUUUUGUAGACAUGCUGCUGUUGCCUUUUCUUGAAGAUAUUCCAACAGCUUUUGGUCAUACUGCCCAGUGACAGCUCUGGUUUGAUAGGAUUACUAUUCUUUGAUUAUGGAUUUUAAAACUUAUGUAUGCUGUCCUUAGGCAUCACAUUCAAAAUUCAACCGCAGGAGAUGUGUCUUCUAGUCUGGCCUCUUCCAACUCGGGUGAUUUGGAAGUAUUCCCCGUAAUGAGAAGUUAAGCUUAUAAAUCUUAUGAGACCAACACUUCUACUUUGGUCUCAUCAAAGCUUUUGUAGUAAAAUUUAAAAAUCUAAAAAAUCAAUAUAGUAUUAAAAAAUCACUUAUAGUGUUUUUUGUAAAUAUAUUAAAGAGUUUAUUUGAUAGGAAUUUUAAUAAGUGUUUCUAAUAUUUUUUAUAAUUCAAAAUUUUUAUCUUUCAAGCAUCCGAAAAAUUAAAAACACUUCGAAAAAUUACUAUAAAAUAUAUUCUAAGAUUACAUUUGACAGUGAUUUAAAAAAGCAUUUUUAAUUUUUUUUAAUACUUAAAAAAUAAAUAUUUUAAAAUAUUAUAAUGGUCUUCUUAAACUCGUUAUCAAGUAAACUCUUAAUAGUUGAUUCUUUUAAAAAUGCUUUAAAAAAAAUACCAAAUGGAAUCACUAAAAACACCGUCAUACCACUUAUAUUUAUUUUGUACUAAGCAUUAAAAAAAUCUAAAAAUUAUAUAAAAACUAUAUAUUCAACCUCCCAUUAUUAUUUUUUUCCUCCAUUAGUAAGAGUACUUCCUACACUUUCUAUUGUUUGGAGCUUCUUUGGGUAUCUUUGACAGAUUAAGAGUUUUAUUUUAUUUUAUUUUAUUUUAUUUUAUUUUAUUUUUUAUGAAUUUAUCAGCACCAACCAAAAAAAAUAUCAUAUUUUCUCCUUACCUGCCGGCCCAUGGACUGCAGUCCGUGUGGACCAAGACGGGAAUCCUACGCCAUAUUCAACCUAACUAACAAAUACUAAAUAUAUUUUUCUUCUGAAGUUGCAGAGAGUCCCCUUAAUCCUUGUUACGUACAAUCUAUUCUGCAGAUUUGCAUAGAGUUCCCUCAAUCCCUUGUUACCCUGCAAACCAAAAAUAUGGCUGGGUUUGUUGGAGAAGCAGUUCUAUCUGGUUUCAUCCAGAAGCUGGUUGACAUGGUCACCUCCCCGGAGCUGUGGAAGUAUGCAUGGAAAGAGCAAGUGGAUUCUGAGCUGAACAAGUGGAAGAAAAUAUUGAUAAAGAUCCAUGCAGUGGUCCAUGACGCAGAGGGGAAGCAGAUGACAAACCCCUGGUCAACAUGUGGCUAGACGAGCUCAGAGACUUGGCUUACGAUGUGGAGGACAUCUUGGACGACUUCGCCACCGAAGCUUUGCGAAGCAGCUUGAUCAUGGCUCAACCCCAACAGGGCACUAGUAAGGUACGAGGCAUGCUCUCUUCUCUCAUUCCGAGUGCUUCUACGUCUAAUUUUAGUAUGGGUUCUAAGAUCGAGGAGAUCACUGCAAGAUUACAAGAUAUUUCAGCCCAAAAGAAUGACUUGGAUUUACGAGAGAUUGCCGCAGGGUGGUCUGAUAGAAAGAGAAAGCGAGCACAGACACUGCCUAACACUUCUCUGGUGGUUGAAUCCCGUGUUAUGGUAGAGAAACAGAUAAAGCGGCCAUAGUCGACAUGUUGCUCAAGGAUGAUCCAAGUAGUGAUGAGGAAGUCUCUGUAAUUCCAAUUGUCGGUAUGGGAGGUAUCGGCAAAACUACUCUGGCUCAGCUUGCCAUCAAUGACGAUAAAGUGAAGGGCCAUUUUGAUUUGAGAGAAUGGGUAUAUGUUUCUGAUGACUUUGACGUUUCGAGAAUAACCAAGACCAUUCUACAAUCUGUUGAUCCGGGUACUCGUGAUGUCAAUUAUCUCAAUUUGCUUCAGGUCAAUUUGAAGGAGAAUUUUUCUGGGAAGAAGUUUCUUCUUGUGUUAGACGAUGUUUGGAAUGAGAAUUGUCAUGAAUGGGAUACUUUGUGCAUGCCAAUGAGAGCUGGGGCACCAUUGGCAGAAGGCUUUUUGCAACAAACAAAGGGGAAUACCAGGCCAGAAGACUUAGGUUCUAAAUACUUGGAUGAUCUGUUCUCCAGGUCAUUUUUUCAACAUUCAAGUCAAUAUUCAUCCUGAUAUGUGAUGCAUGAUCUCAUCAAUGAUCUAGCUCAAUCAGUUGCAGAAGGAAUAUGCAUGCUUUCAUUUGGAUAGUGCAUGGGAGAAUAACAAACAAUCCACCAUUUAUGAGAAGGCUCAUCAUUCAUCAUUCAAUUCUAGAAGGUCCCAAAUGUUGAGAAAAUUGGAACACUUACAUAAGGUGAAGUGUUUGAGAACAUUGGUUGUACUGCCGAUCGAUAUAUUUUCUCCGUAUUCAAUAUCAAGCAAGACGCUAGAUGGCCUUUUAAAGGAAGUGAAAUGUUUGCGAGUAUUAUCUUUAAGUGACUCCAUAAUAAAUAAGUUACCCAAUUUGAUUGGCAAUCUUAAAUAUUUGUGGUAUCUCAAUUUGUCCAAAUCUUUCAUAAAAAAGUUACUUGAUUCGGUGGGUCAUCUUUACAAUUUACAAACACUGAUCUUAUCUUAUUGCCAGAGACUUACCAUGUUGCCUAUGGGAAUUAGAAACCUUAUCAAACUUCCACACCUUGAUAUCUCUAAUACAUCUCAAUUACAAAAAAUGCCUUCUCAAAUCGGAAACCUAACAAAUCUACAAACCUUAACUAAGUUUAUUGUGGGCGAAGGCAACGGCUAGGGGAUAAGAGAAUUGAAGAAUUUGUUUGAUCUUCGAGGAGCGCUUUCAAUUUUUGGGUUGCACAAUGUAAUGGAUAUUCAAGAUGUAAGGGAUGCCAAUUUAGAGAGUAAGCACCACAUUGAGGAGUUAAGAGUGGAAUGGAGCAAUGACUUUGGUGCUUCACGAAAUGCAAUGCAUGAAAGGCAUGUUUUGGAGCAGCUACGACCUCGUAGAAAUCUAAAAAAGCUCACAGUUGCAUCUUAUGGUGGAUCAGAAUUCCCAAGUUGGAUGAAGGACCCAUCAUUCCCCAUAAUGACACACUUAAUUCUCAAGGAUGGCAAGAGAUGCAAAUCAUUACCAGCUCUGGGCCAAUUAUCCUCACUCAAAGUAUUGCAUAUUGAAGGGUUGAACGGAGUUAGCAGCAUAGAUGAAGAGUUUUAUGGAGGGAUUGCGAAGCCUUUUCCAUCCUUGGAGUAUCUAAAGUUUGAGGAAAUGGCUGAAUGGGAAUACUGGUUUUGUCCUGAUGCAAUUAACGAAGGUGAAUUAUUUCCAUGUCUUCGAGAGCUUACAAUAAGGGGAUGUCGGAAGUUAGGUAAACAGUUGCCCUGGUGAAACUUGACAUUAUUGAAUGUCCAAAUUUGGGAGUUUCUAUUUCAAGAUUUGCAUCUCUCGGUGAAGUAAGUUUAGCAGAAUGUAAUGAGAUGGUGUUGUCAAGUGAGGUUGAUAGUGGGCUUCAAACAGUCUCUAUGCGAGGAUGCGAUUGGCUUGUAUCAUUGGAGGAGCAAAGGCUGCCUUGCAAUCUUAAAAUUUUGAGGAUUAAAAAGUGUCUUAAUCUAGAGAAGCUGUCAAAUGGAUUGCAGACUCUCAUGUGUCUCGUGGAGCUGGAAAUGCUGGAAUGCCCCAAACUGAAGUCAUUUCCAGAUACGGGGUUGCCACCAUUGCCAAGACGACUUGUGAGUGGUUGCGAAGGUCUAAAAUUGCUGCCUCAUGACUAGAGCUCAUCUGCGCUUGAAUCCUUGGAGGUAUAUGCAUGUCCAUCUCUCAGAUGUUUUCCAAAUGGUGAGCUACCAGCCACACUAAAGAAAUUAUAUAUUGAAGAUUGUGAAAAUUUAGAGUCUCUACCAGAAGGAAUGAUGCACCACAAUUCUACUUGUCUUGAAAUAUUGUGGAUUAAUGGUUGUUCGUCUCUCAAGUCCUUUCCAACAAGGGAGUUACCCUCCACCAUUAAGCGACUUCAGAUUUGGUAUUGCUCCAACUUGAAGUCCAUGUCAGAGAACAUGUGCCCCAACAAUUCAGCUCUUGAAUAUUUAAGGCUUUGGGGUCAUCCAAAUCUGAGAACCCUACCAGACUGCCUUCACAACCUCAAGCAGCUAUGUAUAAAUGAUCGUGAAGGUCUGGAGUGCUUUCCAGCAAGAGGCUUGUCCACCUCCACCCUCACAACCUCAAAUUUUUUUGUUGACUUUCUAUGACUAUUGUUUUGGAUUUACUUGAAACAUAGUAAAUUUAGUUAUUUUUCUUCUUCAAGUGUUUAUAAUUAAUGAACUUAGAUGUGGAUACCUAGAUGCAAUUUUCUAUUCAAAUAUUAGAGUUGCUAUGGGAAAGAUGAAUGAAGGAAACCUAUAAAUGAUGAAGCUUAAGCUAGCCAUGGACGUAGAGGAUUCAAGUUGGUGCUGAAUCAAAAGAAUGAAGAGUCAUGCAAUGCUUUCCAAAUAUUCCUAAAUUGUAAUGUUUACUUGUCAUUCCAUUUAAUCUUUGGAAGAAUUAUUUCAACAGAUCCCUUCAUUAUUUCUCUCCCUGUAUUUGCAUCUAAAUAUCACUCAUUCAACCUCUGUGUAAACUAUUUUGACAUAUUACAUUUCCAUUAAUAGUGUUGCUGAAGUUCUCACAAUUUGAUCUCCAAUUCCUGCUAAUUCAAGAUGCGUCUUAUUUGACAGGAAUGUUCCAUUCCCUUGAUGAAUAAGGGAUUUUGGCUGCAGUGACUAGUCAAGCAAUGAAAGCAAACAAAUAGGUACGUCUGCCCGUUCACGAUACCUGACUUCCAAUUUCAGUGGCCCACUACUAUUUCCACUUUCAGAUACUAAUAGAAAAUUCCUCUGAAGAUGUAGGAAGGGGAAAAGGAUUGUGAAGUUUAGACGAAAAUUUUCCUGUUCAUAGCUGCAGUCUAUUCCCAUGCUGGUAUGUUCUUGAUUUCUCCAAUAGGUGAUAUUUUUUUUCCUUUUAUCUUUUUGUGCAAGUUGAUCGGCUUCAUUCUUUAUACUAGUAUGGUUCUAUCACCAAUUUAGUUAUUUUUUAAGAUGUUUCAUUGAUGUCUUCACCAAGAGGUGGAUUUUGAUUACAGUUAUGUCUUGGCAUCUUCUCUUAAUUUUGUUCUUCAUGCUGCUUUUAUCCUCUCUUUUAACACAGACACAACUAUUCUCUUAGCAUAGCGUGAUUGACCUGACUUUGCAUAUAUACUUAUGAAUUGUUUUGCUGCAAAACAAUGUAGUUUCAUGUAUGAAACUCUGAUGUGAUAUCUUUUGAUUUUAAAGUUCCAGAUUGCAUUUACUAUUUUUAAUUAAAAAUUACACACAAAGCCUCAAAUAUUUGGUUUUUUUCGGGAAUUAUAUGUUUAGAAGUUCAUUGGUUGCUUAUGUAUGUUAACUUUAAGGACAAUUUGUGUUAAGGGUAUAACAGUUUUGUUUUGGUUUCAGUUUGAUCGUAAGAAGAUUGCAGUACUUUGGACCCUUUCUUCAACCAAGGAAUGCUGUUUCAUAUCUCACUCUGGUAAGGCAUCUUUUCUUUUUUUAAUAGAAUUUACCCUUUUUAAGUGAACAUCUUAUCUUAGAUGUUCACUGGAUGCAUGCAAUCUCUGAAUGCUUAGGCCUUGGUGCCUUCUGCCAAAGGAGGGCUGUUGGUUGCCACUCUUCUGAAUCUAGAAAUUCAGGGCUUCAUUGUCUAAAACAUUUAUUAUUUGACGGUCGAACUGCCUACUCAUGAAAGCACAACGUUUAUAUCACUGGUUCAACAUCAGUGUUAGUUGUUAUAUACUGAUGGAAAUUUCCUUUCUGCAUGUAGGAGGAAAAGAACAAGGGAGAUGAAUUAAAAACUUUUCCAACCAAAGCUUAGCCAAUUCAAAUGGUGGUAUGUUAAUGACGUCAACUGUAGAUGAUAGUUUUCUGCUCUGGAGACUGAUAUGCUUCAUCUUUCAUUUCAUUGUGAUGGUGUGGCAAAGUAAAUUGCUCUUUGAUUGAUCACUAUAGCUUUUCAUUGAUGGUUUCACUAGAGAUGGAUUUGGAAUGCUAGUAAGUCUGAUAGUUCUGUUCCUUACAGUGCUCUUUUCCUAUGUUCCCCUUUCUACGUACAGUUAUAAUGCGUAUAUUUGUAUGUAUGAUUUUUCAGGAUGAAAGAGACUUGAUCCACAUCCUAUUGCCUUUUGCAGAAUUUUGACCCCUGACAUCACCUCUGUAUAGUUCAAGCAUAGCUUAUGAACUCAUUUGCCACAAAACAAAGGAAUGUGUGCAUCUUGAACUCCAGUAAGAUAUAUUUUAGUUGCACAAAACCAUUAGGCUCCAUUGGGAUCAUGAAAAGUGCUAAGGAAAAAAAUGGUAGAACCAAUCAAAAUUCUCUUGCUUGGUUUACCAUGGAAAGUACAAAGCAAAAUCAAGUAUAAUCAAAUUUAACUAAAAUUUUACAUAUUUUUAAAUUCUUCAUUCUUUACAUAGAGGAAUGAAAAAGCCAUGUGUUCGAAGAAACAUGGAUGAAAAUUUUAUUAAAUUUAAUAUCUAUUUUAUUAUCUCUCUUCGUCUUUACUUUCAUUCCACUUUUUUUUUAAUAGGCAAAGGCAAAUUGAAUUAAGAAAACGCCAAAAACAGAGGGCGCACUCUACAUAUAUAGGCAAUAUACAAUAAGAGCCAAACCAGGCUGCAAAAUUCGUUCCACUUUCUCCUCCUUUCUUCCCCUCAAACUUUCCAUGAUCCAAACAAAGUCUCACUAUUUUUAAUUUUAAGUCUUUCACAAAAAUUGCUCUUAAGGAGAACGAAGGAUGUGUUUGGAAGUUUUUAAAAUAAAAUGUAUAUCACACUUAAUAAACAUGAAGCAAUUUCUUCUUUGACAUAUAAUCUUCCCCUUUUUGACCAUAUCAUUGUUGGUGCAUGCAUGGUGUGCUUAACAAAUAUCCUAGCACAGCAAGAAUUGCAUGGUGAUAUUUAAAGUUGUAAAUGUAAUUGUAUUACAAUGUAGAAAAGUUUUUAAUUUUGAUGUUUUUGUAUUUGUACCCAUUUUGGUGUCUAGACUCAAUCUUGUGCAUGACAUUUCCUCUAUGCUGCAGAGUUCGUCUUUGGCCAGACAAAAAUGAUCAAUGAAUGUGAUAAUAAAGGUUUUCCUGAAGGCUUCCUGUUAUUUUCUCUGGGCUUGGGAAUGAUUGGGAAUAAUUGCAGGGUGGUUGUGGAUGGAUUUCUCGUGACAAAGAAUGCAGAAUAAGUUAAGACUUAGAAUCGGGGAUGAUUUUCUCACCAUAAUGGGGUUCGGGUACAAGAAGGUUAGGGUCAUUAAACAAGGCCUUAUUAGGCAAAUGGAUAUAGAGACCUACAGUGGGGCCCAUUGUGGAGGAAGAUGGUAAGGAGGAAGAAUGGGAGGAAGAUGAGGUAAAGGCCAUUUGGUGAGUUUGCAGAAAGGCAUUGGAAAUGGUUGUCAAAAAAUUUGGUAAACCUACAACACACACAUGAUUGGGGUGAUAAGAACAAGCUUAGAUUUUGGCUGGAUGUUUUGUACAGUGGUAGGAUCCUAAAUUGAAUCCUAUCCAUACCCAAUGAAAUUUGUCAUGAGAUGCAGAGUGGAGCCGGAGGGAACUUUUCUUUGAAGGAAGCAUAAGACAGUAGGGUGUCAAGGAAGGUGUCAAUUGUCAUGGGGAAAGCCCAUUCAAAUAGAGUUAUUGCUACUGAUAAUUAGGUGAACAGAGGAAAGGCCCUUCCCAAAUUGCUUCCAUUAGAUGAGAAAAUAGGCAGAAGAAACAGUAGAUCAGUUGGUGAUGCAUUUUUUGGUGACUGCAGAUUAAUGGUAAUCUUGGGUGCUGAAGGUGACGCCUCGGACUGUAUAAGGAGUUGUUAUCAGGUUGUCACAGAAGAGUUGUAGCUUAGAGCCGAAGCACUAUGUGGAUGGCAGUGAUUUUAAGCUUUUAGUCUAGAAUAGAUGGAGAAAAAAAAAAUAGAAGAAAUUCUUGAGGGAAAGAGGCUUCUUUAACAUGUAAGAACAAAGGGGUUUUUGUCAUGAGUUUCCUUGAUGAAAUACGACAGUCCAAUGCAUUCUCUUCCUUUGAUGGUUAUCUUUUUAUCUUUUUCCUUUUCUAUUUCCUUUUGGGACCCACGUAUACACUGAAUCUUCUAUCUGCUUUGGACUCUUCUGUAGUCAUGCUUUAGAGCAGUUAAGAACAUAUUGCCUUUAUUGAUUGGAUCCUCAUAAACACUUGUUUUCAUUUAGUAAGAUGAGUCCAUUUAUAGUUCAUUAGCUUACAAGAAGAUUUUUUUUUCCAAAUUUCAGGGUAUUCAUGUUUAGACACAUUCUCCAGGAGGGGGGCUACAACUUGGUCUUGCUAUAAUUGUGCUCAAUAAGUCUUAUUGCAUUUUUGGAGUUCCAGUGCUAAGGUAGGGAAUAACUAUAAAAUGUUGUUUCUAUAUACAUAUAGAUAUAUUGCUUUUGAAGCUUUAGCAUGUGGACCUGGUCAAUGCUAUAAGCUUAUGGAACACAAUUACAUCCAUUGUCCUCUAACUAGUCCUUGUUAUUUCUUCUCUCCCACUCAAUGCCACAAAACCAGCUUCUGCAGGUUGCUUUUGGUGCAUCUAGUAGUGUUGGUAUCCUCAGCUCCAGAGCCUCGUACCGGAAAGAAGAGCCUCAUCAGCUCCCUAGUCAUUGGAAUACCUUAAAGGGGAGUUGUGGGUCUUACCAAAUAGCUCAAAAAGAUUGAACAGUUCCUCAGACAACACUAUGGGAGAGCCCAUUUGGCUAUAUGCUUCUCUUUCAUUUUGUCCAAGCCACUCUGCCUGCACAAAUCUACUACUGCAUUUACAUUGAUGGGUCUGUCAUAAUCGUUUUUGGGAUUGGGAUUGGGAUUGGGGUUGGGACUGGGACUGGGACUGGGUUUCUCUUAUAUUCACUGUAUCUCAAUAUGAUUAUGGAUGCUAAGUGUGAUAAAAAUUGUUGAAUGAUAAAUAUAGGAAUUCAGAGUAGAAGACCAAUUUUCUGGUGAGUUAUUGCUCUCGGAAGAGAUUGGAAGCCUGGUCAACCUUGACAUCUCAAUCUUACUCAUGCUCUCAAAUUAUAAAAUUGAAACAUUUGUUGCUGGAUCCUCGGGAAAAUAUUUGUAUUUCAGGGCUGUUUAGUGUGGUUAAUGUCAGAUAUGGAAAAUAAAUAAAUUUAUUUUGAUAAUAUUUAAACUAAUAAUAUAUUUUAAUAUUAAAAUAAAUAUAUGUAUUAUAAAAUUAAUUGAUUUUAUAUACUAAUUUCAAUACAUAAAAAUAAUUAUAAUUAUUACUAAUAUAUUACUUAUAAUUAUAAUAUUUAUAAAAGUAAAUUAUGUUUACCAUCUUAUCUUGAUUUUAAAAAAUAAUUUGGUUUUUUAUCCCGAAUUUUAUCUUUCAAUUAAUUUAAUUAAUUAUUAUUAAAAUAUAAAUUAAUUUAAUUUUAGACUCUUUCUUCUUUCUACUAUAUACAAUAAAUAUUUUAAUUAUUAAACUUCAUUUAUUAUUUUUUGUUUCUUUCACUUACUUCCACAUCACUUCUUCAUAUUAAUAUUGCUUUCGAAAAUAAUUUUAAAUUAGAUCAUAAUUAUUUUCAAUCAAUUCAAAAUAUUGAGGAUAAAUAAAUUUUAAUUUUAAGGAAAUUACUCAUUGAAGAAAGGUUUUUAAGUCAUGUUGCAUUUUAUUAUUAGUUAAAAAUAUAAUUAAAAAUAAGAAAAUACAUAGUAUUCAUAUGAUAAUAUAAUUAUUAUAAAAUCAAAAAAUUUAUGGGCACAACUACCAUGCUUAGAGGGCUUUUUAAGCACCGCAUCCCCAUGGGCACAAAAAAUUUAUGGGAAAGUUAGUGCCCGUGACAACUACCAUGUUUUUUGAGUUAUAAUGUUGUAGUAUUCAUAUGCUUUUUAAGUCAGUCUUUUUCUCUUGCAAUAACAAGUAGACCCACCGAAUUGAUUUCGUAAAUUGUAGCGGGCAAGGGUUCUCACUCAAUUUUGUUUGGGCGAAAAACAAUUGCAAGUUAUCAAGACUAUUGCAAUAUAGUAAUUUGUACACCACCUCAAAAUAGUAUGGAUUUAACUCUAAUUAAAUAAUCAAAAAAUAUAAAAGAAAUUAAUCAUUUUAAUUAUAUUUAACUUUUAUCGGUACUAUUUUUUUUUCUUUUUCUACUACUUUUCGGGAACCAAACCUGGUCAAAGCAUUUUAUAAGUACGAAGCAAACAAUAUUUGUGUGCUUUAGGAGUUGUUGGGAAUGUUUAAAAAGCAAGUCUCAAGAAAAAUCAUUUGAAUUUUUUUUUAAAAAAUAAUUUAUAAUUAUUUUCGAGAGCAUAAUUUCUUUUUUAAGGAAUUUAAAUAUGAAAAAAUAAAUGUUUUUUAAGCAUAAUUGUUAUUUGUAUUAGAUGAAAAACCAAUGUCUCGAUAGGGUAAUACCCAAAUGGGGUGAAUGACUAUAUUUCAAAGAUUUUAAUAUAAUAAUUGAAAAUUUUAAUCUAAUUAAACAUUUGAGAAUCAGUUAAUCCUUUUUAACAUAAUUAAACCCAAUAGGAAAUUACAAAUGAUCAAUGACACUACACACAACACAAGAGGCUUUUUACAUGGAAAAUCCUCACACUCACUAUAAAAAUAAAAAAUCAUAGGGUUUAAGAUUUCAAAUCUAAAAUCCACUUUAUGAUAUUAUGAUAUAAAGUUUUACCUAACUGUUUACCCUAAGACUUUCUCUCUAGUACCUAUAUCACGACUUACAUUUGCAACGCAGUACCUUAAAUACUUCAAUGGAUUUGCCUUAACCUCUAAAGGGGAUGUAAGUCUCUUCACAUCUCAGAAUUUGUUCAAAGAACCUUUGAGAGCUUUUGCGAAUAGUAAGACAAGUUAGGGUAUUUUCUAAAUGAGAACUUCCAAUCUUAAAACACAUAUAGGCGGGGUAUAUAUAGGCUUAAAGAUUCUAGAAGGUCAAAAAUGAAGUUUUCUUUUUUUUAAAAAAAAAAAAAAUCUCAACUUUGUAAAAAUUAAUUAAGACAUUUUAGCUCAAUUUUGAAACUUCCAAUCGAAUCCUACCUUAUAUAUAUAAAAAAAAAAACUAAUUUACCUUGCUAGAAUAAAAAAGAAUAAAAUUGUCAACAACAAAAACAAAACAUAAUAUUCUAACAUUGAAUAACUUGAAUUCAGAAAUAAAUGAAUAUAUUGUUCAUUUUUACUUUUUAACUUCAACAUUUGAAACAUGUUCAUCUUAUCUCAUUCAUUUCCUAGGAUUUCUCUUCGACCUAUUCAAAAAUUUUAUUGUAAAUAAUCAACGAUCAAAUAUGGAUUUUUAUAUAAUCAUUAUCUAACAACAUUAUUAUAAUGACCUGAAUUUAGUUAAUGAUUAAUUUAACUUUGCUUAAUCCCUUAAUGAAAAUCAAUAUCAUGAUUAGUGAAUUAAUUGGUUAAUAAAUUAAAGAAAUUGGUUAGUUUAUUAAUAAGCUUGUUAAACUAAUUAAAGGAUGACUAAGAAUAUGUUGUAUUUAUCCGCAAAUUUUCCUACUAGUUAGUAAGCUAAUAGCUAAGAAUUUAGCAAAUCUUGAUCAAUUACUUGCUUAUAAGCAUUUCUCACCUUAAAAUUCAAUUAAAAAGGAGUUGGAACAGGUGUGAGAAAACAAUUAAGUAAGGAAUGCUAAGAUUAUUUUAAAAUUAAACACUUGAUAGUAACUUCUUGUGAACAAACAACUACUAACCUUAACCUUUGUUUGAGAAAAAAAACUCGAAACGUGUGAACAAUAAGACUUUCUUUAAGAAUGAAACCGAAGUUAGUCAACUUAUAGAAACCAAAGUUCAACCAAUCAACUUAUAGAAGUAGGAAAGCUUACAUGAAAAUAUUGUUUUGAUUCCUUACUUGAAUCUUGAGCAAACAUAUUUAAUAUACUUGGUGUUUGAAACAAGUUGUGAUAUGCUCUGAUUUGGUUAAGGUAUCCUAUUCUUGUGGAAAAUAACUUGUCGAUCCCGUUUGAGUAAUUUGAAAAAAUGUUCUUCAAAAUACGACUCUAUUAAACAAAGAUAAUAUAUUUUUCAAAAAAAAUGUAUAUAACUAUGUCAUUAGCUAGACAUGUUAACUAAAGCAAUUCAAAAAAUGUUUCAUCUCAUUUGGCAAUAUUUCUCAAUGGAAAUCACAAUGUUAUUUUAUGAGAAUAUAGCAAUCAACACUUGUGGGCCAUAUUUCACUACUCUAAGCAUUAGUUAGCCUUUCACCUCAAAGAUUUUUAUUUUUUUAUUUUUUCAAUCUUCCUAUGGCCUUCACCCUUUCACGUCAACAAGCAUUUUUAAAUCUUCCCAUGUGAUUACUACUCAAAAAGUGCUAUUUGAUAGCUUAUAAUUAAUCCUUUUAAACACUUUUGAGUAGUAGUUUUGGCAUUUUAACUCAAUUGGCAUGUUAAGGACCCUUGAAAGCAAUUUUAAUCACUUUGUGUAAGUUUUGGUGUUUUUGUUAGUAUUUUGAUCACCAAAGCAAUUCAAGUUUGAGGAGAAUUUUGAGGAAUCUUGGGCAAAGCUUGGAAGUCAUUUGCCAAGAGUAAAUCCGGAAUGCAAGGAGAAAAAGUAAAGAGAAUCUGCCAUGAAACAUAUUCUUGAUGACAGUCGUAGCAGCCACUUUUGGAGCACUUUCUGAAGUCCAAUUGAUGCAUGCUAUAUACCAUUUUAAAGCUCAAGAAGUCAACAAUCCAAUGCUUCAAACGGUACGCAAUUCGGAAUUGAAACGAAGAAGUUGCAGCCAGUGCAAGCCAAUCACUCCAAGCUAAAGGAAGCAUUUUGCAAAGUGCUGCGAAAUCACCCUUUUGUUGCGAAGUGAUUUCACAGCCUUUUUGUACAGUAGGGUGUAUUUCCUUCUGAAGUUGCCCGAUAUAUGCCGCAAGCUGGGAGUUGAGAACCUCAAGGUGGAAGCCAACUUCGCAGCCCUGCGAGAAUAGCUUUUUGUUGCGAAGUGAUUUCGCAGCCCUUCUUGAGUGUCUGCGAAAUCUCGCAAACACCAUUUUCUCUUGCAAAAUGGUUCCUGGAGCAUCCCGAUAUUUGCUACCGACAUUUGGAGAUAUUUUCUAUUAGAUUUUUGUUGUCUAAAUCCCAAAAUACUCCUUGUAAGCCACCAAUUACAAGAUUCCUUAGCUUUUAAGUUAGUAAAAAGAGAAAAUAACUAUGUAAUAAUUAGUUUUAUAUUAUGUUCAUAUAAGUACCUCUCGGGAGCCUGUUCUCAGAGAGGAGAUCCUUUUGUAAAGUUUUGGGUAAGCAAGUAAAGUUCAGUUCUUUGUAUUGCCUUUACCUUCUCACUUUGUAUUUUUAUUUUCUUACUAAGUUAUGAACUCUCUGAGGAGUUUUUCCUAGAGAAUGAGUAACUAAACCUCUAAUUCCUUGGAGCUAAGGUUGCCGGGGAAGGUUCCAAGUGCAAGAAUGCAAAGCUUUGUGGUUUCAGCCAGUAAUGAAGAGGAAGUGAAAUCCUUUAGUGAUUUCUAUGUUUUUAGUUAACUUAAAACACCUUAGAGUCACCUGGGCCAACACUUGGUAAGGCAAGUGAUUUCCAACCAUGGAAAUGCACUAGUUUACCCCUUGCGAGCCUCUGGGAGGUGAAUUUAAGGUAGGAUUUUCUGGAAUUGCCAACACUUGGUAAGCUUUUGGACUCCAAGGAGACAUCCAUUAGUUAUCUCUUGCGAGCUUGAGAAGAGAAGUCCAAGGUUAAAGAUCACCUUCAAUGGUUAAGGCUUAGUGAGAGGCUUGAACCAUUGCAAGUUGCAUCAGUGAGAGAAUUAAAGUUGAAAUCUAAUUAAAGGAUGUAUCUGUACAAAACCGGUUAGAGAAUUGACUAUAUGUUGAAUCUCUAACGCGAGGAAAUGAACCAUCUGACCGGAGCUAUGUCUUUUGCAUGAGGAACCACCCCAGUGAACCUAACUCUCCAAGGAAUGUUUUUCUUCCUAAGUUAUUCCCAUUACUUGUUGUGUUAGUUAGUUUAAGUCUAAAUCUUUACCAAUCAAAGUUUGUGUUUUAUUUCUUAAGCUAACCUUGAAAUGAAACAAGACCAAUUCACUUUGAAUUGGUAUCAUUGAUAGCUUGUUAAUCCUUCCCAGUGAACGAUCCUAGAGCCACUAUGCUAUAGUAGCUUUGUCUUUGCUACCCUAGUAUAUGGUGUAAUAGGUUAUAAAUUUUGUUGAUUACUCCCUCAAUCAAGGAGCACCAGCUGGACACGAAUCAGCUGAGACACCAAUUGGGCACGAAUCAAAUGGCGUCGUUGCCGGGGAAGGUGUCAAUUUUAUAGUGAUACCAUUUUUGAGCACUUGUGAUUUUCAUCACAAGUUGGUAACGUUUCUUUCACUUUACUAAUUAUCAUUCUUUCUUUAUUUAUUCAUAAUCCAAGUUUAUCUUUUAAAAUUUAGCCUAGUUUAAUUUUGUUGUUGUAGCCCUGUUUCUGUUGUUGUCCUUUAUUUUCAUUUAAGUUGCAGAUAGAUACUAGUUGUGUAUGCCAAAGUGGAUACGAGAUAGUGGAGGAAGGCUUGUUAAGUGUGAUACACCUCAGAACAAAGAAUUCGAAUUGAGCUUGAAUAUCAUGGAAGCUACACCUGAAGAUCAGCAUAGUCACCAAGGUCGUCAAGACAACCUUAAUGAAUUCAGAUCAAUGAGGGACCGCAUGCAUCCACCUCGUAUGAGUGCACCAUCAUAUAUAGUGCCCCCUACAGAGCAGCUAGUGAUCAGACCGUAUCUUGUUCCACUUCUACCAACUUUCCAUGGGAUGGAAAGUGAGAAUCCGUAUGCACACAUCAAGGAAUUUGAAGAUGUUUGUAAUACAUUCCAAGAGGGAGGAGCUUCAAUUGAUUUGAUGAGGCUUAAGUUAUUUCCUUUUACUUUAAAGGAUAAGGCCAAAAUUUGGCUUAAUUCUUUAAGGCCAAGGAGUAUCCGUUCUUGGACUGACUUACAAGCUGAAUUCCUCAAGAAAUUUUUUCCCACUCAUAGAACAAAUGGCUUGAAAAGGCAAAUUUCAAACUUCUCAGCUAAAGAGAAUGAGAAAUUCUAUGAGUGUUGGGAAAGAUAUAUGGAAGCUAUAAAUGCUUGCCCUCACCAUGGCUUUGAUACUUGGCUAUUGGUGAGUUAUUUUUAUGAUGGUAUAUCCUCCUCAAUGAAGCAACUCCUCGAGACAAUGUGUGGAGGAGAUUUCAUGAGCAAAAAUCCAGAGGAAGCUAUGGAUUUCUUGAGCUAUGUGGCUGAAGUUUCAAGGGGAUGGGAUGAACCAACCAAAGGAGAAGUGGGGAAGAUGAAGUCUCAACUGAAUGCUUUCAAUGCAAAGGCUGGGAUGUAUACCUUGAAAGAAGAUGAUGAUAUGAAAGCAAAGUUGGCAGCUAUGACAAGAAGAUUGGAGGAGCUGGAGCUGAAAAGAAUACAUGAAGUGCAAGCUGUUGCUGAAGCACCAGUGCAAGUGAAGUUGUGUCCUAAUUGUCAAUCAUAUGAACAUUUGGUGGAAGAAUGCCCUGCAAUUUCAGCUGAAAGGGAAAUGUUUAGAGAUCAAGCAAAUGUUGUUGGACAAUUCAAGCCCAAUAACAAUGCGCCUUAUGGAAAUACCUACAACUCAAGUUGGAGGAAUCAUCCAAACUUCUCAUGGAAGGCCAGAGCAACUCAAUACCAACAGCCGGAUCCACUAUCUUAACAAUCUUCAAGUCUUGAACAAGCAAUGGCUAAUCUCAGCAAGGUAGUGGGAGAUUUUGUUGGAAACCAAGAAGCCACCAAUGCUCAAAUCAAUCAAAGAAUUGACAGAGUGGAGAGUACUUUGAAUAAAAGGAUGGAUGGAAUGCAAAAUGAUAUGAACCAAAAGUUUGAUAACAUCCAAUAUUCAAUUUCAAGGCUUACAAAUUUGAAUACACUACAAGAAAAGGGAAGAUUUCCUUCUCAACCCCACCAAAACCCCAAAGGUGUCCAUGAAGUGGAAAGCCAAGAGGGAGAAUCAUCACAGAUGAAAGAUGUAAAAGCCUUGAUCACUCUAAGGAGUGGUAAAAAAAUUGAGCAGCCAACACCCAAGCCACAUGUUGAGAAAAAAGAAGAGAUAAAGAAAGGGAAGGAAAUGGAAGAUAAAGAGAGUGAGAUCAGUGAAGAAACGAAGGACUCUGAUUUAACAAUGAAUGCAAUUCCAGAGAAGGAACUUAUGAAGGAAGAAAUGCUGAAGAAAUCAACUUCUCCACCUUUUCCUCAAGCAUUACAUGGGAAAAAGGGGAUUAGAAAUGCAGUUGAAAUCCUUGAAGUAUUAAGACAAGUGAAAGUCAAUAUUCCACUGCUGGAUAUGAUUAAACAAGUUCCAACGUAUGCAAAAUUCCUUAAGGACUUAUGUACUAUCAAAAGAGGGUUGACUGUAAACAAGAAAGCCUUCUUGACUGAGCAAGUAAGUGCAAUCUUACAAUGUAAGUCUCCUUUGAAGUACAAAGACCCGGGAAGUCCUACCAUUUCAGUCAUGAUUGGAGGAAAGAUAGUGGAAAAAGCCUUGUUAAACUUGGGAGCAAGUGUGAAUUUGCUUCCAUAUUCCGUCUACAAGCAAUUGAGACUUGGGGAAUUGAAGCCAACAGCAAUCACUCUAUCUCUAGCAGAUAGAUUAGUAAAAAUCCCAAGGAGGGUAAUUGAGGAUGUCUUGGUUCAAGUGGAUAAUUUCUACUAUCCAGUAGAUUUUAUUGUUCUUGAUACAGAUCCUACUGUAAAGGAAGCUAAUUUAGUUCCUAUCAUCCUUGGAAGACCAUUUCUUGCUACCUCAAAUGCAAUUAUCAAUUGCAGGAAUGGGCUGAUGCAACUCACUUUUGGCAACAUGACACUGGAUCUCAAUAUUUUCCAUAUGUCUAAAAAGCAAACCACUCCAGAAGAAGAAGAGGGUCCAGAAGAGCUGUGCAUUAUUGAUACUUUGGUGGAGGAGCACUGUAAUCAAAAUAUGCAAGACAAGUUGAAUGAAAGUCUUGUGAAUUUUGAGGAAGGUUUAUUUGAAUCUCCUACUGGGCUUGCUACUCUACAAAGUUGGAGAAAGAUAGAAGAGAUUCUACCUUUGUUCAAUAAAGAAGAAGAGGUAGUUGCUGAAAAAGAAAUUCCAAAACUCAAUCUGAAACCUCUACCUGUGGAGCUGAAAUAUACAUAUCUUGAAGAAAAUAAUCAAUGUCCUGUUGUGAUAUCUUCAUCUCUGACCAGUCAUCAAGAGAAUUGUUUAAUAGAAGUUCUCAAGAGGUGUAAGAAAGCAAUAGGAUGGCAAAUAUCCGACUUGAAAGGCAUUAGUCCUUUAGUUUGUACUCAUCAUAUAUAUAUGGAGGAGGAAGCAAAGUCAAUUCGUCAACUUCAAAGAAGAUUGAAUCCUCAUCUAUAAGAGGUGGUGCGAGUUGAGGUGCUGAAGCUACUUCAAGCAGGAAUCAUUUACCCUAUAUUUGAUAGCCCUUGGGUGAGUCCUACUCAAGUGGUACCAAAGAAGUCAGGGAUCACAGUGGUUCAAAAUGAAAAAGGAGAAGAAAUUACUACACGCCUCACUUCAGGUUGGAGGGUGUGUAUUGAUUAUAGAAAGUUGAAUGCUGUAACUAGGAAAGAUCAUUUUCCAUUGCCAUUUAUUGACCAAGUGCUGGAGAGAGUCUCUGGACAUCCAUUCUAUUGCUUCUUGGAUGGGUAUUCAGGGUAUUUUCAAAUCGAAAUUGAUGUGGCAGAUCAGGAAAAGACCACUUUUACAUGUCCAUUUGGAACAUAUGCUUAUAGGAGAAUGCCUUUUGGUUUAUGCAAUGCACCUACUACAUUUCAAAGAUGUAUGUUGAGUAUUUUCAGUGAUAUGGUGGAGCGAAUUAUGGAGGUUUUCAUGGAUGACAUCACCGUAUAUGGAGGUACAUUUGAGGAAUGCUUAGUUAAUUUGGAAGCAGUUCUUCACAGAUGCAUUGAAAAAGACCUGGUGCUCAACUGGGAGAAAUGUCAUUUUAUGGUACGUCAAGGAAUUGUCCUUGGCCAUAUCAUCUCUGAAAAAUGCAUUGAAGUUGAUAAAGCAAAGGUGGAGCUUAUUGUCAAAUUGCCAUCCUCAACAACUGUAAAAGGAGUAAGGCAGUUCCUUGGCCAUGCAGGGUUCUAUAGGAGAUUUAUAAAAGGUUUUUCAAGUCUUUCAAAACCUCUUUGUGAGCUGUUAGCUAAGGAUGCUAAAUUUAUAUGGGAUGAAAGGUGUCAAAAUAGCUUUGAUCAACUGAAGAAAUUUUUAACAACAACUCCAAUAGUGAGAGCCCCUAACUGGCAAUUACCUUUUGAACUGAUGUGUGAUGCCAGUGACUUUGCUAUAGGAGCUGUGCUUGGCCAAAGGGAAUAUGGGAAGCCCUAUGUGAUUUACUAUGCAAGUAAAACACUGAAUGAAGCUCAAAGGAACUACACAACUACAGAGAAAGAAUUGUUAGCUGUGGUAUUUGCUUUGGACAAAUUUCGUGCUUAUUUAGUGGGGUCUUUCAUCAUUGUCUUCACUAACCAUUCAGCCUUGAAGUAUUUAUUGACAAAGCAAGAUGCAAAAGCAAGGUUGAUUAGAUGGAUUCUUUUGUUACAAGAAUUCGAUCUCCAAAUCAAAGAUAAGAAAGGAGUGGAGAAUGUGGUAGCUGACCACCUUUCGAGGUUAGUUAUAGCACAUAAUUCCCAUCCCUUGCCUAUUAAUGAUGAUUUUCUUGAAGAAUCACUCAUGUUCCUAGUGAAAACUCCUUGGUAUGCUCAUAUUGCUAAUUAUUUAGUAACUGGUGAAAUUCCAAGUGAGUGGAAUGCACAGGACAAGAAACACUUAUUUGCAAAAAUUCAUGCUUAUUAUUGGGAAGAGCCCUUUCUUUUUAAGUAUUGUGCAGAUCAGAUCAUAAGGAAGUGUGUCCCUGAAGAUGAGCAGCAAGGGAUUCUAUCUCAUUUUCAUGAGAAUGCAUGUGGAGGCCACUUUGCCUCUCAGAAAACAGCUAUGAAGGUGUUGCAAUCAGGGUUUACCUGGCCAUCUCUUUUCAAAGAUGCCCACAUCAUGUGUAGGAGUUGUGAUAGAUGCCAACGGCUUGGAAAGUUAACAAAAAGAAAUCAAAUGCCUAUGAACCCCAUUCUAAUAGUUGAGCUAUUUGAUGUAUGGGGCAUUGACUUCAUGGGACCUUUCCCAAUGUCUUUUGGUAAUUCUUACAUCUUGGUGGGGGUGGAUUAUGUUUCUAAAUGGGUUGAGGCAAUCCCUUGUAAACAAAAUGAUCACAGGGUGGUUCUCAAGUUUCUUAAAGAGAACAUUUUCUCAAGAUUUGGGGUGCCUAAAGCCAUAAUCAGUGAUGGAGGUGCUCAUUUUUGCAACAAACCUUUUGAAGCUAUUUUAUCCAAGUAUGGAGUGAAGCAUAAGGUGGCUACACCUUAUCAUCCUCAAACUUCCGGGCAAGUCGAGCUAGCUAACAGGGAAAUAAAGAAGAUAUUGAUGAAAGUAGUGAACUCCAGCAGAAAGGAUUGGUCUAUUAAGCUUCAUGAUUCAUUGUGGGCAUAUAGAACAGCUUAUAAGACUAUUCUUGGCAUGUCUCCCUAUCGUCUAGUCUAUGGCAAAGCAUGUCAUCUCCCUAUGGAAGUUGAAUACAAAGCUUGGUGGGCAAUAAAGAAGCUGAACAUGGACUUGAUCAGAGCCGGAGAAAAGAGAUAUCUAGACCUUAAUGAGAUGGAGGAAUUAAGAAAUAAUGCUUAAAUCAAUUCCAAAGUUGCAAAACGGAGGAUGAAGAAGUGGCAUGAUCAACUAAUCUCCAACAAGGAAUUUUAGGAAGGGCAAAGAGUUUUACUGUAUGACACAAGACUCCAUAUCUUCCCUGGGAAGCUCAAGUCAAGGUGGAUAGGCCCGUUCAUUAUUCACUGAGUAUAUUCCAAUGGAGUGGUGGAAUUAUUGAAUUCGAAUGGCAAGGACAGCUUUAGAGUCAAUGGAUAUCGUCUCAAGCCAUUCAUGGAGCCAUUCAAACCAGAAAAAGAGGAAAUCAACCUCCUUGAGCCUCAAAAAGCCUAAGCAAAGAAGGGUUUAAUGGACGUGGUUUUACCACAGUCCAAAAUUUUUGUAAAUUUUGUAAAUUUUCAAGUUUUUUCCAUACUUUUGAUCUUAGUUUUUUUAUCUUAAAUCAUGUUUUUAUAUGUGUUUUAAUAUUUUUGAAUGAUCCCAGGUGGAAGAAAUUGCAAAGAAAUUGAAAAAAAAAAAAUCGGAUCGAAAUCAGAGCGAGAACAGAGCAAAAACAGAGCUCUACGAGAUUUCGCAACCUAAAGAAAACUUUUGCGAAAUGAGUAUUUUGUUGCCAAACCAGUCCGCAACACUUUGGGAUUCUCUGCGAGAAUUUUCGCAGCUGCGAAGGCGAGUUUGGCACACGAGUGCCACUUCGCAGCACAGGAGCCCCCAUUUCGCAACUGCGAAACGUCUGCGAAGCGGUAAAGCCCAGAUUUCGCAACAAAAUUCCCAUUCCGCAGGGUAUUUCGCAAUUGCGAAAGCGAUUUUGGCACACGUGUGCCACUUCGCAGCACAGUUACAUUCAUUUCGCAGCUGCGAAACGCAUUGCGAAGUGGCUGCGAAAAUGGCGUUUUGCUGCGAAAUUGGCAUUUUUCUGCGAAACUCAAAUUGACCCUUAGUCUUCCAUUAUUACUAUAUAUACCGGUCAUUUGAGCUGCGAAAAGGGUUUCAAAAUCAGAGCGCCCCAUUCUCGCAGGUUGUUCAUCUCCUUCCUCAAGCCUCACCGCGCAAGUCUCCGGUCAUCUUCUCCGACCAUCCGUUCCGGCCAAAUUUCGGCAACCCGAAAUGGCGCGAACGAGAGGGGCCAAGUCUUCCUCUCCUUCAAGCCGCAAGAAAAGCCUGCGAAAGGAGCCAGUUCCAGAUCCCGUUUCUGAGCCUCCGCGGCCAAGAGCAAUUUCUCCUCCGGUGAAGCCCGCGCAGCCAAAGCCUCCAGCGAGGCGUUACCUUACCAGGUCAGGGGGUCUGCCGCUGCAAAAGAGACCUAGGGUUGAAAGCUCAGAACCCAUUGACUUGACUGAACAAUCUCCAGAGCCUUCGUCGGUUUCAUCUCCGGUAUCCUCUCCAGUAUCCUCGCCAGUUCCAUCUCCGGUGCCAUCUCCGGCACCGCCAGCAAAACCACAGGAGCCUCAGCCGCCACUUCCAGAGCCCCAAAUUCCAGCUGAAAUAGCUCUGGAAGAAGUAAUCAGGCGGCCAAUGCUAACUCAGCCCCCAAUUGAGGGAAAUUUGGAUUGUAGAGCUCGGCCAUUCCACUCCGAGCUAUGCUUUGACAUAGCCGCAUUCUGAUUGCAACCGGAGCUGGCACAGUCAUUCAACCUGCUGAGGAGAUACCACAUGGAGCACCUACUGACUCUGAGAGACUUUUUCUACCCCAGGAUAGCCAUGGAUUUCUAUCAAUCCAUGACAACCAAACAGGUCAGGGAUCCAACUUUAAUUCAUUUCACUAUUGAUGGGAGGCAUGGCAUAUUGGGAGCACGCCAUAUAGCUGAAGCCUUGCAAAUUCCCUACGAGCCAAGCCAAUUCGAUAAUUUUAAAGCUUGGACCAGUCAUACUGAGCUGGAGAUGGUGCACACCCUGUCCAGAGGAGCUGCCACGCGAUCACAUCUGUUGAGAGGGGAGCUUCCUCCAAUCAUGUUUUUUAUUGAUGCAUUUUUGCGUCAUAAGCUCUAUCCAUUGCAGCAUUGGACUCAAAGAAGAGGAGUCCUCUUAGAAGCCCUGUACAAGAUGUCUGAGGGAUUUUUCUUUGGGCCUCAUCAUCUAAUUCUGGCAGCCCUUCUCUAUUUCGAAGAGAAGGUACACAAAAAGAAGCUUCAGAGGGCUGAUACCAUUCCCCUCCUCUUUCCAAGGCUGUUAUGCCAAAUUCUGGAGCACUUGGGGUAUCCUUCUGAGCCUCAGUUGGAGCGCAAACGCAUUUUCCGUGAGCUAUUUACUCUCGACAAAUGGAACAACAUGACAGCUUAUAGAGUUGACCAGCCUAAGCGCCCACAGCCAACUGCUAGGAGAGCAUCCCCACGACACAUACCUGAGGGUAUAACAGUUGUUGCUCCUGCCAUUCCCAGAGCUCCACCAGCUGCUCCAGCUUCAUCUCAGCCAUCCACUUCAGCUGAACCGAGAAUGGCCAUUCCCAUUUCUGAAUACAGAGAGUUGUGCCGUUCAUUGGAGACCCUCACAGCAUCUCAGAGCAGUCUUGCUCAAGAGAUGGCAGCCAUUAGAGCAUGCCAAGAGCAGAUGUUGGCCACUCAGGCUCAACACACUGCCAUCUUAAGGCAGCUCCAGCUUCAUUUCGACCUGCCAUCAGCUGUUGAGCCCUCCACUUCUACCACAGCAGUGCCACACUCUCAUCCAAUAGGGUCUCAGGCCCCAUCUGAAGCUCCAACUGAAGAGGCAGACCCAUCUGCCUAGCCCCAGCACCACCCACUCAUCAGAAUAUAUAUAUAUAUAUAUAUAUAUAUAUAUAUAUAUAUAUAUAUAUAUAUAUAUAUUGCUUUUCUUUUAUGUAUUUCGUUUUUUUUUAGUUGGAAAGAAAUCCCAUUAUUUUGGUACUAUAUUUGGGAUUGCUUGUAUUGCUUUUCUUUUACAUUGUACUCAAAUGGAUUCAAAGUAAUACAAGUUUAAUAUUUCUUGUUAACUUUUAGCAUUAAGUUAUCCUUAUUUCCUUUACUCACAUAUUCUAUUCUUUUUGAAACAUGUGGUUUCUCCAAUCAGUAUUCGAAUUUGAUAUCACUCAGGAGGUACCACUUCCUCCCUUUAAUUACAAUCACUCAUAUCACAUUGAGGACAAUGCUCAGUUCAGUUGGGGGGGGGGGGGGGGGGGGAUAGGAAAGAAAUAUUUUUAGUUUAAAGAAAUUAGCCAAACCCUUUUAAUAAAGGCAUUAUUUUGGGAAAAUAAUUGGAAUUUUUUUUUUUUUACCCCUUUNNNNNNNNNNNNNNNNNNNNNNNNNNNNNNNNNNNNNNNNNNNNNNNNNNNNNNNNNNNNNNNNNNNNNNNNNNNNNNNNNNNNNNNNNNNNNNNNNNNNGUUAACUUUUAGCUUUAAGUUAUCUUUAUUUCCUUUACUCACUUAUUAUAUUUUUUUUGAAACAUGGGGUUUCUCCAAUCAGUAUUGGAAUUUGAUUUCACUCAGGAGGUACCACUUCCUCCCUUUAAUUACAAUCACUCAUAUCACAUUGAGGACAAUGCUCAGUUCAGUUGGGGGGGGGGGGGGGGGGGAUGAGGAAGGAAGUAUGUUAAGUUAAAGGAAGUAUGCUAAGCCUUUUUAGUAAUGCAAUUAUUUUGGUAAAUUAGUUGUAGUUUUUGUUUUUUUACUCUUUUUACUCUAUUCUCCAUGAAUCUUGAGGAAAAAUUUUCAAAUUAAAACAGGAGAAAUUGAACUGUUGUUUUUCACUUGACUUAGAGUAUGGAUUAUGCUCACUAAAGUGGUUCAAUUGUUGAAGCUUCUAUUGAAAUUGAAUUUAGUUCUUCCACUUUAAGCUAUUCACACACUGUGCACAUUAGAUUCCGUUUAUAAGAUGAAAAGCUAUUUCCCUCUUGACUUAGGAUAAUUUUGGGACUUGGUACAUUUGACCUCAUUUGAUAAAGUUGAAACACCCUGCAAAAGGCCAAUGAGCCUUUGAAAUAAAGAAAGUUGUUUGCUUGCCUUAAAACCCGAGCAAGGUCUGAGGGGUAUAUGGUGAAAAUCUUUGAAGCCUGGUGCCCUAAGCCUUAAUUGGUUGGGAGUCACCGACCUCAAUGCUCGUUACAAGGGUGGAUAGGUGGAGUUAGCAUACUGUAGGUGCUUGGGUAUUAAAAUUCAUUCUAAAAAGUCCGGGGUAAAAUCCGAGGAGUUAGUGGUUGAAAGAUCCUUAAAGCUUGAUGCCCUAAACCUUAAUUGGUUGGGAGUCAUCGAUGGACCCCCGUUACAUGGACAAUUCAGAAAGAGUACCCCAUAAAGCCUCUCUAAAAAAAAAAAAAAAAAAAGAGAAAGUGUGUUCUUUCUUUAUUGAUUUUGGUCAGUUUGCUAAGUGUUAAAAAGAGAUAGGUUGGGGGGAGAGAUUAGUUUAGCAUAUUAUUUCCGGAAGCUAAGGAACUUAUACACAUAGAUUUUUGAGGAAGAAUAAAGUUUGGUUCUUUGAAAGUGGAAAUGAUUUUAAAACUUCAGUUUGCAUAAUGCAUUCCCUUGAUUGACAGUGUUUAGCAUAGUUUGUUAUAACUCUUGUUGAAAUUUGUUUUUAUAUUUCUUUAAUGUUUCAUGAGAGAAUUAGAUCAUCAUGCCAUUUGAAAAUUGUUUUUCAGCAUGAUGUUGUAAAUUAUAGGUUAGUUUGCUUUUUAUUUUCAAAUUCUCUCCUAUAUUGCUAAGGGACUAGCAAUAUGUCGGUUGGGGGGAGUGAUUACUACUCAAAAAUUGCUAUUUGAUAGCUUAUAAUUAAUCAUUCUAAACACUUUUGAGUAGUAGUUUUGGCCUUUUAACUCAAUUGGCAUGUUAAGGACCCUUGAAAGCAAUUUUAAUCACUUUGUGUAAGUUUUGGUGUUUUUGUUAGUAUUUUGAUCACCAAAGCAAUUCAAGUUUGAGGAGAAUUUUGAGGAAUCUUGGGCAAAGCUUGGAAGUCAUUUGCCAAGAGUAAAUCCGGAAUGUGAGGAGAAAAAGUAAAGAGAAUCUGCCAUGAAGCAUAUUCUUGAUGACAGUCAUAGCAGCCACUUUUGGAGCACUUUCUGAAGUCCAAUUGAUGCAUGCUAUAUACCAUUUCAAAGCUCAAGAAGUCAACAAUCCAAUGCUUCAAACGGUGUGCAAUUCGGAGUUGAAACGAAGAAGUUGCAGCCAGUGCAAGCCAAUCACUCCAAGUUGAAGGAAGCAUUUUGCAAAGUGCUGCGAAAUCACCCUUUUGUUGCGAAGUGAUUUCGCAGCCUUUUUGUACAGUAGGGUGUAUUUCCUUCUGAAGUUGCCUUAUAUAUGCCGCAAGCUGGGAGCUGAGAACCUCAAGGUGGAAGCCAACUUCGCAGCCCUGCGAGAAUAGAUUUUUGUUGCGAAGUGAUUUUGCAGCCCUUCUUGAGUGUCUGCGAAAUCUCGCAGACACCAUUUUCUCUUGUGAAAUGGUUCUUGGAGCAUCCCGAUAUUUGCUACCGACAUUUGGAGAUAUUUUCUAUUAGAUUUUUGUUGUCUAAAUCCCAGAAUACUCCUUGUAAGCCACCAAUUACAAGAUUCCUUAGCUUUUAAGUUAGUAAAAAGAGAAAAUAUCUAUGUAAUAAUUAGUUUUAUAUUAUGUUCAUAUAAGUACCUCUCGGGAGCUUGUUCUCAGAGAGGAGAUCAUUUUGUAAAGUUUUGGGUAAGCAAGUAAAGUUCAGUUCUUUGUAUUGCCUUACCUUCUCACUUUGUAUUUUUAUUUUCUUACUAAGUUAUGAACUCUCUGAGGAGUUUUUCCCAGAGAAUGAGUAACUAAACCUCUAAUUCCUUGGAGCUAAGGUUGCCGGGGAAGGUUCCAAGUGCAAGAAUGCAAAGCUUUGUGGUUUCAGCCAGUAAUGAAGAGGAAGUGAAAUCCUUUAGUGAUUUCUAUGUUUUUAGUUAACUUAAAACACCUUAGAGUCACCUGGGUCAACACUUGGUAAGGCAAGUGAUUUCCAACCAUGGAAAUGCACUAGUUUACCCCUUGCGAGCCUCUGGGAGGUGACUUUAAGGUAGGAUUUUCUGGAAUUGCCAACACUUGGUAAGCUUUUGGACUCCAAGGAGACAUCCAUUAGUUAUCUCUUGCAAGCUUGAGAAGGGAAGUCCAAGGUUAAAGAUCACCUUGAAUGGUUAAGGCUUAGUGAGAGGCUUGAACCAUUGCAAGUUGCAUCAGUGAGAGAAUUAAAGUUGAAAUCUAAUUAAAGGAUGUAUCUGUACAAAACUGGUUAGAGAAUUGACUAUAUGUUGAAUCUCUAACGCGAGGAAAUGAACCAUCUGACCGGAGCUAUGUCUUUUGCAUGAGGAACCACCCCAGUGAACCUAACUCUCCAAGGAAUGUUUUUCUUCCUAAGUUAUUCCCAUUACUUGUUGUGUUAGUUAGUUUAAGUCUAAAUCUUUACCAAUCAAAGUUUGUGUUUUAUUUCUUAAGCUAACCUUGAAAUGAAACAAGACCAAUUCACUUUGAAUUGGUAUCAUUGAUAGCUUGUUAAUCCUUCCCAAUGAACGAUCCUAGAGCCACUAUGCUAUAGUAGCUUUGUCUUUGCUACCCUAGUAUAUGGUGUAAUAGGUUAUAAAUUUUGUUGAUUACUCCCUCAAUCAAGGAGCACCAGCUGGACACGAAUCAGCUGAGACACCAAUUGGGCAUGAAUCACCAUGGCCGCCUAUAAAAAUAUUAGUUAACUUUUUCACCUCAAUAAGCAGUGCUUAUGAAUUGGGAAAAGCCACCCAAUAUAUAGUGUUUGUUUGGCAAGAAUAUUUGUUGGAACUUUCACAUAGUUACAGUUGACUUGCAUCUUCUCCUUUUGUCUGGAGUUUCUCUUUAUUCUAAAGAAGUGAUCAACUUGGCAGUUGAAAAAUGUUUCUAAAUUAGAGAGACUUGAACAAAUUAGAGAAGAUGACCUUUUAGAGAUAUAAUAAUUGAAAAUUUUAAUCUAAUUAAACAUUUAAGAAUCACUUAAUACUUUUUAACACAAUUAAACCCAAUAAGAAAUUAGAAAUGAUUAAUGCCAAAACAUACGAUAAAAGAGGCUUUUUACUUGGAAAAUCCCCACACUCACCAUAAAAAUAAAAAAUCACAAGGUUUAAUACCUCAGAUCUAAAAUCCACUUUAUAAGAUCAUGAUACAGAGUUUUACCUAACUGCUUACCUUAAGACUUUCUCUCCAAUACCUAUAUAAUGAUUCACAUUUGCAAUGCAACACCUCAAAUGCUUUAAUGGAUUCGUCUUAGCCUUUGAGGGGAAGCAAGUCUCUUCACAACCCAGAGUUUGUUCAAAGAACCUUUAAGAGCUUUUAGGAAUAGUACGACAAGUUAGGGUAUUUUCUAAAUGAGAACAUUCAAUUCUAAAAUACAUUUACGUAGGGUAUAUAUAGGCUUAAGAGUCUAAAAGGUCGAAAAUGAAGUUUUCUUAAAAAAUAAAAUCUCAACUUUCAAAAAUGUAUUAAGACAUUUUAGUUCAAUUUUAAAACUUCCUGUCGAAUCCUACCUUAUGAAAAAACUAAUUUACCUUGCUAUAAUAAAAAUGAACAAAAUUACCAACAACAAAAACAAAACAUAAUAUUCUAACAUUAAAUAAUUUGAAUUCAAAAAUAAAUAAUAAAUAAAAUGAAUAUAUUAUUCAUUUUUACUUUUUAACUUCAACAUUUGAAACAUGUUCAUUUUAUCUCAUUCAUUUCCUAGGAUUUCUCUUCAACCUAUUCAAAAUUUUUGGUGUAAAUAAACAAUAACCAAAUUUCGACUUUUAUACCAUCAUUGUCUAACAACAUUAUUAUAAUGACCUGAAUUUAGUUAAUGAUUAAUUUAACUUUGCUUAAUCCCUUAUUAAAAAUUAAUGUCAUGAUUAGUGAAUUAAUUGGUUAAUAAAUUAAAGAAAUUGGUUAGUUUAUUAAUAAGCUUGUUAAGCUAAUUAAAAGAUGACUAAGGGUAUGUUGUAUUUAUCUCCAAAUUUUCCUAUUGGUUGGUAAGCUAAUAGCUAAGAAUUUAGCAAAUCUUAAGUUACAUGGUUAUAAGCAUUUGUUACCUUAAAAUUCAAUUAAAAAGGAGCUAGAACAAGUGCGAGAAAAGAAUUAAGGGAUGCUAAGAAUUUUUUAAAAUUAAACCGGAUAGUAACUUCUUGUGAAUAAACAACUACUACCCUUAACCUUUGUUUGUUUGAGGAAAAAUCAAAACAUGUGAACAAUAAGACUUUCUUUAAGAAUAAAACCGAAGUUAAACUAAUCAACUUACCGAAGGAGGUAGGGAAGCUUGUAUGAAAAUACUGUUUUAAUUCCUUAUUUGAAUCUUGAGCAAACAUAUUUAAUAUACUUAGUGAUUGAAACAAAUUGUGAUAUGCUCCGUUUUUUGUUAAGGUAUCCUAUUCUCAUGGAAAAAAACUUAUCGAUCCAGUUUGAGUAAUUUGAAAAAAUGUUUUUCAAAAUACGACUUUAUUAAACAAAGAUAAUAUAUUUUUCAAAAAAAUUGUAUAUAACUAUGUCAUUAGCUAUACGUGUUAACUAAAACAAUUCAAAAAAUGUUUCAUCUCAUUAGGCAAUAUUUCUCAACCGAAACCAAAACGUUAUUUUAUGAGAAUAUGGCAGUCAACACUUGUGUGCCAUAUUUUUUAAUCUCUUUAUGGGCCUCCACUGUUCUAAGCAUUAGUUAGCCUUUCACCUCAAAGAUUUUUUUUGUUUUUUUUUUCAAUCUUCCUAUGGCCUUCACCCUUUCACGUCAACGAGCCGCCUAGUUAACUUUUUUGCCUCAAUAAACAGUGCUUAUGAAUUGGGAAAAGCCACCCAAUAUAUAGUGUUUGUUUAGUAAGAAUAUUUGUUGAAACUUUCGCAUAGUCACAGCUGACUUGAAGAAGGUGACCUUUAAGAGAUAUUUUAUGAACGGAUUGGUCGGUCCAACCAUCGGUUCAGUCCAAAUGUUCAAUGUCAUCCCUCAGCUGCCCCCCUCCCAGGCCAAUUAAAUAAUUUUCAUUUGAUUUAAAUGUUUAAUGUGUUUACCUCAUUUAAAAUCCUUAUUUGAACUCUGGACCUCAAACUCAUAAAAUAAGUCGAGAGACCACUCAACUACAUUUGACUUAUUACUUUAUAUAGCAAACAAAAGAAAUAUAUUCUUUACUAAAAACAUUAUAAUAUUAAAUAAAAAUAAUAUAAUAUUUUUAAAAUUAUAAGAUUAUUUAAAAUUUAACAAUUAAAAUUUCCUUCAUUUUCAAUAUAUUCACAUUUAAAUAUUAUAUAUAUAUAUAUAUAUAUAUAUAUAAUUUAAUAAAAUUUAAAAUAUUAAUACAUUUAUAGUUAUGCAUAAGAUAAAAAUUAAAUAUUAUUGAUUUCUAAUUUAUUUAUGAUAUGAAUCAAUUCUAUGUGGAAAAAAAAAACACUUUCAAACAUACUUCUUUGUCAUUUUGUAUUAUUCAUCAUAAGCUAAAAAUUAUUUUGUAAAUAUAAAAUGUUGUAUGGAAUGGAUGCCUAUCGAACUCUAUAUCUGGAUUAUUAAAUAUGUUUGGUAAAAUCUAGGCCAUUGGAUAAGUAAAUCCAUCAACCUUCCAAUUUGGUCUUUUUUUUUUUAAUUUAUAUUUGACAUAUACUCACUUAAGUGUUAUUAAUUAAUGGUUAUGUUAUUAGUUUAAAAUAAAAUUGUUAUUAUGAUAGUUAUAAUAAAUUGUUUAUUCUUUUUUUUAUUAUUAUUAAAUAAUUUGAAUAUAGUAAUAAACAAGAAAUAGAAUGAAUUUUUCAUUUUUACUUCUAAUUUCAACAUUCCAAACAUACCUAUAGACCCCCAUUUUGGAGCUUGGUUUCAUGCACUUUCAUGCAGCUUGUUUUGCCAAGUGUCACAACCCUAGGAGACCACAUGGUGUCUUUUAAUUGGCUGCUAUGGAAUCAGAUAUUGCUUUUUGAGGAGCCAUUAGAGUGAAGAAACCUGUGGGAGAAUAUUCAGAGAUGAGUGCCUUUUUCUGUUGGAGAGGAGCGUAUCUGCAGGGGGGCAGAGGUGGUGCUUUUUGGAGGGAGCAAAGAGAUAUUUUUAGAUGGCUUAGCUGGUAGAGGCAAGCCAGAGACAGGGGUGGAGAUUUUUCAAGGGAGCUUCAGAGAGAAAACCAGGGGGGUUUCAGAGAGAAAACCGGGAGGAACUUGCUGGUGAGAAUAGGGGGGAGGUCCUUGAGCUUCAGGGAGAGUAUUCGUUUAGCUUGAGAGGGAGGUCAGCUGAAGAAGAAUGGCUUGCUGAUUUCUGGCCAACCUAACUGGAGAGGAUUAUUUUCAGGUAUGUUUAUUGUGGAUUUCCCAUUUGCUUCAACUGGUAAGUUUUUCUUCUCUUGUUUUUGUUGAUUAUUGGAUGAUGUUUGUUGGUUGGGAGUAAACAUGCUCAUGUCUCUCUUUUUAAUGAUUUCUAUUAAGGACCCGUUUGGCUCUGUUUCUAUUCCCCCAUGAGAUAUCUAUAACCUUGUUUUGAUUUUUAUUUGGCACUCAUUUGAUUUCACCCACCCUCAUAUGAGCUCAUUGAUUAAUAUAUGAAAUGAGGCUUGUAUGAAUUCAUGUUGUUCCUAUUGCUUGCACUUUAUUUUUUUUGUUGUCUACCCUGUUUCUGGUACCCAUACCUAGGGUGCAUUUUUCUUCUCAUCUCUACUUGAAAGGUAGCACCCCUCUAAGCCCUAUAAAGGUCUCUAUUGACUAAGUUAAGGGGAAUAUGGCAAUUAAUCGGUUAAUUAUGGAUACCUAAGUAGGCUAGGUGAUUUCAAAAGAUUUGCAUGCUAAACAAGAUCAAAUUGCCAUAAAAGAAAGGUUAGGAUGCGUACCCGGACCGCUUCUCAAGCGCUAUCAUAAAACAUCAGAGUUAGUAUAGAAGUAUAACACACAACAUGUAUUUAAUCAUAGUGAAUCAAGCAUACAUCUAAACACCUAAGGAUUAUCAAACAUAUGCAUACUUCACAGUGACAUGAUUGUUUACAAAAUUUAGAAAGUAGGUGAUAGGGGGGGCGUACCUGGAUAGCAUAGAUAACUUACAAUGCGCUUCCAUAAGACAUGAGGGAUUAGAUAAUAAUAAAAUAAAGAAACCCUAGCAUGCUUGUUAUCUAAUUAGCAUAACAAAAAUUAUCAAAGUAUAUGAAAACAUUAAUUAUCACAUCUUGUAUACAAUUCCUAAAAAAAGAUAGGCAUAAUUUCAACAAGUGACAAAGGUGGCAACAAAAAUAAUUUUUUUGAAAAGAUUUUCUUAUGUAGGGGUUUCACCAAUUCCCCAAUUGAUAUACACGAAUUUAGCUCAGAAUUAUCCCAUUUAUGUGGGACCACAAGCUUUGAUUCAUGUUUUUGUUCAAAACCAAACUUUUUGUUGGAAACCGAGAAGGAUGCAAACCGAACAAAAUAUGGUUGCAUAUUAUUUUUUAAAAUAAAAAAAAGAUUUCGAUCCUGAGGACUCUAAAUGAGUUUUUGAAAUAGACUUUUAAAAUGAUUUUUUGAGAAAAGUAUUUUAUUUUAAAAUAAAAGGAAUUAAUUUGGGAAAAAAUAAAAUAUAAGAAAUAAAAUACCAAACAAAACAAAAAUGAAACCUCAAAGUAAAAUUUUUUUUAGUAAUUAACAAAAUAAUAAUGGUGAUGGUAGAGGCCAAUCUUCAUGAUUUUCCAAUGGCCUCUAAAAAUUGAUUUUGACAAAGGAUGAACAAAGUGAUAAACCGAAACCUUAGAUCUUACAAGCAUUGAAACUUUAAAAACAUUUAAUCUUAAGAUAAACUUAAUCAAGCGCUAAAUAUUAUGUGACCUUUAAAACAGUACAAGCGAUAUGUAUUAACUAAUAUUGACAAUUUUGAGUCAUAGAUCUAAUCGGCUAGCUAAACAAUUAAAUAAAAGAAAACAAACACAUAGAAUAAAUAAAAUUAGUCAAAAACUAAAAUGAAUUAUUUUUAAACACAAAAUGACAACAUGGGAAUAGAUUAAACUAAUAGCCUACAAUUCGAAAGCAUAGAAUUAAUGGAAAAAUGGAAUAAAAAAUCUUAACAUAAACUAAUCAAUAUGAAACCAAUCGAAUUAAUUAAAACUCUAAAAAUUAUCAACUAAAACAGGAUCAGUCCAAACUAAAAUAAUUAUUUAUUUUUUAUUUAUUUAUUUAAUUUUUUAUUAUUAUUAUUAUUUUUAUUUUAAAACAUGAAUAUAUCAACGCAGAAUGAAAUAAAUUAACCAACUUAAAUUCUAAAACUAAUAAACUAAAAGGAAGAAUCAUAAAUUAAAUUUAACAACUUUUAGAUAUGAAAAGAGUGACGUGGAAGCAAUUGAACUAAUAAACUGAAUUUUAAUAACAUUUAAACUAAAAGAUAAAUUAAAGCUUAAACUAGAAGAAAUUAUGGAUUUCCUAAUUGAGAACAAAAAUAAUGCAAAUCAAAAUUCUAAAUUUUUAACUAUCAUCAUGAAUUAUCCAAACUCUAAAAAAAAUCCUAACUUUUCCAUCAUCAACAAAAAUUGCCCAAAUUAAUACUAAAAAAAAAUAUAAUUUGCCAAACUAAACAAAUAAAUUGUAACUACAUUAAACAAAGAUCAUAAUUUUUAAGAUGGGAUAAUAAAUCAAUAAUAAUUAAGAAAAAUUAAAAAUUAACGUUUAAGCUAAACAUGGAUUUCCUUAUUGAGAACACAAAUAAUGCUAAUCUAAAUUUUAAAUUUUUAACCAUCAUCAUGAAUUAUCCAAACUCUAAAAAAUCCUAACUUUUCCAUCAUCAACAAAAAUUGCCCAAACUAAUACUAAAAAAAAAAUCUAAUUUGCCAAACUAAACAAAUAAAUUGUAACUUCGUUAAACAAAAAUCAUAAUUUUUAAGAUGGAAUAAUAAAUCAAUAAUAGUUAAGAAAAAUUAAAAAUUAACGUUUAAGCUAAACAUGGAUUUCCUUAUUGAGAACAAAAAUAAUGCUAAUCUAAAUUUUAAAUUUUUAACCAUCAUCAUGAAUUAUCCAAACUCUAAAAAAUCCAACUUUUCCAUCAUCGACAAAAAUUGCCCAAACUAAUACUAAAAAAAAAAUCUAAUUUUCCAAACUAAACAAAUAAAUUGUAACUACGUUAAACAAAAAUCAUAAUUUUUAAGAUGGAAUACUAAAUCGAUAAUAAUUAAUUAAUUAAUUAAUUUAUAAUUGGAUAAAUAUAUAUAUGAUCAAUUAUUUUAAUGAACUAAAAUUUUAUAAGAGUGCUUAAAUCUAAGGUAAAAUUAAAAACUAACAAAAAUGAUUUUUAAAACUAAAUCUCUAUCCUAUAGAAUCAAUUUUAUUUAUAAUUGAAUAAAUAGAUAACACGUGAAUAAAUAAAUCUAUCAAAAUACAAAUUCAAUGAAUUGAAAACAUGGACAUAACCACAUAAGAUUAAUCAAACCUAAUACAAAAUAAUGACUUGAAAACACGGAUAUAACCACAUAGGAUUAAUCAAACUAACUAAAAAAAAGAAUUAAAAUUUCAAAGCACAUAGGCUAAAUGGGAAUACUUUAAGACUAAAUCUAACCACUUGACGGCAUGGAUAUGUUAACAUUGGAAUAAAUUAGAUUAAAUAAGAUUCUAAACAACUAUGAAUUGAAAUGGUUAUUCAUGAAUGAAAACUUAAAUAAAAUGAAUUAACUUACCUUUUUCACACACACGUGGGCCACCUUCCACCAAAAAUGCCAAUAGGAUUUUCAACAAUAGUGCCAAGAAUGCAUGGCAUGAUGGCUUCUGCACAAUCCCCAAUGCACUGCACGUUAAUGGAGAGGAAUUUCCUUUGAACGUCAUCAUCAAAAGCCCAUUCUUUCUCCUCCCAUUCACCUCGUGCCUCCGACCCAUGUGCCUCUCCGAUCUCAGCCACUACACUGCUGUCACAGCCCACGAGCACCCAUUCUCAAUCUUGGGCAGCCACGUCUCCGGUGAGAAGGAGAAUAUCCCACCGAGGAGCAACCAAUAACGAAUUGACGGGUGGUGGCAAUGGCGGUGGAGGAAGUGGGUGAUGGCGGAGAGCGGACUGGUGGUGUUAAUGGAGGAUGAAUGUGGCAGCCAGGAUGCUAGUGUAUUUACAUGGUGAUGAUCGGAGAGAUGGUGGCAGCGACUUGGACUCUGGGCAUUGACAAGUGACAACAAGGUGAAAGAGAGGUGAGAUGGAGGUAGUGAUUGCAUGAACAGAGAUGAAGGUGUGUGGCGGCGACGAUGGUAUUUACAGUAGCGGAUGAUGGAGACGGAGCCCUGAGAGAUGAGGAGGAGAGCACGAGGGAAGGGAAGCCCGAUCACUUCGCUGGAUGCCCCCCAAAAUCUUUUCAAAACACGUACUACUCUUUGCCCAAACAACAACCUCUAAUCUCUUUGAAACAUGGAUCCAUCCCCCUCCUUUUUCCUGUUCUUCUCCCUUUAUUUCUAUGGCAGCCCCUCCUUCUAUGGCUGCGUGAGGAUCCUCCCAAAUUCCACUUAGUACAGCCAGCCUGUAUAGAUCUUUUUAUGGGAAGUGGGGAUCUUCUAUGGCAGCCUCUCCCUCGUUGAAUAUUCUGCUUCCAUUUUGAAUGCAUGUGGAUAUGGGAAGUGCGUACAUGGUGACUCACUUGGAGAUUCUACCGCCCCGUGUCCAGUUUGGUAAGUGUCCUCCUCAAUCACUCCGGCUGUGUGUCCCUUUUCAGAAACCUCCUUUAGUAUGCUGGUGGAGACCUCUUGUGUUGGCGGCUAUGGAGAUCCCACUCUCCAAAGUGGACUGCUCCCCCUCCAAAAUCUGUGCGCUAGAAUGAUUUCCUCAUUACUUGGAGAAUCGUCUUUGCCUUGCUCAUAAUCUUCCCGAAGAAAUCCCAUGUCAUUUUUCUCCUCAUGCAAAACAGAAUAAGAUAAGAGUAAAAAAUUCAAAGGAAAGAAAAAGAAACCAAUCUAAAUAAUAGAAUAAAACAUGAUUUUAAAAUCCCCGGAAGAGAACUAGGAGAGACUAGAUUAUAUAAUUUCGUCCUCCAACAAAGGGGGUCGUAUGCCUAUUUUAAAUCUAAACAAUUCCAACAAUUUUCUAUUAAGUAAGUAAAUAAAUAAAAUAAGAAUAAAAAUAAAAAAUAAAAAUAGUAAUAAUAAUAUAAUGACAAUGAUAAUAAUAAAUAAAUAAAGAGCAAAAAUGAAAAUGAAUAAACAAAAAAUAUAUAUAAUUAUCGAAUGCAUGCACUAAUAAUAAUAAUAAUAAUAAUAAUAACAAUAAUAAAAGUUAUCUAUAUAUAUAUAUAUAUAAAAGUCAAGCCCGAUGAAGUGUUUAAACGACCCUACAUGGGUGCCUAAUGAACUAAGUGUCCUAAAGUGAACCUAGGGUGCCUAAGUGGACCUAGAGUGCCUAAAUGGGCCUAGGGUGCCUAAGUGGGCCUAGGGUGCCUAAACGGGCCUAUGAUGAAAUUAAGUGGGCCUAGGGUGGUGCCUAAUGGGCCAAGUGUAUCUAAAAGCUAUCCUAAAAAAACAAGAAAAGCCUAAGUCUAAGCUAGGGCUGCCAAGGGUCACAAUAAGGGAUCAAAUAAUCCCUCAACCAAAGUAUCCGAGGUGACUCAGAGAAAGGUAAGUGGUAUGAGUAGCCAUGGGCCAUCAAGGAACUACUGUGGAGCAUUAAAAACGAAUUUAAAGACAUGCGCUAAAGGGACAAAAUUGAGGGUCUACACUUAGAGGCCGAACGAGGAAGGAUGAGCAGGACAUAUGAAUUAGGCUCCCGGACCACAACCAAUAGAUUUCGAUCCAUCAGAAGGAUCAAAUGGUUCCGCUUGUUUGAAGUUAUCUUGAACAGUUUGUUGAGACGGUCAAAGGAAGCUUUUUUCACCCAUUCCACGAGCCAAUUUCUCCUCUUCUUGCCUACACCAUGCAAACAAAAACAUUAGUAACAGGCUUAUAACCAAUUAGCUAUAAGGGACACACAAAGAUAGCUACAAUGAGUGGCGCGAGUGAAACUCUCGGUCAAGACCCUCAUAUAGGCCAACCCAGGGACCAGAAACAAGGACGUGCCCCCUGGCCCCGUCCUUGUUGGAAUCUGAAAACCCUAUCAGCAACUGGAGAGAGGGAAUAUGAGCGAACGGGUUGAAUAUUCAUUUCUGGCUCAUCUUGAUUGUAUAAAUAAAAAUGACCUCUAAGAAGGACAGGUCCAAGUGAAAAAGCAUGUUUAAGAUGUUGCACCCCAUCAACACCCUAACAACGUUUGGGUGAAUGAAGAUCGGAGAGAUCUUAGUAUAAUAAAGAACUGCUUAAAGAGAGAAGGCAAGGGAAAAUGGAGCCCGACAUUGAACUGCUUAUUGCUGAAAUAGAUGGCAUUGUGAGAUUGCUUCUCAGUAGGUGUAAGUUUUUCGUCUACCAAGAGUAUGGAGACACCGUUCGGGAUGCGAAAGAGUUCCCGGAACUCCCGUUCAAACAAAAGUUUGAUUGGAUGCUUUGUCUAAGUAUGUCUGGCACUUGCACUCUUCUGGCCACCUUUUUGGCCUCUACCAACCGUAUUGGUGGAAGCAAUGCCUCAUCUUGCUGACAUAUUGAGAGGCUUUGGGUCGUGUGAGACCUGCACGACACAACGCCGAUAGUUAGAGAAUAGUCACCUGACCCUUCUGCUAAUAGGCAGUGCCUCAAAUGUAUAGCAAGUAGCCUAUGCGGGUCUAAAGCCCACACUUUGGCAAGUUACCUAGUCUAGCUUGCAAAGCAAGCCCUAACCAAAGAACCCCCCCCCCUUCUCCUGUACCACCACAAAAACUGCAAAACAAAAUGCCUGGGUGUACUCUUUAAGGGACCAACAAAAAAGAAGCAGAUAUAGAAAGAUGUGAAAAACCCUAACUCUAGCAAGUGCUAUCGGUCUUUCCCUCCAACUACAACUGACUUCUCUAGGAAAACACUAAAUCCCUACAUUUUGGACCUUGCAACGUACACUUGGCAUCUAGAAAGUCACAGACUCCAAAAACGGCCCCAACAGCAAGCAAAUAAACAGUAAGAAACCAAUGCGAAAGGAGAGCAAACUUACCAAAGUCCAAAAGAGGCGUCCGCUAACAGAAAUAAGGCCCGCCUGAAGCAAUUCUGGAAAUAGAAAUGACGCAACAGAAGAAGAACAACGACCGAAGUUGCAAAAGCAAAAAUACAGAAAACUGGAAGAAGAAGAACUCCAAAAAUAAAGAUAUUCAAAAAGGUAACCCAAAGAGUCUGGAGUCCCUUAUUUAUAGGAGACCAAAACCCUAGUUAUCCCAAAAGACAGGCCGCCUAGAAGCACACCCCUAAGCAACACACCGCCUGACAGGUAGCCUAGGUAAAAGCGACCCACAUUUAAUCCCCCAAGCGACACGUGUCCCAAAGGCGUUGGAAUGAUUUGAAGAGACACCUAACCCAUCCACUUCUUUUCGGACAUAGGUGCAUGGAUUUAAAGGGGGCAUUAUAGGGACUCUUCUCCACGUGUCACCCUCCCUUAAUACUGACCAAAUAGGGACCGCAGUGUCCGAAGUUUUCCAUCCGGACCAUGAGGUCAGACAUCAAGCACAAUCGGACUUCCUAAGUGGACGGAACCAUCCAGUCAGCCUUCAAGGUCCAUUGACUUGCGUAAUCAUUCAUAUAUAGCAGAUGAGUGACUAAUGGGGCAUACCUCAACCAUCAGGUCGAUGUCAACUAAUUACUGCACACAACCCCACACCUCCAACAGGUUGAAGGGAUGGGUAACUAUACGAUCAUACAUUAUACCAUAUCUUUUGACGGCACCUGCCAAGCACCUAGAGUUAUAAUGAUUGUCCUACCACCUGUAGGAUUGUCAUCAUUACAAGGAAGUCAAAGUUCUUAGUAAGCACUAUAGGGGCCUCCUUCUGGGAACUAUAAAAACCCUCCUUAAGCAUAAACAAGGUAUGCACGCUUAAAUUAGCCCACACAUUCUCUCAUUCAAAGAGUCUUACCUAUCUUUAUCUAACUUAAGCUUCGAAGGGGCGUGCCCGGACCACUUGUCCGAACAUCCUUUGUGAAGGAAAGAAGCUCACCUAGUCCCCCAACACUAGGUAAAAACUUUGAGAGGCACAACAUAAGGAGGAUAUGACUCCAGUUGACCUUCCAUCAACACACAUCCCCAAUUAGGGAUAGUUUUUCAUGUUUGAACACAUUUCUUUUGAAUUUUAUUUUUAUAUCACAAAAAUGGAAACAAAGAUAAUCUCAUUCACAAAAGACAACUCUUAUGGAAUUGAUAUGAGUUUCUAAUUUGAUACUUGAAAAGUUGAAACAUAAACUUUUACCUUUGAUACCAUUGAAAUUCUCCUAUAGUGUUGUUCAUCUGAAAUGUCCUAAGCUUAGGUCAUUAUUUUCCAAAGGAAAUUUCCUAUUCUAAACAAAAUGUCUAAAUAAGAAAAAAUGAUAUUGAUUCAAAACUACGUAAAUCCCAUGUUCUACUAUUUCGUUGGCUAUAUGAGUUGGAACUAAAUUCUGUUUUCCUUACACAAAAAUAGAAGCAGAUACCUUUCUUCCUUCCUUUGUUUCAUGCAGGUAUGCCUGCCUACUCACAAAAAAAACAAUGGUUAUAUAAAUGGUUCAACAACAGUGUUAGUUGUUAUAUAUUGACGAAAAUUUCCUUUUUGCAUGUAAGAGGAAAAGAACAACAAGGGCGAUGAAUUAAAAAAAUUUCCAACCAAAGCUCUACCGAUUCAAAUAGUGGUUUGUUAAUGACAUCAAUUGUAGAUGAUGGUUUUUUCUCUUUCUUUUCAAGUAAGUCUGAUAGUUUUCUACUCUAGAGGUUGAUAUGCUUAUAUUUCAUUUCAUUGUGAUAGUUGGCAAAGUAAAUUACUCUUCGAUUGAUCACUAUAGCUUUUUAUUGAUGGUUUCACUAGAGAUUGAUUUGGAAUGCAAUUAUGUAUUGGCAUUCUCUUGAGUUUUGUUCCUUACAGUGCUCUUUUCCUCAGUUCCCCUUUCUUCGUACAAUUAUAAUAUGUAUAUUUGUAUGUAUGAUUUUUCAAGAUGAAAGAGACUUGAUCAACAUCCUAUUACCUUUUACAACAUUUUGACCCCUAACAUCACCUCUGUAUAGUUCAAGCAUGGCUUAUGAACUCCUUUGCCACAAAACAAAGGCAUGUGUGCAUCUUGAGCUCUAGUAAGAUAUAUUUUAGUUGCACAAAACCUUUAGGCUCCAUUUGGAUUAUUAAAAGAGCUAAGGACAAUCAUGGUACAACCGAUCAAAAUUCUCUUAUUUGGUUUACCAUGGAAAGUACAAAGCAAAAUCAAGUAUAAUCAAAUUUGACUAAAAUUUUACAUAUUUUUAAAUUCUUCAUUUUUUACAUAGAUGAUGAAAAAAACAUGUGUUUGAAGAAACAUGGAAUAAUUUUUUUUUAAGUUUAAUAUCUAUUUUAUUACCUUUCUUCGUCUUUACUUUCAUUCCACUUUCUCCUCCUUUUUUCCCUUCAAACUUUCCAUGAUCCAAACAAAGUCCCACUAUUUUUUAUUUUAGGCCUUUCACAAAAAUUUCUAUGAAAGAGUAAGAAGGAUGUGUUUGAAAGUUUUUAAAAUAAAACAUAUAUUACACUUAAUAAACACGAAGUAAUUCCUCUUUGACCAAUAAUCUUCCCCUUUUUGACCAUAUCGUUGUUGGUGCAUGCAUGAUGUGCUUAACAAAUAUCCUAGCACAGCAAGAAUUGUAGGGCAAUGUUUAAGGUUGUAAAUGUAAUUGUAUUACAGAGUAGAAAAGUUUUUAAUUGUGAUGUUUUUUUAUUCGUACUUAUUUUGGUGUCUAGACUUAAUCUUGUGCAUGACAUUUCCUCUAUGCUACAGAGUUCGCCUUUGGUCAGACAAAAAUGAUCAAUGAAUGUCAUGAUAAAGGUUUUCCUGAAGGCUUCCUGUUAAUCAAUUCGACCUUAACUUUCUCUGGGUUUGGGAAUGAUUGGGAAUAAUUGUAGAGUGGUUGUGGAGGGAUUUCACGUGGCAAAGAAUGGGAAAUAAGUUAAGACUUAGAAUCGUGGAUGAUUUUCUCACCAUAGUGGGUUCAGGUACGAGAAGGUUGGGGUCAUUAAAUGAGGCCUUAUUAGGCAAAUGGAUUUAUCUGCAGUGGGAACCCAUUGUGGAGGAAGAUGGUAAGAAGAAAGUAUUGGAGGAAAAUGAGGUAAAGGUUAUUUGGUGAGUUUGCAGAAAGGCAUUGGAAAUGGUUGUCAAAAAAUUUGAUAAACCUACAACACACACAUGAUUAAGGUGAUAAGAACAAGCUUAGAUUUCGACCAGAUGUUUUGUACAGUGAUAGGAUCCUAAAUUGAAUCCUAUCCAUACCCAAUGAAAUUUGUCAUGAGAUGCAGAGUGGAGCCGGAGAGAGCUUUUCUUUGAAGGAAGCAUAAGAUAGUAGGGUGUCAAGUAAGGUAUCAAUUCUCAUGGGGAAAGCCCAUUCAAAUAGAGUUACUGUUACUGAUAAUAAGGUGAACAGAGGAAAGACCCCUCCCAAAUUGCUUCUAUUAGAUUAUUAAAUAGGUGGAAAAAACAGUAGAUUAGUUGGUGAUGCAUUUUUUGGUGGCUGCAGGUUAAUGGCAAUCUUGGGUGUUGUGGAUGAUGCCUCAAACUUUAUAAGGAGUUGUUAUCAAGUUGUCAUAGAAGAGUUGUUGCUUAGACCUAGAGUACUAUGUGGAUGACAGUGAUUUUAAGUUUUUAGUCUAGAAUGGAUGGAGAAAAAAGAAAUAGAAGAAAUUCUUAAGGGAAAGAGGUUCCUUUAACAUAUAAGAACAAAGGGGGUUCUGUCAUGAGUUUUCUUGAUGAUGUACAACUGUCCAAUGUAUUCUCUUCCUUUGAUAGUUAUCUUUUUAUCUUUUUCCUUUUCUAUUUCCUUUUGGGAUCCACAUAUACACUAUGAAUCAUCUAUUUGCUUUAGACUCUUCUGUAUAGAGUAAUUAAGAACAUAUUGCCUUUAUUCAUUGGAUCCUUAUAAACACUUGUUUUCAUUUAGUAAGGUGAGUCCAUUUAUAGUUCAUUGGCUUACAAUAAGAUUUUUUCCAAAAUUUCAGGGCACUCAUGUUUGGACACAUUCUCCAGGAGGGGGGCCACAACAUGGUCUUACUCCUUCUAGAAGCUCAAUAGAUCUUGUUGCAAUUUUGGAGUUCCAGUGCUAAGGUAAGACAAAACUAUAGGUAUAUAUAUAUUGCUUUUGAAGCUUUAGCAUGUGGACCUGGUUAGUGCUAUAAGCUUGUUGAACACGAUUACAUCUAUUGGCUUCUAACUGCUCCCUAUUAUUUCUUCUCUCCCACUCAAUGCCACAAAACCAUAAUCUGCAGGUUGCCUUUGGUGCAUCUAUUAGUGUUGGUCUCCUCAGUUCCAAAGCCUCAUACCGGAUAGAAGAGCCUCGUCGGCUCCCUAGUCAUUGGAAUACCUUAAAGAGGAGUUGUGGGUCUUAUCAAAUAGUUCAAAAAAUACUUGGCUAUGUGCUUCUCCUUCAUUUUGUCCAAGCCACUCUGAUUGCAGAUGCUUCCACAAAGCUACUACUGCAUUUACAGCGAUGGGUCUGUUAUAAUUUACUAGUACUAAUAUUACAAAAUUUUCAUUAUAAUAGAAGCGACCAUAUAAUUAUAUAUUUACUAAAAAUUCAACUCAAAUCCAAUAUAGCACCUAUGCUACAUAAGAAAUGUGUUAAGAGUCCACCUUUUUGUUUCAAUGAAAAAUUCAAAUAAUUAGGAAGAAAUGGUGCAACAAGAAUAAGAAUUUCAAGAACAUUUGAAAAACAUUUAUUCUGAGUGGAAGAGCAACUUUCAUGUGAGUUAUUGCUUGCUCUCGAAAGAGAUUGGAAGCCUAGUCAACCUUGACAUCUCAAUCUUAUUAAUGCUCUUGAAUUAUAAAAUUGAAACAUUUGUUGCUGAAUCCUCAGGAAAAUAUUUGGAUAUGGAAAAGCUGCUGAUUUAAAGGAUGAUGGAAUGGAGUUUAUGAGAUAAUAGAGAUCUUGAAAAUCAAAGGAAUGGAAUGGGCUAUCUUGAUCUUCAUUUGAAUCUUACAGUUGUAUUUUUAUUAUUUUAUGAUGGAAUAAUAAUUUUCAAAGUCGAAUGGAGGAUUUCCAUUCUCAACUAUAGAAAUCUACUUGAGGAUGGAUGGAUAAAGGAUUAUUCGAGUGAUAACAAGUUGAGAUUGAAGGAGUUGCUGAAAAGAAGUGGAAGCAGUAACCCCUUCAAUCAUGUCCUCACAUUAUGUGACAUCUUGUAAGCAUAUUCACAACUCACAUUCACUUUUCAUCUUGUAAGCAUAUGUUUGAUAAGUGUACGCAAUUUUAAAAAAUAAUUUGUAAACUAUUGUAGUGAAGAAAAUAUUUCUGAAUCUUUAAUAGUUUUUGCUGAUUAGGAAAAAGAGUUUAUCAUAUUAUUUGAUUCGAAGCAAAAAUCGGCUCUUAUAAAGACGAUUUCUAAAAAUUCAUAUAUUUAGGCAAAAAUCAUCUUUUAAAGAGACCAUUUUUAAAUGUUCUUUAAAAAAAUCAAAGCAGAAAUCAUUUCUUCAAGAAAAGAUUUCUUUUUAUUUUAAAAAAGAAAUUAUAUGCAAAAUUUAUCUCUAAAGAGAUGAUUUCAAAAAAUUAAUUUUAAAGAAAAAAAUAUUUUUAUGCUACAUGUUUUCUUAUUUUUAAUAAUAUUUAAACUAAUAAUAUAUUUCAAUAAUAAAAUUAUUAUUAAUAUAUGUAUUGUAAAAUUAAGUAACUUUAUUUAUUAAAUUCAAUACAUAAAAAUAAUUAUAAUUAUUAUUGAUAUAUUACUCAUAAUUAUAAUAUUUAUAAAAAUAUAAAUUAUAUUUAUCAUCUUAUAUUCAUUAAAAUAAUAUUACCAUUAUCUUGAAUUUUAUCAUUCAAUUAAUUAAAUUAAUUAUUAUUAAAAUAUAAAUUAAUUUAAUUUUAUACUCAUAAUUUUAUCCUUUUUUCUUUCUACUACAAAUACCGGUUUAGGUUUAUUCAAUUCUCUUGACCUCGGUCUCAAUUAUCAUUCUUCAUCUCAUUCAAUUUCGGUUGGAUCUCUACGAGACCAUCUGACCCAACUUCUUCUUCUUCUUCUUCUUCUUCUUCUUCUUCUUCUUCUUCUUUUUAUUUUUUUAUUUUUUAUCAUCCCUAAUAUCUCUAAACUUCUGGAUAUCGAGCAUGAGGGUCAUUAGUUGGUAAGAAUGGAACCCCUUACCAUCAUGCUAAAACUUGUAAUACUUUAGGUUUAAUUUAAAUAUAAGCAAUUAAUUUGUUACUUAUGUUAGUCAUAUUUUAGGUUUUGAAAUUUACAUAUAUCUAUCUUCAUUUUAGGUUUUUCUGGUUUCUGCUAUUGUACACAAACAUGAAUAUGUAUGCUAUCCUGAGUCACUAUAGUGUUUAUGACUUGUUCUAUUAUACUCCUCAAGCUGUUGUUGUAGAGGGGCCAGCUGCCUUCUCUUCUGCUUUGACACAGCAAUUUGAUUAGGCCCAAAAGCCAUAACCACCCCUUGAUUGUUACCAAGGAGUGAAAUACAUGUCAUCCUAAAUUCCAUACAUUUUCUAAAAUGGACCUAUAUUCAGCAGCUGUACAUUGGAAUGCAUGUUAUCAGCUUGCUUUCACCAUUUUCGUUUCUUAUAUUCUCAAAAAAUCAUAAAAGAAUUUUCAUGUCCCCUACCAAACAGACCCUCAAAUUAAUUUAGCACUUGAUAUCAUUUCUCAAAUAUUUACUUAUAAGACUCAAAGCAUCAAAUAUGCAUAGGAACCAUGUUCAAAAAUCCCAUCAACAUAAAAUCACAGGUCUUUGUCACAAAUUUAUGUGAUUAACACAAUCUUUUCCCUUGAGACUUACUUUACCUAAAAUCUAACAGCUUCUCUCCUAGAGCUAUUCCAACAGCUUCUGGCCAUACUGCCGGCUCUGGUUUGAUAGGAUCAUUAUUCUUGAUUAUUGUCCUUAGGCAUCACAUUCAAAAUUCAACCAUAGCAGAUGUCUCUUCUAGUUUGGCCUUUUCAAACUUGGGUGGUUUGAAAGUAUUCCCCGUAAUGAGAAGUCAAGCUUAUAAAAUCUUUUAAGACCAACACUUGUAUCAUAAAUCUUGGUUGUCUUAACGCUUGUACUACGAAUAGACCCACCAAAUUGAGUUUUUAAUUUCUCCCCUUGUAAAUUAUAGUCUGCAAGAUUCUCAUUCAUCUAGUUUGGGCUAAAACAAUUGCAGGCUAUCAAGACUAUUGUAAUAUCAUAAUAUGUAGACCGAUAUUAAUUUCUAGGUUUAAGGCAUUGGUGGAUAAAUGAAGGGUAUGGACACAUGUCCUUAGAUGAGAGUUGCAAAAUACUUUUCGGUUGUUAAUGUUAUAGGUUUUAAAAUGAAAACUUAUCAAGAAAUUAAGGUAUAUGAUGUUGUAUUUGUUGAUGGGUGUUAAUAUAAUUGUUCAUGUUUGAGUAUAACCAUGUAAUUUAUAGUUUUUCAAACUCUUCUAUUUAAUUGAACCCUUUUAUGCUGAGUUGUACCUCACCUUUUUUAUUUAAUUUUUUUUUUUAAUAUCAAGUUAGAGGGGAGCAAGAAGGAAGGAGUUGAGUUAUGGUAUUAUAAUUAAGGGAUUUGGGAUUUGUGUUUUUGUAGUAUAGGAUUUUGUGAUAUUGGAAAGUUCUUUAAUAUUAUAAAAACAGAGAAUUACAAUUGUGUGAAAUAAUUAUUGUUUUGUUCCAUGAUUUUUAUAGCAAAAAGUUUCUAAGGUUAUAAAGGCUGUUUAUAGAGGAAAAAGAUAACUUACAAAAGUUAAACCAAAACUGAAAAAAUGUUAAGUUGAAAUUAAGGGAAGAAAAGUUAGCACGUGGUUUGUGAGGUUGAUGUCAUGCCCCAAGACCCAUUCCAAAGGUGUCACGGUUAUUUCACACCUAAAGCCUAAAAACUCAAAGUGCAAAUGACUCAAACAAUCACUUUGUAAUUUAAGGUUAUCAAUGACCAAAUUUUUGUUCAGAAUAGUAAAACAUCUUAUAAUCCUCAAAACUCUAAUUUUUAAAAAGAAAAAGAAAAAAGAAAAAAUUAACUAACAUACCAACCACUAUGCUAUCAUCCAAACAACUUCAAAAAUUCUUAAAAAUGUCAAACAAUAAUUAAUUUUAUCUAACAUUUAAAUAAUGUCCAAAAUAAAAGUUUAAACUAAAAAUCUUAAUAAAAACAAAUUCCUAUUCUAACUAAACACAUACAUUAAAGGGAUAUUUGAAUUGAAUUUUACCACAAACUUAUCAAAAUUUCAAAUUAUUAUUCAUGACAAAAACUAGGGUAGCUUCAAUAUAAAAAAACCACAAAUCAUAAGUUUAUUGAUGAGUCUCAACUAUCAAAAUAUAAAAAGGUUUUUUUUUCUUAAAUUUACUAGCAUUCUUUUUAUUUUCACUAAAAUUAGAACCUAAAAAAUUCACAAAAUAUCAUAUAAAAGUGUACUUCUACUUACUCAACUCUAUUUUUCAAACUAUCAACCGAUAGUUUAGGAGUCAAUUUGUUUAUAUGGUGAAAAGCCCAUCUUAACUGUUUAUAUGGUGAAAAGCCCAUCUUUACUGUUUAAUUUUUCUUCGAUAACUAUCAUUGAAUUGAUGCUGAUUUUCUUAUAUUCAAACCCAUUAAAUCAAAGGAAAACUCUAAAGUAUCAUAGUGGUAUCUAUCAAAUAAAAGAUUUACAUCAUUCAAUAUGAAUGAAGAACUCUAAAUUGUUGAACAAUAGUACAAACGAAUAAAAUUUAGGUACAAAGAUACAAAUAAAUAAGAUUAAAAUAUAAAUAAUAAAACAAAAAAAAAUAUAUUUUAUAUUACUUUAUUGAUGAUGUUUUUUCAACAAGUAUAAAAAUAGUACAAGUCAGUACACGGAAACCCAAUUCAAAUGUGGCCACUUUUUCUAAAAAUGGAAGAACAAUGUUUUCUUCACCCCGUGACCCUCACGUCAAAUUCUCUUUCAUACAUUCAACGACCCCAACCAUUCACUUAAUUAGAAAUCCUCCAACACAAUUUUCUUCCAUUGACUUGGCUCCUUGACCUUUUCUUCCAUUGACUUGACUCCUUGUCCUAGAAAGUUGACCGCAACAAAUCUUAUAGACACCAAUAUUAUGAAUAAAAUGUAAGUUUAAUCCUGUCAUUAUGUCAUCACGCUUGUAAGCUCAAUGGUUCACCCAUAUUUGUCCCAUAGAUUAUAUUUGUGUUUGUUGUACUUAUGUUAGAAGAUUCAAAUUAAUCUUCAUGGUGUUUGAAAGUCAUUUUUUUUUUUUUUUUAAAGAUUAGAAGCUUUUUUUUUUCCCUUUUAAUAUUUCAAAGUUUUUUAUUUGAAAGUUGGAUUUUAGAUAAAAAUGUUAAGAAUUUUUCUUAAUUACCAUUUGAUAAUAAUCGAAGAAUCAUAUGCACCAGCGGAAAAAGUUCAUACCUAACACAUGAGGGAGGAAGAGGUCUCGUCUGAAGGAGGCUGAUGGAAACUGGUAAUCAAAGCAGUCAACACAGUUGUCAUUUUGUGAGGUUUUACUUCAAUGAGAAGCCCAUGAAAAUUUCCAACUCAGGGGCCCCUCACCGUUGAACGCUCCAGAAUCCCUGGGAACCAUAUUGAAAAUUUCUACGACCAUUAGUUAUCACAACAUAAACCAUUUCUUCUGGUUCUGUUGUACGAUUUGGGACUGAUUUCUGCAAAGUAACUAACCAUGGCUUUUGUUGGAGAGGCUUUUCUAUCUGCUUCCAUUCAGAAGCUGGUGGACAUGUUGGCCUGCCCCGACCUCCGGAAGUUCGCCCGCGAAGAACAAGUCCACGCCGAGCUCAAGAAGUGGGAGGGAAUACUGCUGAAAAUCCAUGCAGUGCUUCAUGAUGCUGAGGAGAAGCAGAUGACUAAUCGGUUCGUGCAGAUAUGGUUAGCCGAGCUCAGAGACUUGGCCUAUGAUGUUGAAGACAUCUUGGACGACUUCGCCACCGAAGCUUUACGGCGCAAGCUGAUCACAGAUGAUCCUCAGCCAAGUACUAGUACGGUACGCAGCCUCAUCUCCUCCUUGUCUUCUCGUUUCAAUCCAAAUGCUUUGGUGUAUAAUCUCAAUAUGGGGUCUAAGAUAGAGGAGAUCACUGCAAGAUUACAUGAGAUUUCUACCCAAAAGGGUGACCUGGAUUUGAGAGAGAAUGUUGAAGGGAGGUCCAACAGGAAGAGAAAAAGAGUCCCUGAAACAACUUGUCUGGUGGUUGAGUCUCGUGUUUAUGGCAGGGAAACUGAUAAAGAGGCGAUACUUGAAGUGUUGCUGAGGGAUGAAUUGGUUCAUGAUAAUGAAGUCUGCGUGAUUCCUAUAGUCGGCAUGGGAGGUGUCGGCAAAACUACCCUUGCCCAGCUUGCCUACCACGACGACAGAGUGAAGAAUCAUUUUGAUCUGAGGGCUUGGGUUUGUGUUUCUGAUGAUUUUGAUGUUUUGAGGAUAGCAAAAACGCUUCUACAGUCAAUUGCUUCUUAUGCCCGUGAGAUCAAUGAUCUAAACUUGCUUCAAGUCAAGCUGAAAGAGAAAUUGUCUGGAAAGAAGUUUCUGCUUGUUCUAGAUGAUGUCUGGAACGAGAACUAUGACAAAUGGGAUAGGUUGUGCACCCCUUUACGAGCAGGGGGACCCGGCAGUAAGGUUAUCAUCACUACUCGCAUGGGUGUCGCGUCACUUACCAGAAAGGUUUCGCCUUACCCCCUGCAGGAGCUGUCAAAUGAUGAUUGUCGGGCUGUGUUUGCGCAUGCAUUGGGAGCAAGGAACUUUGAAGCUCAUCCGCACGUGAAAAUAAUUGGAGAGGAAAUGGUGAACAGAUGCAGGGGCUUGCCUUUGGUCGCAAAGGCCCUGGGAGGCAUCUUGCGAAAUGAACUAAACCAUGAGGCAUGGGACGAUAUAUUGAAGAGUAAGAUAUGGGAUCUACCAGAAGAGAAAAGUGGUGUUCUUCCAGCUCUCAAAUUGAGCUAUCAUCACCUCCCAUCUCAUCUGAAGCAGUGCUUUGCUUACUGCGCUAUUUUUCCCAAGGGAUAUGAAUUCAAAAAGGAUGAAUUAAUCCUUUUAUGGAUGGGAGAAGGAUUUCUGCAGCAAACAAAAGGGAAGAAGCGAAUGGAGGACUUAGGUUCCAAAUACUUCUCAGAGUUGUUAUCAAGGUCAUUCUUUCAACAAUCAAGUGACAUAAUGCCGCGAUUCAUGAUGCAUGAUCUCAUCCAUGAUUUGGCUCAAUCUAUUGCCGGAAAUGUAUGUUUCAAUUUGGAGGAUAAGUUGGAGAAUAAUGAAAAUAUUUUUCAAAAGGCUCGCCAUUUGUCAUUCAUUCGUCAGGCCAAUGAGAUCUUCAAAAAAUUUGAAGUUGUCGAUAAAGGGAAGUAUCUUCGAACUUUUCUAGCUUUACCCAUCAGUGUAUCAUUUAUGAAAAGUUUGUCAUUCAUAACUACGAAGGUGACACAUGACCUCUUAAUGGAAAUGAAAUGCUUACGGGUACUAUCUUUAAGUGGCUAUAAGAUGAGUGAGCUACCGAGUUCAAUUGAUAAUUUGAGUCAUCUACGAUAUCUCAAUCUAUGUCGCUCUUCAAUUAAAAGGUUACCUAAUUCAGUAGGUCAUCUGUAUAAUUUACAAACCUUAAUAUUACGAGAUUGUUGGAGUCUCACUGAGAUGCCUGUGGGGAUGGGAAAUUUAAUCAACCUUCGACAUCUUGAUAUUGCUGGGACAAGUCAAUUACAAGAGAUGCCCCCACGAAUGGGCAGCCUGACAAAUUUGCAAACAUUGUCUAAGUUUAUUGUGGGGAAAGGUAAUGGGUCGAGCAUACAAGAAUUGAAGCACUUGUUGGAUCUUCAAGGAGAACUUUCCAUUCAAGGAUUGCAUAAUGCGAGAAAUACUCGAGAUGCAGUGGAUGCUUGUUUAAAGAAUAAGUGCCACAUUGAAGAACUAACAAUGGGAUGGAGUGGUGAUUUUGAUGAUUCACGAAAUGAAUUGAAUGAAAUGCUUGUGCUCGAGUUGCUGCAACCUCAAAGAAAUCUGAAAAAUCUCACAGUUGAGUUCUAUGGAGGACCAAAAUUCCCAAGCUGGAUAGGGAAUCCUUCAUUCUCAAAAAUGGAGUCCCUGACCCUUAAAAAUUGUGGAAAAUGCACAUCGCUACCGUGUCUUGGACGACUAUCUCUACUCAAAGCCUUGCACAUUCAAGGAAUGUGUAAAGUUAAAACCAUAGGUGAUGAAUUUUUUGGGGAGGUCUCUCUUUUCCAGCCUUUUCCAUGCUUGGAGUCUCUAAGGUUUGAGGAUAUGCCAGAAUGGGAAGACUGGUGUUUUUCUGAUAUGGUUGAGGAAUGUGAAGGAUUAUUUUGUUGCCUUCGAGAGCUUAGAAUAAGGGAAUGUCCCAAACUGACUGGAAGCUUGCCCAAUUGCCUACCUUCCCUGACAGAGCUCGAAAUUUUUGAAUGUCCAAAGUUGAAGGCUGCACUUCCAAGACUUGCAUAUGUUUGUAGCUUAAACGUUAUAGAAUGUAAUGAGGUUGUGUUGAGAAACGGGGUUGAUCUGAGCUCCCUCACUACACUAAACAUUCAGAGAAUUUCCAGAUUAACUUGUCUAAGGGAAGGAUUUACCCAGUUGUUAGCAGCCCUUUAAAAACUGGUGAUAAGAGGAUGUGGGGAGAUGACGUCUUUGUGGGAGAACAGAUUUGGAUUAGAAUGCCUCCGGGGUCUUGAAAGUAUAGAUAUCUGGCAGUGCCAUGGACUUGUAUCCUUGGAGGAGCAAAGGCUGCCAUGCAAUCUCAAACAUUUGAAAAUAGAAAACUGUGCUAACCUGCAGAGGCUGCCUAAUGGUCUGCAAAGUCUCACAUGUCUUGAAGAGUUGUCAUUACAGAGUUGCCCCAAACUGGAGUCAUUUCCAGAGAUGGGCUUGCCAUCGAUGCUGAGAAGUCUCGUGCUGCAGAAAUGCAAGACUCUGAAGUUACUACCUCACAAUUACAACUCAGGUUUCCUUGAAUAUUUGGAGAUUGAACACUGCCCAUGCCUCAUUAGCUUUCCAGAAGGUGAGCUGCCUCACUCACUUAAGCAACUGAAGAUCAAGGAUUGUGCAAAUCUACAGACUCUGCCAGAGGGAAUGAUGCACCACAAUUCUAUUGUUAGCACCAACUCUUGUUGUCUUGAAGUCUUGGAGAUCAGAAAAUGUUCAUCCCUCCACCCUCAAGCGGCUUGAGAUAUGGGACUGCGGGCAAUUUCAACCAAUUUCAGAGCAGAUGUUGCACAGCAAUACUGCACUUGAACAGUUGUCCAUUUCCAAUUAUCCAAACAUGAAAAUCCUUCCAGGUUUCCUCCACAGCCUCACGUAUCUCUAUAUAUAUGGUUGUCAAGGUCUUGUGUCCUUUCCAGAAAGGGGCUUGCCCACUCCCAAUCUCAGAGACCUUUAUAUUAACAACUGUGAGAACCUGAAGUCCCUGUCUCAUCAAAUGCAGAACCUUUCAUCUCUUCAAGGACUGAAUAUCAGGAAUUGUCAGGGCUUGGAGUCAUUUCCAGAAUGCGGUUUGGCUCCCAACCUUACCUCGCUCUCAAUCAGAGAUUGUGUGACUCUGAAGGUGCCAUUAUCUGAAUGGGGCCUCCACAGGCUCACUUCUCUUUCAUCACUGUACAUUUCCGGUGUAUGUCCAAGUCUGGCAUCUCUUUCAGAUGAUGACUGUCUUCUUCCUACAACUCUGAGCAAACUUUUUAUCAGUAAGCUGGAUUCCCUGGCCUGUCUGGCUCUCAAAAACCUCUCUUCUCUUGAAAGGAUAUCCAUCUACAGGUGCCCUAAGCUCCGGUCCAUUGGGCUGCCUGCAACGCUAUCAAGACUUGAAAUAAGGGAAUGCUAACAGCAUCCCAAGAUGAAUUCUCUGUCCUGUACACAAAAGAGGAAAAAAAACUCAGUCAGGUAUGCCUAUUUGCAACUCAAUCCCAGUUUCAGAUUAUCUUGUUAAUAUGAUUUUCCAUGUGUUUAUUGAAGGCUUGGAUAGGAGGUGGCUUUUGACAGCAUCACUGGCUUAUCGCUAAAACUGGGUGCAAAAUCUCAUGCCCUGCUUAAGCUGUUUUGUUCUUCUUUGUUUCAGAUCAAGGAAGCCGAUUGAUGAGUCAUUUGUCGUUUGCGCUGUGUUUUUCCCUCCAACAAGGUAUGCCUACUGCCUAUUCCCAGUAUGCAUCUCCCAUUUUCAUUGGCAAAAUUCUGAGUUCAUUUCUAAAUAAAGAAUGGAAAUUUCUGUCUACAUACAGGAAGGAAAGAAACAAAGAAGCAAAGAACAUAUGAAAUCCAAAAUUUCCGAACAUUAAGCAGCAAAUUCACAUGGUGAUGGUAUGUUUUUUACCUCAAUGUUAGAUGAUUAUCUAUCUUGUUUUUCCUUCUGAGAAUCUCCGAUAUGGGUUCCUCCAUUUUGUAAGUUGAUGGUUCCUUUUCUGAAUUUCUUAUUUCAGGUAUGAAGAAAAGAAUGAUGAACGUGUUCAGUGCUUAUUAGGACUUAUUCGUCUGGUUUCUGCUAUUGUACACAAGCAUGAAUAUGUAUGCUAUUCUCAGUUACAUAUCAUAUACUUCUAUUGAUUUAUUUAUUUUCCAACUUCAAGUAAAGGUUGGUGCACUGUAGUGUUUAUGACUUGUUCUAUUAUACUCCUCAAGCUCUUGUUGCAGAGGCAGCUGCCUUCUCUUCUGCUUUGACACAGCAAUUUGAUUAGGCACAAAUGCCAUAACCACCCCUUAAUUAACACUUAUUCCAAGGCUUAACGAUUUGAAGGCUCAUGAUGGGACUUGACUAUCCCACAACACAUCUAUCCUAAGACUCUUUUACUUAUACUGAGGCUUAUAACGUGACUUAACAAUCACAAUGGAGAUUGAAGAUCCCAUAACCAAGGAUUAAAAUACCCAAAUAUAUGCCGAUAUAUCCACAAUAUCUCCAAUAUCUGUGAUACAAAAUUCAAAAAGAUAUAUCCAUCAAUCGAUAUUUUUUGAUAUUUUAUCAAUUUUUCGAUUUUUUCGUGUUUUAACUGAUACUUCAUCGAUAUUUUUGGAUAUUUUAUUAAUAUUUCACUGAUUUUUCAAUUUUUAUAUUAUUAAAUAAAUAAAUUAUAAUUAUUUUAUUUUUAUAUUUGAUUUAAUUUAUUACCAAAAAUAUAAAAACAUAAUUUUGUCUUUUUUAUAUAAUCUAUAUAUUUAUUAAAUAUAAUAAAUAUAAAUAUUAAAAAAAUUAUACAUAUAUUAUUAUUUAUUUGAUAUUAUUGAAUACAUUUAAAUUAAAAUGGAUUAUAAUUUUAAUAUUAAAUAUAUUUUAAAAUUAGACAUAUUAUCAUAAUAAUAUUGUAAAAUAAUUUAUAAUGUAAUUUAAUAAUAAAUGUAUAUUUAUAAAAUUUAUAUUUUUUAUAUUUUCAUCCUUACCCAUAAAACACCUGUCUUGUGGACUUUGGGUUUGCCUUACAUACCUAUCCUGGAUCAUUCAUUUUAGCUAUCAUUUUCUCAAUGAGUCAUGAUAUCACAUACCUAACAAUUCUUUCUUUAACAUUCUACUUCUAUAACUUAAACCCAUUACCUAGUUCCAAUACCACUUGUUGUAUGUGUCGGAAAAAACUUUGAUAUCACAUGUUAUAUCAAAAAAAGCUCUAACAUAGACAAAGAUUUAUUGCCAACAUAUUAAUAUAAGAAUAUAAAGAUAAUUUUUUCACAAAAAGGUAUAUGGGGUUUAACUUGAUUUAACUAACUAUUUUUAUAUCCAUGGAUGAGAGAAAAUAAUUUCACUAUAUCAUAAAAUAAAAAAAUAUAUUAUAAAGGACAAAAAAUAUCAUAUUUCCCUACUCCUUAUCUACUCGGUGUCUCUCGCUUUUUUUCGUAUUUCUAUCUAUCAUAUAUAGUUUUUAUAAACUCAUCUUCAAUUCAUCAUGUAAAUUUGUUGCUUUAAUAUCUAAAAAAUUUGUAAAGAUAUUUCCAAUAACAUUCCUUAUUGUAUAAAGAAAUCUAAUAUUACAAUAUCAUAUCAAUGUAACAAAUAUUCUAUACAUACUAACUAGUCGAAUCACAUUAAACCUCAUGUACUUCUUUGUGUGAUCUUACUAAAGCCAAGAAGAAUGGAACAUGUAAGAAAAUUGUAGAAGAAAUUUUGGUUAAAGGUGGAGUCGAUAGUUAUCUAAUAAGAAUGUGAUAUACAAAGCAUAUAUUUCAUUAUCUAUAAUAAAUGUGGUCUUUCCUAAUUAAUUAUUGGAUCUUGAAUGGUGGAAAUUACGAAGUGUUUGAAUAGUCUAGUGCAUGAGGGGGCCAUAGUACAAAAGAGGACCAUGGCUCGUGAGGAAACCAUGACAUGUGAAGAAGUUUUGGCAUGAAGUGAAAAUAUGGACCCUCACUUCCAUGGAAUUCAAUGCCGUGUUCCCAAAUACUUUUUCUUCUCAAGAGUUGCAGAGACUUUCCCUAAUACUUUUUUAGCUACAAACUUUUCUUCUGAAGAAUAUCUAAUAUUCUUAAAGAUCUGUUGCAGAGAGUUCCCUUUAUCAAUCCCUUGUUACCUACAAGAAAAGAAAAAAAUACAUGGCCGGUUUUGUUGGAGAAGCCGUUUUGUCUGGGUUCAUUCAGAAGUUGGUCGACAUGGUCGCCUCGCCGGAGCUGUGGAAGUACGCACGUGAAGAGCAAGUGGAUUCUGAACUGAACGAGUGGAAGAAAAUAUUGAUGAAGAUCUACGCAGUGCUCCAUGACGCGGAGGACAAGCAGAUGACAAACCCCCUGGUGAAGAUGUGGCUACACGACCUCAGAGACUUGGCUUAUGAUGUAGAGGACAUCUUGGACGAAUCCGUCAGCCAAGCUUUGCGACGCAACUUGAUCGUGGCUCAACCCCAACCGCCCACUGGUACUGUUCGGAGCAUUUUCUCUUCUCUGUCUACUAGUCUCACUUUGAGUGCUGCUUGGUCCAAUUUAAGUAUGGGUUCCAAGAUAGAGGAGAUCACUGCCAGAUUGCAAGAUAUUUCAGCCCAAAAAAAGCACCUGGAUUUAAGAGAUGUUUUUGCUGGUUGGUCUGGUAGAAAGAGACUACGGAGACUGCCAUCCACUUCUUUGGUGAUUGAAUCUUGUAUUUACGGCAGGGAAACAGAAAAGGCUGCCAUACUUGCCAUGCUGCUCAAGGAUGAUCCAAGUGAUGAUGAAGUUUGCGUGAUCCCUAUCGUCGGCAUGGGAGGUAUAGGCAAAACUGUUGAGAAAAAGUUGUUUGCUAGCUUUUGUCCUAGUCUUUUGGGAACUUGUUGUGUUCAACAAGUUAGUUUUUUAUUUUCCUAGUCUGUAGGUGUUAGUUUUGGCACGAUAUGUUGUGCCUAUUUUCUUGCUUUUAUUUGUUAUAUAUAAGCCUAUGUAAAGGCAGUUCUUUUUGUUAAAUAAGAUAGACGAUUAAUAUUUAGUCAGUUCUCCUUUUACUGCAGAACCUUGGUACUUCUUCUUCAUGGAAUCCCAAAUAUGUUUUGAAGUGUCUUUACAAAGAAUGGUUUCCAAGAUUGAGCGAUCAAUUGCUUGGAAAAGAUAAUUCUUUGCCUUGAGAUCUUUCAACCGCUGCCCGUCUAGCUCCGUUCUUUGUGCUUGUGUCAUUGUCGCACUAUCUGUUGGUUCCGUAAUUCCUUCAAAGACGACAUGCCAAUACUCCUUAGAUCUUAGAAAGUUCUCCAUUAACAUGUUCCAAUGAUCAUAAUGACCAUCAAAACGUGGAAUGGCUGGCUGCACAAAAGUUUCAGAGGUCAUUGUUCUCUUCUACUGCUGCUGCAAAAACAAGAGACUAGGUGAAAUAAAAAUGAAGUUGCUGUUGUACGACUCUAUCUCACACACGAGCUUGAAGCUAAACAAAGAUCACGGAGGAAAAAAGGUGGACAGCAUAAUCUAUAAGCAAAUUGUGGGUAGUUUGAUGUAUUUAACUGCAACAAGACCAGACAUAAUGCACUCAGUGAGUCUAAUUAGCAGAUAUAUGGAGAAUCCAACAGAGUUGCAUUUUUUAGCUGCCAAGAAAAUCUGUCGUUACUUGCAAGGAACUAAAGAUUUUGGGUUGUUUUACAAGAAGGGUAAAAGGUCAGAUUUGAUUGGGUUUACUGACAGCGAUUAUGCAGGAGAUCAAGAUAAUAGGAGGAGCACUUCGGGUUAUGUUUUUAUGCUGGGCACAGGAGCUGUUUCGUGGUCAUCUAAGAAGCAACCGAUUGUCACUCUGUCCACCACUGAAGCUGAAUUUGUUGCAGCAACAGUUUGUGCUUGUCAAGCUAUCUGGCUAAGGAAAAUUCUUGAAGAGCUCCAUCUCAAGCAAGUGGGAGCUACUACAAUUUUUUGUGACAACAGCUCAACCAUCAAACUCUCCAAAAAUCCCGUGCUACAUGGAAGAAGCAAGCAUAUUGACGUGAAGUAUUAUUUUUUAAGAGAUCUCAGCAAUGAUGGAGUUAUUGAUCUUGUCUACUGCAGAAGUGAAAACCAAGUUGCUGAUAUUUUUACUAAACCCCUUAAAUUGGCUGUCUUCUUGGAGCUGAGGAAGUUACUUGGAGUUUCCACUCUAGAAUAUUCAAUUUGAGGGAGAAUUCUGCGUAUUUUGUUUAAGGGAGAGUUUGUUGAGAAAAAGUUGUUUGCUAGCUUUUGUCCUAGUCUUUUGGGAACUUGUUGUGUUCAACAAGUUAGUUUUUUAUUUUCCUAAUCUGUAGGUGUUAGUUUUGGCACGAUAUGUAGUGCCUAUUUUCUUGCUUUUAUUUGUUAUAUAUAAGCCUAUAUAAAGGCAGUUCUUUUUGUUGAAUAAGAUAGACGAUUAAUAUUUAGUCAGUUUUUGAAUACCAUGGUUCUCGCAAAAAUUUACAAAUUCUUGUGAGGUGUAUUCUCCACCACGAUCACUGCGGAAAAUCUUAAUAGGUUUGCCUGCUUUUUUUUCGACCAACAUCUUAAAGCUUUUGAUGAAAAAGCUUCAGAUUUCUCCUGCAAAAAAUAAACCCAAGUUUUCCAACUAUAAUCAUCAAUGAACGUUAUAAAGUAACGUUUACCACCAUUGGAUGUUGGAUUAAUGGGUCCGCAUAUAUCAGAGUGAACUAGCUCCAACACCUUAUUCGCUCUCCGUGAUUUUCCUUUAGGAAAUUGAUAUUGAUGUUGUUUACUAACAACACAUUCUUCACAAAUUUGAGAAGGAAUCUGAAUUGGUGGAAGUCCAGUCACCAUGUUCUUCUGUUGUAGCGUCUUUAGACCACCAAAAUUCAGAUGUCUGUAGCGAAAAUGCCACAACCAUCCCUCAUCCAUCAAUUUCGCAGAGAAACAAUUCUGAGUAGUGUUGUCUAGAUACAACGGGAACAUCCGAUUUGUAGUCAUGUUGACUUGAGCAAUUAAGCCUAAUUUCUCAUCUUGGAUGCGACAAACUCCAUCUUUAAUAAAAAUCUCGUAUCCCUUCUCUUGAAGCUGACCAACACUAAGCAAGUUGGUUUAUAGACGAUUAAUAUUUAGUCAGUUCUCCUUUUACUUGUUUCAGUAGAAACAUUAUUAUUUCUUUUCUUUAUCUGUAACAAAAACUACUCUUGCUCAACUUGCGUUUAAUGACGAUAAAGUGAAGGAUCAUUUUGAUUUGCGAGCUUGGGUCUGUGUUUCCGAUGAUUUUGAUGUUUUGAGGGUGACCAAAACUAUUCUGCAAUCACUUUCUCCACAUACACGUUAUGCCAACAAUCUUAAUUUGCUUCAGAUUGAGCUCAGGGAGAAACUUUACCGGAAGAAAUUUCUUCUUAUCUUGGACGUAGUGUUUUUAAAGGCAUUGGUGGGGCGCGCCUCAAGGCGAGGCGCAGCGAAAACGCGUUGAGGCAUUAAAAAUAAAGCGAAACACCUGAAAGGCGUACGCUUUUCUGGUGAGGCGUGAUUGAGGCGCGCUUUGAUCGCGCCUUUCACGCUUUUCCGAUGAGGCGUACGCUUCGUCGGAUCCGAUGUGGCAAUGAACAGAGAUUUAAAAAAAAACCCUAAGUAAUCCCUAAAACCCCAAUCCUGACUGAAAACAAACCCAAAACGAAACCCUACCUCUUCCAAUCAAGCGGCGACGGAGUGCUCACCCUCGGCGGCGACCAAUCGUAGCGAUCUUCUCUGGCGACAAUCCCUCUCAUCUCCAGGUAUGUUGCGAACUCCCUCUUCCAUGCUUUCUCCCUCUUCGUUUCUCUCUCUGCAGUCCACACGGGCGUCGGCUCUUCAUCCAAAUUUUUUUUUUUUUUUAUCAAAUCAGAUGUGCUGUAUGUAUAUCUAUUUAAGUUUUAAACCCUCUUUUCUCUCUCUCACAGCAUUUAAAUUCUCUCACUCACAGCCCACACUUCCGGUCCACGAUUUUCUCUCUCUCCCAGUAGGUUUUUCAUCUUUUUUUUUUUUUUUUUAAUUAUCAAAUCAGAUGUGCCUUUUGUUAAUAAGAUUUUUUUUGAAGUUUUUUAUAUGUUUGCUUCAAUAAACAAAUAUAAUUAAAGUUAUAUAAAAGAUAAUUAUUUGUGAAUUUUGAAUUUUUUAUUUCUGAUUUAAUUUUAAUUCUCACCUCAAUUUUCUUUAUUUCAUUAUUAAAUUCCAAUUAAAAUUUAUGUGUAUAAUUUUUAAACUCCUUUAAAAAAAAUUGGUUUUUUUUUUAAUUUAAACCAAUUAAAUUUUGUAUUUCAUUUUUAAAUUCAUUUCAAUUAUGCUUUGUUAUUAUUUUUUAGUCAAUUAUAUUGUUAUAUGGAAAUUUGAAUAUUAUUAUUGUUGAUUUUUUUUUAGAAUGAGUUCCUCCGAUUCGAAAAAUUCAAGAAAAGAUUUUGUGUGGAAGUAUGUGAUUGAAGUUUCUGGAGAGCAAUAUUUAAGAUGUAAAUUUUGCAAUCAAAGAUGUACGGGAGGGGUGAAUAGAUUAAAGCAUCACUUAGCCGGAACUCAUCAUGGUAUGAAACCAUGCAGCAAAGUUAGUGAAGAUGCUAGAUUGGAAUGCAAAGAAGCAUUGGCCAAUUUUAAGGAUCAAAAAACAAAGAGAAAUGAAUUGUUCCAAGAAAUUGGUAUAGGUCCAACUUCAAUGCAUGAGAGUGCCUUGUCUAAAACAAUAGGGACAUUAGGGAGUGGGAGUGGGAGUGGGAGUGGGAGUGUAAGUGGGAGUGGGGAACCUAUUCCUAGGGGACCCAUGGAUAAAUUUACUACUUCACAACCUAGACAAAGUAUUUUGAAUUCAAAGUGGAAGCAAGAAGAAAGGAAGGAAGUGUGUAGAAAAAUUGGUAGAUUUAUCUAUUCAAAAGGUCUCCCAUUCAACACUGUGAAUGAUCCUUAUUGGUUUCCUAUGAUAGAUGUUGUUGCAAACUUUGGGCCCGGGUUUAAGCCUCCAUCUAUGCACGAAUUGAGGACAUGGAUUCUUAAAGAAGAGGUGAAUGACCUAAGUAUCAUUAUAGAAGAUCACAAAAAAGCUUGGAAACAAUAUGGAUGUUCAAUUAUGUCAGAUGGUUGGACAGAUGGAAAAAGUAGGUGUCUUAUCAAUUUUUUGGUGAAUAGUCCUGCUAGCACUUGGUUUAUGAAAUCAAUUGAUGCUUCUGAUACAAUAAAAAAUGGGGAAAAUAUGUUCAAAUAUCUUGAUGAGAUGGUUGAAGAAAUUGGAGAGGAGAAUAUUGUGCAAGUCAUCACUAAUAAUGCCUCUAAUUAUGUGAAUGCUGGAAUGAGGCUUAUGGAAAAAAGGAGUAGAUUGUGGUGGACUCCUUGUGCUGCUCAUUGCAUUGAUUUGAUGUUGGAGGAUAUUGGAAAGCUAAAUGUUCAUGCUACUACACUUUCUCGAGCUAGGCAAGUUGUGAAGUUUAUAUAUGGGCAUACUUGGAUUCUUAGCUUGAUGAGAACAUUUACAAAAAAUCAUGCACUUAUUCGUCCAGCAAUUACACGGUUUGCUACUGCAUUUCUUACUCUCCAAAGUCUUUAUAAGCAAAAGCAAGCUCUUAUAGCAAUGUUCUCCUCAGAAAAAUGGUGUUCAAGCACAUGGGCUAAAAAGGUAGAAGGUGUGAAAACUCGAAGUACAGUGUUGUUUGAUCCAAAUUUUUGGCCUCAUGUUGCUUUUUGCAUAAAGACCACUGUUCCAUUAGUUAGUGUCUUGAGAGAGGUUGAUUCAGAGGAAAGACCAGCCAUGGGUUAUAUUUAUGAGUUGAUGGAUUCAGCUAAGGAGAAGAUUGCAUUUAAUUGUCGGGGCAUGGAGAGAAAAUAUGGCCCAAUUUGGAGAAAAAUUGAUGCAAGAUGGACUCCGCAACUUCAUCGACCUUUACAUGCAGCAGGCUAUUAUCUUAAUCCUCAAUUGCGGUAUGGAGAUAAGUUCUCUAAUGUUGAUGAGGUGAGGAAGGGAUUAUUUGAAUGCAUGGAUAGGAUGUUGGAUUAUCAAGAACAUUCAGUUGGACUCAUAUGACCAAGCAAUGGGUGAAUUUGGGAGUCGUAUUGCAAUUAAUUCUCGAACAUUAAGAAGUCCUACAAGUUGGUGGAUGCGUUUUGGGGGUUCAACACCGGAGUUGCAAAAGUUUGCUAUUCGAGUCCUUAGCCUUACUUGUAGUGCUUCGGGAUGUGAAAGAAAUUGGAGCACAUUUGAAUCGAUAAUACUUCUAUUUUUGUAAAUUUUUAUACAUAUAUUUCUAUUUCAAUGUUAGAGAACUUUAUUUCAUUUUAACACAUAAAAUUGUUUCUUUUAUUAUUUGUAGAUCCAUACAAAAAAAAAGAAAUAGACUUGAACAUCAAAGGUUGAAUGCUCUAGUGUAUGUAAGGUACAACACUAGAUUGAGAGAGCGAAGUCUACAAAGGAAACAAAAUGUUGAUCCAAUCUUGGUAGAGGAGAUUGAUUCUGAUGAUGAAUGGAUUGCGGAGAAAGAAGAUCCCCUCCUCCCCCUUGAUCUUUGUUGGCUUCAAGAUAAUGAAUUAUUCAAUGUUGAUGCCAUUAGAGUUGUGUCAUCCAACUCCCAAGAGACGCAAGCAUCAUCGGAUCAUAUGGUUUCUUCACAUUCCUACAAAAGGAAACAUAAUGAAGUACCAAGUAAGUACUCAAAAAUUGAAAUCAUAAAUUUGAUUAAAUUUAAUAAAAAAAACUUUUAAUAUUUACACAUAAUUAAUACUUUAUGUUAGGUACAAGUGGAGGCAAAGGCAAAGAGAAGGAAUUGAAUUUGACACCAAUUGAUGAAGAUGAAGAUUUAGAUGAAAUGGGGAUACAUGAUAGUGGACAUUUUCCUACUAUUGAUACAUUGGACGAGGAUGAUGAUGACCUUGGAGAGGAGGAUUUAAGUUGAAACAAUUUACUCUAGUUGUUAUUUCAUGACUUAGUUAUGGAUUUUUUGUAAAAGUUUAGAACUAUUAUUAUGGUUGACUCUAUUUUUUAUUUCAUGACUUAGUUUUGGCUUUUUGUUAAAGUUUGAAACUAUUAGUAUAGUUGAAUCUAUAAUCUAUUUUAUGAAUUUGUUAUGGUUUUUUGUGAAAGUAGAGAACUAGUAUGUUUUUUUUUAUGAUUCUAAUGAAUUGUUUUCAUAUUUUUAUUUAUGCUAUUUUAUUUUAUAUAUUUUAAAAUAUUAAUUAAUUAUAUAAUGUAAGGCUCAAAAAGCUUACGCCUCAACGCCUCGAGGCUUAUGCCUCGCCUCACGAACACAAAAACGCCUCGCCUUACGCUUUCGCUAUUAAAAACUUUGCUUGGACGACGUUUGGAAUGAGAAUUUUGAUGAAUGGGAUAUUUUGUGCAUGCCGAUGAGAGCUGGAGCAUCAGGUAGUAAGCUUAUUGUCACAACCCGUUAUAAAGGGGUUGUAUCUGUCACUGGAACUUGUUCAGCUUAUCCCCUUCAGGAGUUAUCAUAUGAUGAUUGUCUAUCUUUAUUCACCCGACAAGCAUUGGGGGCAAGAAACUUGGAUGCUUAUCCACACCUGAAAGAAGUUGGAGAGGAGAUAGUCAAAAGGUGCAAAGGCCCUUGGUGGCAUGUUGCGCAACCAACUAAAUCGCAGAGCAUGGGAAGAUAUAUUAACAAGCAAGAUAUGGGAUUUUCCGGAGGAGAAAAGUCGUAUUCUUCCCGCUCUCAAGUUAAGUUACCAUCAUCUUCCUUCUCAUUUGAAGCGGUGUUUUGCUUAUUGCUCGAUAUUUCCAAAAGACUACGAAUUCGACAAAGAUGAAUUAAUCCUAUUAUGGAUGGCAGAAGGUUUUCUGCAACAAACAAAGGAAGAGAACCAGCCUGAGAAGUUAGGUUGUGAGUACUUUGAUGAUUUAUUCUCAAGGUCAUUUUUUCAACAGUCAACUCAAAAUUCAUCCCAAUUUUUGAUGCAUGAUCUUAUUAACGAUCUAGCUCAAUCUAUUUCCGGAGACAUAUGCUUUAAUUUGAAUGAUGAGUUAGAGAACAAUAAGCAAUCCAUGGCUGUUUCAGAGAAGGCUCGUCAUUUGUCAUUCAAUCGUCAACGUUACGAGAUGAUGAGAAAAUUCGAAGCGUUUCGUAAAGCUAAGUGUUUGCGGACGUUGGCUGCUUUGCCACUCACUACAUUUUCUACAUAUUUCAUUUCAAGUAAGGUGCUAGAUGACCUUUUAAAAGAAAUGAAAUGUUUGCGGGUAUUGUCAUUAAGCGGUUAUUUCAUAAGUGAGAUGUUACCAAAUUCCAUAGGCGGUUUGAAACAUCUGCGCUAUUUGAAUUUAUCUGAUUCUUUGAUGAAUAGGUUACCCGAUUCAGUGGGUCAUCUUUAUAAUUUGCAAACACUAAUAUUAUGCAAUUGCUAUAGACUUGUUGAGUUGCCUAUGGGAAUUGGAGGCCUCAUCAACCUUCGACAUGUUGAUAUUUCUGGUGCAGUUCAACUACAGGAGAUGCCCCCUCAAAUGGGAAACUUAACCAAUUUGCAAACAUUAUCCGACUUUAUUGUGGGCAAAGGUAGCAGGUCGGGUGUCAAAGAAUUAAAGAAUUUGCUGGGUCUCCAAGGAAAGCUUUCUAUUUCAGGGUUGCAUAAUGUGGUAGAUAUUCAAGAUGCAAGGAGUGUUAAUUUACAGAAGAAUCAGAACAUCAAAGAGUUAACACUGAAAUGGAGCAGCGAUUUUGGUGAAUCAAGAAAUAAAAUGAAUGAGACGCUUGUUUUAGAGUGGCUACAACCUCAUAGAAAUCUGGAAAAGCUCACCAUUGCGUUCUAUGGUGGACCAAACUUUCCAAGUUGGAUAAAGGAUCCCUCAUUCCCAUUAAUGACACACUUGGUUCUCAAGAAUUGCAAGACAUGCACGUCGUUACCAUCUCUCGGCCAAUUAUCCUUACUCAAAAACUUGCAUAUCGAAGGGAUGAGUGAAGUUAGAACCAUAGAUGAGGAGUUUUAUGGAGGGAUUGUCCAGCCUUUUCCAUCCUUGGAGUUACUGAAGUUUAAAAAUAUGCCAACAUGGGAAGAUUGGUUUUUUCCAGAUGCAGAUGAAGAAGUUGAACCGUUUCCAUUCCUUCGAGAACUUACAAUAAGGAGAUGCUCAAAGCUUGGUAUACAAUUGCCUGAUUGCCUACCUUCUCUGGUUAAACUUGAUAUCUUUGGGUGUCCAAAUUUGAAAGUUCCCUUUUCAGGAUUUGCAUCUCUUUGUGAAUUAAGUUUAGAAGAAUGUAAAGGGUUGGUGUUCAGAAGUGGGGUUGAUAAUUGUCUAGAAACAUUAGCUAUUGGACGGUGUCACUGGCUUGUAACAUUGGAGGAGCAAAUGCUACCUUGCAAACUUAAAAUUUUGAAAAUACAAGACUGUGCUAACCUGGAGAAGCUGCCAAACGGAUUGCGAAGUCUCAUAUCUCUCCAAGAGUUGAAAUUAGAGAGGUGCCCCAAACUGGUUUCAUUUCCAGAGGCCGCUUUGUCACCCUUGCUCAGAUCUGUGGUGCUCCAGAACUGCCCAUCUCUCAUAUGCUUUCCAAAUGGUGAGCUACCCGCCACCACACUCAAGCAUCUGAGGGUUGAAGAUUGUGAAAAUUUGGAGUCUCUACCAGAGGAAAUGAUGCACCACAAGUCCUCUUCCACUGUAGGCAAAAACACUUGUUGCCUUGAAAAAUUGUGGAUAAAGAAUUGUUCCUCUCUCAAGUUCUUUCCAGCAGGGGAGUUACCCUCCACCCUUGAGCUCCUUUGUAUUUGGGGAUGCGCAAACUUGGAGUCAAUAUCAGAGAAAAUGUCAUCCAAUGGCACAGCUCUUGAAUAUUUAGACAUAAGGGGCUAUCCAAAUCUGAAAAUCCUACCAGAAUGCCUUACAAGCCUCAAGGAGCUCCACAUAGAAGAUUGUGGAGGUCUGGAGUGUUUUCCAAAAAGAGGAUUGUCAACCCCCAACCUCAGGCACUUUCGUAUUUGGAGAUGUGUGAAUCUCAGGUCCCUUCCACAGCAAAUGAAAAACCUCACAUCUGUUCACACUCUCGGCAUACGGGGUUGUCCAGGAGUGGAAUCCUUUCCAGAAGGGGGUUUGCCCCCCAAUCUAACAUCACUUUACGUUGGAUGGUGUCAGAAUCUGAAAACACCCAUAUCUGAAUGGGGACUCCUUACCCUCACCUGUUUUUCUGAAUUGACCAUAUGUAGUAUGCUUCCAAAUAUGGUUUCUUUUUCGGAUGAAGAGUGUCUUCUUCCUCCAUCUCUGACCUAUCUUUACAUCAGUGACCUGAAAUCUUUAACCUCCCUGGCUCUCCAAAAUCUGGUGUCUCUAACUGAACUAGGUAUUGAUUGUUGCCGCAAGCUCAGUUCCUUGGAGUUGCCUGCAACACUUGGAAGACUUGAAAUCACUGGUUGUCCUAUUAUAAAAGAAAUCUGCUUAAAGAAGGGAGGAUACUGGCCCAACUUCGCCCACAUCCCCUGCAUUCAAAUAGAUGACUCAUACAUCCAUUGAAAGAUAGCAGACUCAGAUUGAAAUACAUUUUUCUCUUGUCAAGAAGUAUAGAUCCAUUCAUCUUUAUGCUUACUUUAGUCAAUCAGGUACAACCCACUUCUGCUUUUCUAGCCUUUGUUUACUUUCCAAUAUUUAAACCAGUUGUCUUGGAUUUAUUCCAAAUUUUUUACACAAAUAAAAGUUCUGUAGAGAAGAUGAAAGUAAGUAGUAAACCUAUAAUUCAGAUGAUGAAACCGAUGAUAGCAUUUAAGUUUAGUAUUACUUUUCGAAAUGGUUCUUACUUUGUAAAUAUUUACUUUGUCAUUUUAUUUUGUCCUUGAAACUAUUUCAAGAGAUCCAAUCAUUCUGAAAUUUUAUGUAAUUAUUUCUCUUCAUAAUGCUGGUGAAGUUAUAACCAAUUUCUGUUCUUGCCUUGUAGAUUCAGAGGGAUACUGCUUGGUAGAGAUGUGGCAGGAAGCACAGGGUGAAGAUAACAGAAGAUCUUUGACAGAAGUUACUCACUGGGGUGGGUUCUUCUCUCAUUUAUGUCUCUUCAACUGUGUCCUUUUUAUUUUUAUAAUUGUUGGUAGAGUUGUAUAGUGAUUUGAAAAAUGCUUUGCAAUGAUCAUUUAUAAAUAUUUACAUUGUCAUGUCACUAAGUCUUUGAUGGUAUUUCAAGAAAUUGUUUAUUGUUGCUCACUUCAAAUUUCUAUCCAAACAUCACUCAUUCAACCACAGAGUGCCAUUAUGAACUGAAGCUAUGUAUAAACUAUCUUGAAGAGCUCAUUUUGAUUGGUAAUGUUUGUGUAGUUCUUGCUAAUUCUUUUCCUGCUAAUGUGACUGCCAAUUUUCAUUCUAAAUUCAUGGGGUUCUGGCUUGACAAGGAUGUUGCAGAGGUAAACAGGUAUGUCUCCCUGUUCAGAAUAUGUGGCUUCCCAUUUCAUUGGCCCCAUAUUGGUUUGGCCUUCAGAAAAUAAAUGAAAUUUCUUCUCAACAUGUAGGAUGAAAAAAAUAUGGUGAAUUUCUAUGACUGGUGCAAUUGAUUUUUAAUUUCUCACAAGAUUUUUCAUUGAUGUUUCAAUUAGAGGUGGACAUCGACUGUAGUUAUGGCUUGGCAUUCUCUCUUUGCUUUUCAUGCUGCUGUUAAUCCUCUGUUUCACACAAACAGUCAUUUUUCUAGAUGAAGUAACGUUGACAUUCUGUUGUUUUUGCAGCGUGAUUAACCUUAAUUUUACACAUAUACAGUUCCAUCCACAGAUCCAUGAAUUGUCCUGCAGGUUUAUUUGUGCAAGGUUAUACUACUUUUGUUUUGAGUUCAAUCCAGUCUUAAGAAGAUUGGAGAGGGCAUUAAACAAACAUUCUGGCUGACUCUGGAUGUAUACUAUAGUAUCUUAAGAAAGGUGCCUACAUAUUUAUCGACCACCUAAUCUCUGGUCCUUGGGCUGCCUGCAAUACUUAGAAGGCUUAGCACAGGUUGUCCUAUUCUAAAAGAAAUGUGCUUAUAAGAGAACUACAUUGCCCACAUCCCCUUUAUUGAUAUAAAUAUUAGAUAUAUCCAUUUACUGUCCCAGCCAUAUCCUCUCCUUGCUUUCAAUCAGGCACGGGCUUUCAUAUAUCACAAAUAUUAGCAAUUUUCUUUGAACUCUACUUUCCCCACUCAAAAUAACAAAAGCAGAGACCACUCUUCCUUAUUUUAAACUGGGUAUGUCUGCUCAUUCAUAAUUUAAAUUGGAUAUGUUUUUGCCAUGAUGUAGGUUUUGACAAAGGAAAGGGCUGCCUGCAACACUCCCAAUGCUUGAAAUCAGGAAAUUUCAUAUUCGAAAAACUGAUGGUAAGAGGAUGUGGGGAGAUUGCAUCUUUUGUAAGAGAGCAGGUUUGGUUUAGAAUGCCUCAGUGGUCUUGAAAGUCUGGAGAUCUGGUAGUGGCAUGGACUUGUACCCUUUGGACUUUGGAGCAGCAGGGCUGCUUGGCAAUCUUAAAUAUUUGAAAUUGGAAGACUGGGCUAACCAGAAGAAGCAGAAGACUGCAGUUUAGCCUCCAACCUUACAUCACUUUAUAUGGGACAUCAUGUGAAUCUGAAGCUGCCAUUAUCUGAGUAGGGCCUCCACAGGCUCACUUCUCUUUCAUCAUUUGUACAUUUCUGGUGUAUGUCCAGCUCUGGCUUCUCUAUCAGAUGAUGACUAUCUUUUUCCCACAACUGAGCAAUUUUUAUGUUCGUAAACUGGAUUCCAUCGCAUCUGUGCUUUCAAAAACCUGCAUUCUCUUGAAACUAUAUCCAUCUAUAGGUGUCUUAAGCUCUGGUCCAAAGGGUUGACUGAAAAACUUUCGAGGCAUGACCUCAAUACUACGUGAUUAUCUGCUUUCUUCAGGACCAUUUUGAGUAAGCAUGAUAAGUUAGUGCUUCAUUUUUUCUUUUAAUUUCUUCUUUCAGGUAAGAAGAGAAGAAUGAUGAAGUAAUUCAAUGCCAACAUUGAAGUGUCAAGCAUGAAUAUGUUACUUUUCAGUUAUAUAUUGAUUCUUUUUUUUCUUUUUCUUUUUUCAAUUUUCUUAUCUCAAGUAAAUUUUCUUUCUGCACCAAAUCCUAAGGCAAUAUAAUCUUGAGCUUACUUUUUAAGAUUGAUAUUCGACUUGCUCUUUGAGCCAUAAUUUGCCAAAGAGUGUUGUGAUAACGUUAAAUCUUGAGUCAUCUUAGGUGUAAUAGAAUGCAUAGGCCAAACACAAUCGAAUUAAUCCUUGAGUCAUUAUUUCUUGAAUAGUAGAAAAAUAAUUGUGCUUACUUCUCGGGGUCAAUAGUUCUAGCUUGGGUCAUUAUAUCUUGAGGAGUGACAUUGUUGCAAAUUUGAGACAAUCACAAAGCUAAUACCAAACUUUGAGCAUAUGAAAUUCCUAGGGCAAUUCCAAGUCAACACAAUCUUAGGUUUACUCCUUGAGCCACUAUUUCCAAAAUGUGCUAUAGUUACAAAUCUACAUAAUAAUAAGGCUCACCUCCCAAAUCUCAAUCCAAAAAUCCCUAGCCAACUUCUUGAACCAUCAUUUCUUGAGGCUCAUCUAAUUCAUUUUCUCUUUUCUUGACUUGUUCUUCAACUUGUUUGGGUAAGAAAUGAAAGACUCUUAGCCAUUUUGAUUUGAUUGUAUUGUCUUAUAAUGAAAGUGGGGUGAUCAAAUGAUCACAUUGGUAAUGGUCAAUAAAGUCAUGGGAAUGGUUACGAUUAACAUUUACAUUGUUGUUCGUCAUGAUCUCAAUUGUUCCACUUUGGUUAUGAAGUGUUGCCUUGUUAUGAAAGAGGUUUUCAAAUUGGCUACAUACUCUUAUACCAUUUGUUAUGCUCAAACUCAAUGUAACCAUUUUAUCUAACAAUCGAUUAAUUGCUUAAGAGAUCAAGGUAAACCCAUUUAUGUUAUUCAUAGAACAUUAAAUCAGUCAUAAGCUAAUACAUUCUUAGGGUUAACACCAAAAUUUUGAGUGGAUAAAAUCUUGAGAUUACUUCUUAAACCAAAACCAAGCCUCAAGCCAACACAAUUUUAGGUUAAUCACUUUCAAAUUCAAUACUAAAUCCGAAGCGUACCAAAUCCCUAUAACCAAGAUACUUCUUCGAUCAUAAAAAAUCCUAAGGACCGUCCUUGAUUUAUCAUUUCCAAGGAGCAAUAUGAUUUCAAACCUUACAAGUAAAUAAUCGUUGAUGACAUAUCUUUCUUCUUUUUUUUUUUUCAUUAUCUAGCAAUGAACAUGAAUUAAUGACUUGCUACAUGAGUUGUGUGGAUUAGGGAUCCCUUGUUUGCAUAACGGUGAAUGAAAGUAUGACCUAAGAGAUAAAAAAUCAUGAAGCUAAAAAAUUUGUGCGCCCUAAAGGAGAAGUACCGAAGAUUUGGAUUGGAAUUUCUUUGACCCUUAUUUUUAUGCUAGUAAAUUACAAAAUAAUCAAUCAAAUGAUAGUGUGAUUUCUUUUUCCUAAAUAACAAGUUAUUUAGGGUUUCUAUGCAUAAAUUAUUACAUAUUGUCUUCUAUUAGAUACUAAAUUUUCUAUAUUAUAAACUAAAUUAGAAAUGGUCAUAAAAAACUGAAAAUUCUUUAUAUACAUCGGGUUAGAGUUCUCUCAUGUUUUUAGAUAUACAAGUCUAUGGUCCCUCAACUUUUGCUAUUUUUAUUUCAUACCAUAGCACCACAAAAAAGUCUACAAAUUCAUACGUAGACAAAACAAAGUUAAAGUAAAAGUGGACCAAUCUUAUCUCCUUGUCCAAAAUCAAAAUCAAAAUUUUAUUCUCAUGAAACUAAUUUUAUUAAAAAUUUUAUUUAUUUUUUACAUAAUAUUUUAAUUCAUCUUUAUUUGUGUUUCUAUUAUGAUUCUUAUUCUUCAAUAUUACUAUUUCAAAUAUAAGGUAAAAAUCUUCCUUUACUAAAAGAUGUAUUUCAAAUAUGUCACAUCAUAAAAAAAAUUUGUAGUUAAGAUGAUAGUACUACAAAUGGGUUGUUAUUGAUUUAUAUUAAAGUACUAGAGCUAUUGCAUAAUUCUAUAAAAUUUCAAAUUAUUAGAGCACAAAAUAAUUUUUGUGUACAUAGCUUCUUACAAAGAAGGAACCAUGAAAAUAUUGGGAAGGGAAUGGGGGUAUGUUAUUGGAAAUUGCCUAGAAUGUAGCUCUGCUUCAAAUAUUAUUUGCAUAAAUAUAAAUACAUAAUUAUUAUUAUUUUAUAUAUUUAUUCAAAAUUAUAUAAAAAAAGUUGUUGAACAUUUAUGUCCCCUUCCCUUUAUCUUUCUAUGACUUUUCUGCGGUGUAUAUUAAUUCAUAUUUCAUCUCAAUCACCAAUUAAUACUUGAUAUUAACAUGACAGAUAAACCCUUAAUCAAUGAGAUAGGUUGAGACAUUUUUAAACCCUUAAUCAAUCUCAAAACAAUGGUAUAUAUAUGUCUGAAUAGAGAUCGAAGACUUAGGAUCCAAUUAUAGAAGCUCUAUUUAUAUUCACUUUACCUAUCAUAGAGUCAAUGUCAUAAUUCAUGGCUAUUAAUAACAAUCAAUAGUAAAAAACUAAAUUAAUAGAAAUCCAAAAUUAAUUAAAGAUUAUGAGCCCGAUUUUUAGAUCCAUUUAAAAAAAUCUAACAAAUAGUUCUAAUGGAUAAUUAUUUAUUUAUAUUAAAGAACUAGAAUUAUUGCUUAAUUAUAUAAAACUUCAAAUUAUUAGAGCAUAAAAUAAUCUUCUAAACACUUGGGAAGAAAAAUACGUAUAUAAAUAACAUGAUUAGCAUAAUUAGGUGGAGUUGAUUUUUGUGCACAUAACUUCUUACAAAGAAGGAACCCUAAAAAUAAAUGGGUGUACAUCAUUUACUUUAUGUGAUAGGAAAUUGCCUAGAAUGUAGCACUUCUUCAAAUAUUAUUUGUAUAAAUAAAAAUAUAUAUAUAUAUAUUAUAAUUUUAUAUAUUUAUUAAAAUCCCUUCAAAAUUGUAUACAAAAGUUGUUGACAUUUGUGUCCCCUUCCCCUUUUCUUCCUAUGACUUUUCAGUGGUGCACUCAAUGAGCAAUUAAUGCUUGAUAUUAACAUGUUAAGUGUAGAAACCGUGUGGACCUCCCACUAAUUGAACCAAGGAAUCCAACUUGUUUCUUUUUUUUCUUUGAUGAAAAUAUUUCCAAGUUUCACAGCGAGGCUGAUUAUUGAACACCAAAGUUUAUCUGUGGUAUAGAUGAUGUAACAUCAUAGAUAUACAAUUUUAUAUAUUAUAAAAAUUAAAAUUAAUUAUAUGAAGUGGAAAUUAUAUGUAAAUAAUUAAAAAUCUUAAACUAUUUUAUAUUAUAGAAAAAGUGGAUUUUUAUUUACUAAUUAAAAUAAGUGAACGUAAAACUGAUUUAUAGAAGUUCGAGGUUUUAUCUAUAUUUUUAAAAAAAAAAUUAAUGAAUUAAAACCCAAUUUUUUCAAUAAAACUCUCAAAUAUUAUGAGAUGAGGAUAAACAUAAAAAGCCUAUAUUGAGUAGGUUAUAAUUAUAUUUUUAUAAUUUAUAGAAAAUAGUAAAAUAUAUCAUUUUAUUAUUUGGUAUUUUCCGAUAAAACUUAAGGUAUAUUCCCAUCAUGUAAAAAGCUGUCAAUGACCUAGAUAUCGUCUUAUGGUCUUCUCUAGUGGGCAUUAGUUAACAUUUCACCUCAUGAAUAUGAACGCAGAAAAGCAGCCCACGUGUGGCAUUUUCAAGAUACCAACCCUGUGGACCAACCUAGAAUUACGGAAUUAGUCCAAGGACAUCGCUAAAGGUCUCGCAUUUGGUUUUGUUUUUUUUUUUGUGACUGGAACACACGGUCACUUUCCAUCGUUCAGACCGUCUGCACCCUCACUUCCAUGGAAUUCAAUGCCGUAUUCCCAAAUACUUUUCUUCUCAAGAGUUGCAGAGACUUCCCCUAAUCCUUUUUUAGCUACAAACUUUUCUUCUGAAGAAUAUCUAAUAUUCUUAAAGAUCUGUUGCAGAGAGUUCCCUUAAUCAAUCCCUUGUUACCUACAAGAAAAGAAAAAAAAAACAUGGCUGGUUUUGUUGGAGAAGCCGUUUUGUCUGGGUUCAUUCAGAAGUUGGUCGACAUGGUCGCCUCGCCGGAGCUGUGGAAGUACGCACGUGAAGAGCAAGUGGAUUCUGAACUGAACGAGUGGAAGAAAAUAUUGAUGAAGAUCUACGCAGUGCUCCAUGACGCGGAGGACAAGCAGAUGACAAACCCCCUGGUGAAGAUGUGGCUACACGACCUCAGAGACUUGGCUUAUGAUCUGGAGGACAUCUUGGACGACUUCGCCACCCAAGCUUUGCGACGCAACUUGAUCGUGGCUCAACCCCAACCGCCCACUGGUACCGUUCGGAGCAUUUUAUCUUAUGUGUCUACUAGUCUCACUUUGAGUGCUGCUUGGUCCAAUUUAAGUAUGGGUUCCAAGAUAGAGGAGAUCACUGCCAGAUUGCAAGAUAUUUCAGCCCAAAAAAAGCACCUGGAUUUAAGAGAUGUUUCUGCUGGUUGGUCUGGUAGAAAGAGACUACGGAGACUGCCAUCCACUUCUUUGGUGAUUGAAUCUCGUAUUUAUGGCAGGGAGACAGAUAAAGCUGCCAUACUUGCCAUGCUGCUCAAGGACGAUCCAAGUGAUGAUGAAGUCUGCGUGAUCCCUAUCGUCGGCAUGGGAGGUAUAGGCAAAACUACUCUUGCUCAACUUGCGUUUAAUGACGAUAAAGUGAAGGAUCAUUUUGAUUUGCGAGCUUGGGUCUGUGUUUCCGAUGAUUUUGAUGUUUUGAGGGUGACCAAAACUAUUCUGCAAUCACUUUCUCCACAUACACGUUAUGCCAACAAUCUUAAUUUGCUUCAGAUUGAGCUCAGGGAGAAACUUUACCGGAAGAAAUUUCUUCUUAUCUUGGACGACGUUUGGAAUGAGAAUUUUGAUGAAUGGGAUAUUUUGUGCAUGCCGAUGAGAGCCGGAGCGUCAGGUAGUAAGCUUAUUGUCACAACCCGUAAUAAAGGGGUUGUAUCUGUUACCGGAACUUGUUCAGCUUAUCCCCUUCAGGAGUUAUCAUAUGAUGAUUGUCUAUCUUUAUUCACCCGACAAGCAUUAGGGGCAAGAAACUNNNNNNNNNNNNNNNNNNNNNNNNNNNNNNNNNNNNNNNNNNNNNNNNNNNNNNNNNNNNNNNNNNNNNNNNNNNNNNNNNNNNNNNNNNNNNNNNNNNNNNNNNNNNNNNNNNNNNNNNNNNNNNNNNNNNNNNNNNNNNNNNNNNNNNNNNNNNNNNNNNNNNNNNNNNNNNNNNNNNNNNNNNNNNNNNNNNNNNNNNNNNNNNNNNNNNNNNNNNNNNNNNNNNNNNNNNNNNNNNNNNNNNNNNNNNNNNNNNNNNNNNNNNNNNNNNNNNNNNNNNNNNNNNNNNNNNNNNNNNNNNNNNNNNNNNNNNNNNNNNNNNNNNNNNNNNNNNNNNNNNNNNNNNNNNNNNNNNNNNNNNNNNNNNNNNNNNNNNNNNNNNNNNNNNNNNNNNNNNNNNNNNNNNNNNNNNNNNNNNNNNNNNNNNNNNNNNNNNNNNNNNNNNNNNNNNNNNNNNNNNNNNNNNNNNNNNNNNNNNNNNNNNNNNNNNNNNNNNNNNNNNNNNNNNNNNNNNNNNNNNNNNNNNNNNNNNNNNNNNNNNNNNNNNNNNNNNNNNNNNNNNNNNNNNNNNNNNNNNNNNNNNNNNNNNNNNNNNNNNNNNNNNNNNNNNNNNNNNNNNNNNNNNNNNNNNNNNNNNNNNNNNNNNNNNNNNNNNNNNNNNNNNNNNNNNNNNNNNNNNNNNNNNNNNNNNNNNNNNNNNNNNNNNNNNNNNNNNNNNNNNNNNNNNNNNNNNNNNNNNNNNNNNNNNNNNNNNNNNNNNNNNNNNNNNNNNNNNNNNNNNNNNNNNNNNNNNNNNNNNNNNNNNNNNNNNNNNNNNNNNNNNNNNNNNNNNNNNNNNNNNNNNNNNNNNNNNNNNNNNNNNNNNNNNNNNNNNNNNNNNNNNNNNNNNNNNNNNNNNNNNNNNNNNNNNNNNNNNNNNNNNNNNNNNNNNNNNNNNNNNNNNNNNNNNNNNNNNNNNNNNNNNNNNNNNNNNNNNNNNNNNNNNNNNNNNNNNNNNNNNNNNNNNNNNNNNNNNNNNNNNNNNNNNNNNNNNNNNNNNNNNNNNNNNNNNNNNNNNNNNNNNNNNNNNNNNNNNNNNNNNNNNNNNNNNNNNNNNNNNNNNNNNNNNNNNNNNNNNNNNNNNNNNNNNNNNNNNNNNNNNNNNNNNNNNNNNNNNNNNNNNNNNNNNNNNNNNNNNNNNNNNNNNNNNNNNNNNNNNNNNNNNNNNNNNNNNNNNNNNNNNNNNNNNNNNNNNNNNNNNNNNNNNNNNNNNNNNNNNNNNNNNNNNNNNNNNNNNNNNNNNNNNNNNNNNNNNNNNNNNNNNNNNNNNNNNNNNNNNNNNNNNNNNNNNNNNNNNNNNNNNNNNNNNNNNNNNNNNNNNNNNNNNNNNNNNNNNNNNNNNNNNNNNNNNNNNNNNNNNNNNNNNNNNNNNNNNNNNNNNNNNNNNNNNNNNNNNNNNNNNNNNNNNNNNNNNNNNNNNNNNNNNNNNNNNNNNNNNNNNNNNNNNNNNNNNNNNNNNNNNNNNNNNNNNNNNNNNNNNNNNNNNNNNNNNNNNNNNNNNNNNNNNNNNNNNNNNNNNNNNNNNNNNNNNNNNNNNNNNNNNNNNNNNNNNNNNNNNNNNNNNNNNNNNNNNNNNNNNNNNNNNNNNNNNNNNNNNNNNNNNNNNNNNNNNNNNNNNNNNNNNNNNNNNNNNNNNNNNNNNNNNNNNNNNNNNNNNNNNNNNNNNNNNNNNNNNNNNNNNNNNNNNNNNNNNNNNNNNNNNNNNNNNNNNNNNNNNNNNNNNNNNNNNNNNNNNNNNNNNNNNNNNNNNNNNNNNNNNNNNNNNNNNNNNNNNNNNNNNNNNNNNNNNNNNNNNNNNNNNNNNNNNNNNNNNNNNNNNNNNNNNNNNNNNNNNNNNNNNNNNNNNNNNNNNNNNNNNNNNNNNNNNNNNNNNNNNNNNNNNNNNNNNNNNNNNNNNNNNNNNNNNNNNNNNNNNNNNNNNNNNNNNNNNNNNNNNNNNNNNNNNNNNNNNNNNNNNNNNNNNNNNNNNNNNNNNNNNNNNNNNNNNNNNNNNNNNNNNNNNNNNNNNNNNNNNNNNNNNNNNNNNNNNNNNNNNNNNNNNNNNNNNNNNNNNNNNNNNNNNNNNNNNNNNNNNNNNNNNNNNNNNNNNNNNNNNNNNNNNNNNNNNNNNNNNNNNNNNNNNNNNNNNNNNNNNNNNNNNNNNNNNNNNNNNNNNNNNNNNNNNNNNNNNNNNNNNNNNNNNNNNNNNNNNNNNNNNNNNNNNNNNNNNNNNNNNNNNNNNNNNNNNNNNNNNNNNNNNNNNNNNNNNNNNNNNNNNNNNNNNNNNNNNNNNNNNNNNNNNNNNNNNNNNNNNNNNNNNNNNNNNNNNNNNNNNNNNNNNNNNNNNNNNNNNNNNNNNNNNNNNNNNNNNNNNNNNNNNNNNNNNNNNNNNNNNNNNNNNNNNNNNNNNNNNNNNNNNNNNNNNNNNNNNNNNNNNNNNNNNNNNNNNNNNNNNNNNNNNNNNNNNNNNNNNNNNNNNNNNNNNNNNNNNNNNNNNNNNNNNNNNNNNNNNNNNNNNNNNNNNNNNNNNNNNNNNNNNNNNNNNNNNNNNNNNNNNNNNNNNNNNNNNNNNNNNNNNNNNNNNNNNNNNNNNNNNNNNNNNNNNNNNNNNNNNNNNNNNNNNNNNNNNNNNNNNNNNNNNNNNNNNNNNNNNNNNNNNNNNNNNNNNNNNNNNNNNNNNNNNNNNNNNNNNNNNNNNNNNNNNNNNNNNNNNNNNNNNNNNNNNNNNNNNNNNNNNNNNNNNNNNNNNNNNNNNNNNNNNNNNNNNNNNNNNNNNNNNNNNNNNNNNNNNNNNNNNNNNNNNNNNNNNNNNNNNNNNNNNNNNNNNNNNNNNNNNNNNNNNNNNNNNNNNNNNNNNNNNNNNNNNNNNNNNNNNNNNNNNNNNNNNNNNNNNNNNNNNNNNNNNNNNNNNNNNNNNNNNNNNNNNNNNNNNNNNNNNNNNNNNNNNNNNNNNNNNNNNNNNNNNNNNNNNNNNNNNNNNNNNNNNNNNNNNNNNNNNNNNNNNNNNNNNNNNNNNNNNNNNNNNNNNNNNNNNNNNNNNNNNNNNNNNNNNNNNNNNNNNNNNNNNNNNNNNNNNNNNNNNNNNNNNNNNNNNNNNNNNNNNNNNNNNNNNNNNNNNNNNNNNNNNNNNNNNNNNNNNNNNNNNNNNNNNNNNNNNNNNNNNNNNNNNNNNNNNNNNNNNNNNNNNNNNNNNNNNNNNNNNNNNNNNNNNNNNNNNNNNNNNNNNNNNNNNNNNNNNNNNNNNNNNNNNNNNNNNNNNNNNNNNNNNNNNNNNNNNNNNNNNNNNNNNNNNNNNNNNNNNNNNNNNNNNNNNNNNNNNNNNNNNNNNNNNNNNNNNNNNNNNNNNNNNNNNNNNNNNNNNNNNNNNNNNNNNNNNNNNNNNNNNNNNNNNNNNNNNNNNNNNNNNNNNNNNNNNNNNNNNNNNNNNNNNNNNNNNNNNNNNNNNNNNNNNNNNNNNNNNNNNNNNNNNNNNNNNNNNNNNNNNNNNNNNNNNNNNNNNNNNNNNNNNNNNNNNNNNNNNNNNNNNNNNNNNNNNNNNNNNNNNNNNNNNNNNNNNNNNNNNNNNNNNNNNNNNNNNNNNNNNNNNNNNNNNNNNNNNNNNNNNNNNNNNNNNNNNNNNNNNNNNNNNNNNNNNNNNNNNNNNNNNNNNNNNNNNNNNNNNNNNNNNNNNNNNNNNNNNNNNNNNNNNNNNNNNNNNNNNNNNNNNNNNNNNNNNNNNNNNNNNNNNNNNNNNNNNNNNNNNNNNNNNNNNNNNNNNNNNNNNNNNNNNNNNNNNNNNNNNNNNNNNNNNNNNNNNNNNNNNNNNNNNNNNNNNNNNNNNNNNNNNNNNNNNNNNNNNNNNNNNNNNNNNNNNNNNNNNNNNNNNNNNNNNNNNNNNNNNNNNNNNNNNNNNNNNNNNNNNNNNNNNNNNNNNNNNNNNNNNNNNNNNNNNNNNNNNNNNNNNNNNNNNNNNNNNNNNNNNNNNNNNNNNNNNNNNNNNNNNNNNNNNNNNNNNNNNNNNNNNNNNNNNNNNNNNNNNNNNNNNNNNNNNNNNNNNNNNNNNNNNNNNNNNNNNNNNNNNNNNNNNNNNNNNNNNNNNNNNNNNNNNNNNNNNNNNNNNNNNNNNNNNNNNNNNNNNNNNNNNNNNNNNNNNNNNNNNNNNNNNNNNNNNNNNNNNNNNNNNNNNNNNNNNNNNNNNNNNNNNNNNNNNNNNNNNNNNNNNNNNNNNNNNNNNNNNNNNNNNNNNNNNNNNNNNNNNNNNNNNNNNNNNNNNNNNNNNNNNNNNNNNNNNNNNNNNNNAUGCAGAUGAACAAGUGGGACCAUUUCCAUUCCUUCGAGAACUUACAAUAAGGAGAUGCUCAAAGCUAGGUAUACAGUUGCCUGAUUGCCUACCUUCUCUGGUUAAACUUGAUAUCUUUGGGUGUCCAAAUUUGAAAGUUCCCUUUUCAGGAUUUGCAUCUCUUGGUGAAUUAAGUUUAGAAGAAUGUGAAGGGGUGGUGUUCAGAAGUGGGGUUGGUAGUUGUCUUGAAACAUUAGCUAUUGGACGGUGUCACUGGCUUGUAACGUUGGAGGAGCAAAUGCUACCUUGCAAACUUAAAAUUUUGAAAAUACAAGACUGUGCUAACCUGGAGGAGCUGCCAAACGGAUUGCAAAGUCUCAUAUCUCUCCAAGAGUUGAAAUUAGAGAGGUGCCCCAAACUGAUUUCAUUUCCAGAGGCCGCUUUGUCACCCUUGCUCAGAUCUCUGGUGCUGCAGAACUGCCCAUCUCUCAUAUGCUUUCCAAAUGGUGAGCUGCCCACCACGCUCAAGCAUAUGAGGGUUGAAGAUUGUGAAAAUUUGGAGUCUCUACCAGAGGGAAUGAUGCACCACAAGUCCUCUUCCACUGUAAGCAAAAACACUUGUUGCCUUGAAAAAUUGUGGAUAAAGAAUUGUGCCUCUCUCAAGUUCUUUCCGACAGGAGAGUUACCCUCCACCCUUGAGCUCCUUUGUAUUUGGGGAUGCGCAAACUUGGAGUCAAUAUCAGAGAAAAUGUUACCCAAUGGCACAGCUCUUGAAUAUUUAGACAUAAGGGGCUAUCCAAAUCUGAAAAUCCUACCAGAAUGCCUUACAAGCCUCAAGGAGCUCCACAUAGACGAUUGUGGAGGUCAGGAGUGUUUUCCAAAAAGAGGGUUGUCAACCCCCAACCUCAUGCACCUUCGUAUUUGGAGAUGUGUGAAUCUCAGGUCCCUUCCACAGCAAAUGAAAAACCUCACAUCUGUUCACACUCUCAGCAUAUGGGGUUGUCCAGGAGUGGAAUCCUUUCCAGAAGGGGGUUUGCCCCCCAAUCUAACAUCACUUUACGUUGGAUUGUGUCAGAAUCUGAAAACACCCAUAUCUGAAUGGGGACUCCUUACCCUCACCUCUCUUUCUGAAUUGUCCAUUUGUGGAGUGUUUCCCAAUAUGGCUUCUUUUUCGGAUGAAGAGUGUCUGCUUCCUCCAUCUCUGACCUAUCUUUUCAUCAGUGAACUGGAAUCUUUAACCUCCCUGGCUCUCCAAAAUCCGAUGUCUCUUACUGAACUAGGUAUUGAGUGUUGCUGCAAGCUCAGUUCCUUGGAGUUGCCUGCAACACUUGGAAGACUUGAAAUCACUGGUUGUCCUAUUAUAAAAGAAAGCUGCUUAAAGGAGAAGGGAGGAUACUGGCCCAACUUCUCCCACAUCCCCUGCAUUCAAAUAGAUGGCUCAUACAUCCAUUGAAAGAUAGCAGACUCAGAUUGAAAUACAUUUUUCUCUUGUCAUGUCACUAAGUCUUUGAUGGUAUUUCAAGAAAUUGUUCAUUGUUGCUCACUUCAAAUUUCUAUCCAAACAUCACUCAUUCAACCACAGAGUGCCAUUAUGAACUGAAGCUAUGUAUAAACUAUCUUGAACGAGCUCAUUUUGAUUGAUAAUGUUAGUGUAGU
rnacentral:lncRNA from 1 species